GUACAUUGUUGCGGCUAUAUCAAACUGUAAGUUCAUUUCAUUUCGUCGCUGGUGGUUUGGUAGAUAAUCUCCUGUUAUGCUGCAUCUACUAGAAAAUUUAGUGAUAGUAGGUUUUAGUUUUGCUGAACAAUAACUUGUGGGUUCUUGUUCGAAAACUAAUUUCUGGGUUGGACUUGUUGAAUUUGAUUCAGAAAGUUCUGGCACAAAACCUUGAUUUUGGCAAGUUCAGCCGGCCAAAAAUUUCAUUGAAAUGUAGAUGGUACCACUGUAUAUCUGUAUACUCAAAUAUAUUUCUCAAGUCAAAAAUGGAAUGCGUCUCAGGCAUAUGAGCAUACACCAGUUGCAAAUCUCUUGCAUUUCAAACUUCGAUAAAUACAUGUAUGUUGGCUUUAGUUUUUCUUUUCUUUUUUGCAACCAGGGAUUGCACUUCCCUUGAAAAAUUACACAGUGCUUGUCCAUUUUAUAUGCUGUCAUCAGUUAUCAGUUAUGCAUGCCAGUUCAUGGGAGUCAGUUGUUCAAAACUAAACCAUUUGUCCGUCUUUGUAAAGGUUCCAGAAUAUAACAUUUCCCCCAUGUUUCCAAAUUCAAAAGGCACUAUAAACCAACUUUGCAAAGAGAGGAACACAAGAACACAGAACGACAUUACAGGAUCAUGUCACUAUCUCAGUAGUCUCAGAAGUCAGGCCAACACUAUAGCUAUCUCAGACAACCACUUCCCUGUCAAAGAUCCAGCUGAACUUGACCUUCCUGGGCUCGUCCUUCUUGGCCCUGUCGGCCGCCCUCUCCGCCGCGCGCCGCAUCCUCGGCGCGAGCCCGCAGACGAAGUCCCGGGCCCGCCGCCCUUCGCUGGAGAGCCCGCCCUCCAGCGCCUCCAGCUUCCACCGCUUGACGAGGAACUCGACGAUGUCGGUGUAGUCCUGCGCGGUGUACACGCCGAGGCGCUGGGCCACAGACGCGAAAUGCUCGAACAGGUCCAUGUCGCUGCCGUCGUGCAUGAGGUGCGCGGGCAUGGUGAUCCGCUUGCGCAUCAUGUCGGCGAUGGCGAGCAUGGCGCCCUCCGGGUCGAGCCGCAGCAGCUGCUCCACGAUGCGGCUGUAGGCCGUCUCGUGGCGCUUCUCGUCGGCGGCGAUGGUGCCGCAGGUGCGCGCCAGCACGUCGUCGCCGUGCGCCUUGGCGAGCCGCGCGGUGUUGCCGUGGGAGACGGCCGUCGCGCGCUCCUGGAAGCUCGUGUACACGAAGCCCAGGUACGGGUUGUUCUCCGUCCUCGGGUCCUGCAAUUGUUCAGCAUGUCCGAUGAGAUUGUACAACUAAACAGGAGGAAUUGACGGAUUUUUCGACAGACUCGUUCAAGAAGCUCCGCGUACCAUGCCGGAGCCGAUGAGGUACUGGACGGUCUUCUCGACCAUGCGCAUGUCGACGCGGCCGGAGAGGUACAUGUACUUGUUGAGGACGUCGCCGUGUCGGUUCUCCUCGGCGGUCCAGGCGCGGGUCCAGACGGCCCAGGGGCAGGCGCUGGCGCCGGUCUCGUCGCGGACGCCGUCCAGGGUGUUGAUCAUGGUCUGGUACGUGGGGAGCGCCUCCUCGGUGACCAUGUCCCCGACCAACACCACGAAGUACUCGUCGGGCAGCGCGGCGGCGCGGGCCCGCAGCUCGCGCACCUCGUGCUCGAACAUCUCGGACGACGAGUCCGGCAGGAAGUCCGCCGGCUGCCAGAUGUCCUCCACGGGCCUGAGCAGCGGCAGCAGCGACCCCGCCGCCCAGCCCCGCAGCGACUGGAACACCUCCGCCUUCUCCGGCGGCAUCGAGUGCGUCACGCCGCGCUGCACCGACGGCGCCGCCGCCGCCACGGCCGCCGCAGCGGACACGCGGCGGCAUUGCCGGCGCGGGAGGGGCAGCGCCGUCGGCAGGUGACCGGGGACGCGGAGGAUGCCCUGGGCCUGCAUGGUGGCUAGCUCCCGAUCGAUGGGUGAGUGGUGGCGGCGCGGUGGGGUGGUGUACUUGCGUCGUCGGACUGCGACGGCUGCGGUGUCGGGGCUCCGUAUAUAAACUGCGGCGUCGGGGCGGUACCGCCGGAGUACCGGAGGCGGAAAACCAGUGGGUGCGUGCAGUGGUUUUGGGCGGGGAGCGGGCUGGCUGAUUCUGUGGGUGUUUCGGGGAGCGGCUAGCUGUAGACCGUGGUGUGCCCCCAGGUUGAGCUACUGUAGUACAGAUCCAGUUGUCCAUCUGAUCCGACUAUCCGAGGCACUCGAACAGCACGUGCUGGUUGGUUGGUCACACCACCAACAGUAGCGACCGCCACGAGGGCUGGUCACGUCCUCACAGCAGCAAAAUGUCUUCGGCAAAGCUACAAAUGUCCUCAAACUGUGCGAUAGAUAGACCCAUCUGAACGAGUCAAAACCGCCUCGGAAAUUUGGAGCGGAGCGAUGAUACAAUGUUCACGAUUUUGAUGCGAGUGGUCGCACGCUGUCUGAUUUUGGACAUUUAGGUUGGAAAAAAGUUACUACAGUAGGUUGGAUGGAGAGAAUCUCCGUACCAUCGUUCAAUGUCGUUGUGAAGGAGAUUUGGGGCUAGUUUUUUGGGCAAUUCUCCCAGAAUUAACCAGAAUUAACCCCCUCCCCAGCUUCUUCCAUAAUUGUCACUCCAUUUCUUUUUUACAAUUCCUAUCUAGUUAAACCCUUUUUUAUAACUAGAUAGGAAUUGUAAAAAAGAAAUGGAGUGGCAAUUAUGGAAGAAGCUGGGAGGGGGUCAAUUCUGGGAGAAUUGCCCAAAAGAACUGGCCCUUGAUCCCCAAACUUGAUAGGCCCUCACGGUAGGAAGGGGUCCAUCGAUGAUCAGCUACAUGUAAUAUUUAGAAAAUGUGCAGAGUUUCACAAUUCUCGUGGAGUUUUCUUUAUUUUCUAUAACAAUGAGACGCGUUGAACUCAAGUCAAGAGAUGCUCUUAGGGUUUACAACCAAAGGAGAAACGUGGGGAAUAGGGACACCAUAUCCAAGUCUUGGCUUAUAUAGCCGUUACAUCAACCUUCAACAACUAGCAAAAGAAAUAACACAGGAGGCACCUAAGGAGUGAGCAAGUGAGCUUGUCGGAUGAUCAACGGCGAGGAGUCACGGGAGCCGUUCGAUGCUUGAUCGGCGUCGGUUGGGUCAUACACUUGGGCGUGGACCAUUAUGAUCCCCCGUCAGCCGUAGGAUGAGAAAUGGAUGUCGAGGAGGUCAAGCUGGCAAAGUGGUACACCGAGCCACUACUGCGGGUAAAGUGUCGAUUUCCUCACAAGAUUCGGAGUUGAGUUCUUACAAUUCCCCCCGUUGAGGGUUCACUUGUCCUCAAGGGGUGAAUGGAAGGAAAACCUUUUGAAUACAAGCUUAAUCUUUCCAAGUAGAGGCUUAAUCAGCCACUUGACAACUCAAAUACUAAUAUCAACUUGCACUCUAGGAAUGAGUUUGCUUGCCAAGAUCUGUCCAAGUUCCAUGUGAAUGUUACCUCGAUCACCAAUGAGAGGUAGAUUGGGUGAUGUAACUUCAACGGCUCCCAGGUGUUUCUUCAAUAGUCUGACAUGUAAAGUGGAUGCAAUUUGCAAUCAGCUGGGAGGAGUGGGCGAAAUGUGUUGUUAAUCCUUUCCAUUGUCUUGGAAGGACCAUUAUUUGGAACCCACCUUUAAACACCUAUGUAUAAUGAGAUAAGUAUGCAUAUAUGGUUGGAUCUAUAAAUACACCAUGUCUCCCAUAGUAAAUUUUCUUUCAGACCUCUUUUUUUAGUAUAAGCUUUCAUCCUUCCCUAAGCUUUCACGCUCAUUUCCUUUAUACAUGAGUUAUGUUACCCCUCUAAAUGAAUGUCGUAGCUGAGGUGUUCUCUGGAUCAGUGAGCAGAUUCAUUUCAGCAAUCAGGGCUGGGGUGACCAUAUAAGGCCUAAAAUAGAACCGCUUUAAGAUAUGUGUGAAAGCUCAUAUCAUACCACCACUCCGCCAUAAAUAACCAAAUGUUCCAUUUCUUUCGUUGUGCAAAAGCAAAAUACCUGAUAUAAUUUUCAAAAGAUUAACUGACUCUCUUUGUCUAACCAUCAAAUUGUGGAUGAAAAGAGGUGCUCAUGUGUAAUUUAACUACUGAUUUCUUGAACAAGUUUUUCCACAAUUGAUUUGUAAAGAUCUGAUCCCUGUAAGUGACAAUAAAUCACUACAAAAAACACUCAUGAUGAUACGUUUUUGACACAGCACGUUUUCCGUCAUGCAUGUACAUCCAUGACGAUUUUAUGACAGAAUCAAGAUAGUCGUACCUGUGCUGUCGUAGAAGUGUUCCAUGACAAUACCAAAAUUAUCAUCACGGAAGUGUCCAUUUCCAUGAUGAUAAAUGGCGCGUCAUGAAGUGUUUUCGUCAAGGAUAACGGACACGUGGCAUCCACCUUAACGGGUUGCCGUUAAGCUAUCGGGUUCCGGUUUGGAUCCGAUAACCCGUUAACAGCCUGAACCAAUGGGGAUUUUCCACGUGUAAAAUUCUCAUUCGCCGUAGGAUCCACGUGUCGGCUCAGGGUUGGGGCAGAUGUCAUCCACUUGUUGUACGGGAGCAUCCUAUGAUACGUUGACACGUGGUAAGGCCCAACAGUGACCCAUUUAGGUAAAAGAGGCCGGCCCAGUCAAAAUUAGCAGGCCAUCCCAUAUAGGGCCUACUUGUGUCUGGUCCAUUUAGUCCCACGACCCAUACGAGAUGUGCCAAUUUGGCUCGUCAACUAUUUGACACCAUUGCAACCCAUCGUCAGUUCGAGCCCGUUAACAGCCCGCUAUAUAUUUGGGCUCAAUAUUGACCCGACUUAGUUUCGGCCUAUUGAGGGAGUCCUGAAUUAAGGGGUCCUCGGGCCACCGGCCCAUUCCUUAUGGGCCGGAUUGAUGGGCUACUAUGGAGCCAAGCUAGGGCGUGGACCCGUGACCGAAUAGAAGUUCUUCGGAGCCAUGGUGCCCUCCAAGUCAAGAUUUAGCAUGAUCUUUCCUUUAUUGUAACCAACCAUGUGAACCCUAAUCCUACUGGUGUCUACAUAAACCAGAGGGCUUUAGUCUUUAGGGUUAGAGUAACAUCCAAUACCCCAUUAGCUUAGGGUUUAGCUCGCCUGAUCUCGAGGUAGAUCAAGUUUGUAAUCAUACCAUACACGUCAAAUACAAUCAAGCAGGACGUAGGGUUUUACCUCUUAGAGAGGGCCCGAACCUGGGUAAACAUCGUGUUCUUCGUCCCCUGUUCCCCAUUGAUCCUAGAUCCACAGCUCGGGACCCCCUACCCGAGAUCCGCCGGUUUUGACACGGACAUUGGUGCUUUCAUUUAGAGUUCCGUUGUUGGGUCACCGAAGGAUCGAUGGCUCGCCUGAUCAUCGGAGAUGGCGUCAGCUCCGGGAACCUCUUUGUCCCGGGCCAGCUCUUCGCGUUCGGCAGCAUUAUGCAGCACGCCAACCCGACUGGUCAUCUAGACCAAAUCAACAAUUUCGCCCCCGAGAACCGGAUUAUAUUCGGCAACCUGGAGUACAUCAUGGACGCUCGAGGCGAUAUGGUCUUCGCCGAAUUCGCAGCCUCACCCGGUACCCCUAUGGGCCCCGCAGUACCUGCUUCGAAGCUUUCUCUCGAUCCGAUCUGUGGAUCGGCCUCAACCCCUCGGCUGGCCUCGAGCUCGGACAGCUCCACCCUGACCGAAGACCAGGAAUCCCCAUCAGCCACGCCAACGAUGCCCGCCGAAGACCCAGCUUCGGGCCUCAGCGCGCAAGCGGUGUUCGGACGCCAAGAGUCACUCUCGGUCGAACCCUUUCCUCACGUCACAGAUCUGGCCUGGAGCCCCAGUGACGGGUCGACGUUCGGAAACCAAGAAUCAUUCCCGACCAAACUUCUCCUCGCCAACUUGGCUUCGAGCCCCAAUACGAAAGUAACGUCCGAAGACCAGGUGUGAGCGUUCGUCUCCCUGCCUAUGACGCCACGAAGCCGACCCUAGGCCUUGAGUUUAACUCGGCCCUCGAAGACCGGAUUCAGCCCGGACCCAGAUCAUUCCUCGCCCCGCCACUACGGAUACCGUUCCUCAGCAGCCACCGCAUACCAGGUCGGCAAGCCUCGCCUUGUUAAACGAGGCGCUUGACCGAAUCCAGAUGAUGGCUAUUCGAGAUGAUCCACCCUCGGCCCACGUUCAGCGGCCCCUCGAGGUGAAUUAUAGGGAAUUUUACGACCCGCCCACCACCCACUUAGUGGCCACAAUCGAAGACUUAAUCGACAUGUUGGACCACACCUUGGAAAAUGUUGAAUUCAUGGAUGAGGAUAGUGGAGCCACGACUAAUACCGAUGUUGCUCCCCCCGUCACCGGCCACUAGACGGCCACGUCCACCUAUGACGUCUACAUGGUGGACACUCCGAAAGACGAUGACAGCACCCCCGGGAAGGAUAACGGCAGGCCCAGCGAUGACCCGCCAAAACGCCUCAGACAACAUCGUUGCUCCAAGACACGUCGAAGCCAUGCGAGCAACAUGGACACCAGAGAAAACGACACCCCAGAUAAUGCGGACAACCUCGGCGACCUCGGCGCCGACGAGCAACCACAAGACAACCACGAGGAGCAUGAGGACCCACUCAAUCUUGAAUACCUCAAUGACUCCGAAGACAACAACGACAUCCCUCCUUCAGAAGAGGAGGUCAGUUUGGGUGACGAGGAUUUCAUCGUCCCCGAAGACCCGCUGGAUCAAGAGCGGUUCAAACGGUAGCUAAUUGCCACUCCACGAAGGCUGAAGAAACAACGGCAAAAAAUAAAGUCCGAACAGGAUACCCUUAAUGAGAGAUGGACUAUGGUCCUAGAUGCCGAAGAGGAGUACGACCACGAGCGAUAGACCAAAAGCUACCCGAAGCGAAGACUACUGCCGCAAUUCGAUGAUCAGGCCAUAGAGCAAGCACCUCCAAGGCACACUCAGGCAGAACAGCCGGACCGCCCCCCUCGAGGACGGGACAUGACAGCUGAUAGAGCCGAACAGCCUCCUGCUCCACCUAGUCGUCAAGGCAAGGAGACAUUAUGGCCAGUUUAUGAGUACGACCUAUGGCGUGACCUGGAUGCUUGGGCAGGUCUGAUGAGGUCCAUUUACGGACCUAAAGGAAGUCCUCUCGUUAGACGGGAUGGAUACCAAGCCUGGUUAGACAAAAAUGACAGAGCUCGGGAGCUGCAACGAGUCCGGAUGACAGACGAUCUCCGGUGCGACGUAGGCCAAGUCAGGGGCGCCGCUCAUCCUCUGUGCUUCACAGAUAGGGUGAUGCAGAACCAAUUCCCGGAAGGAUUCAAACCUGUAAAUAUCGAGCCAUACGACGGGACAACAGAUCCGGUCAUAUGGAUUGAAGAUUUUCUGGUACACAUUCAUAUGGCAUGAGGAGAUGACAUCCACGUCAUCAAGUGCCUACCGUUAAAGCUCAAGGGUCCGGCCAGACACUGGUUAAAUAGCCUUCCCAAAGACUCCAACCACCCGGCAUGACAUCCUCUCCUAGUGCCGCCUCACCAUCCAGCCACCCGGCGGCAUAGUUAGCUUCUUCAAAUGGUGGUCUUUGGACAUGCAAGACUCCCAAGCUAGCCAUUGCAAGGGCCUCGAGACGCUAGUUGCACUAACCGCUUGGACAAUCUCAAAGCAUGGCAUGCAUAUAUCUUCGACAACUUCAUUGUCGUGAGUACUGCUUGUGAUUGUGUUGUUUGCUUUCUCAACAUGUCAACUUCAUCUCUAAGUGUAGAAGCAGACUCUCUUUCUACCAGUAGUUUAGCCUCUAGAGCAUCAACAGUUGGCAAUUCAUGAUGCACGGUUGGGCCCGUGCCACUGCUCUGGGAUGAACCAACGUCCGUGGGGACCUCGCUCCUUGAUCUUGGACUAACUUAUUUUGCCAUUAUAGUUCCGAUUGGAUUCAGAAAAGUUGAAGUUAUUAAAACAUGCCAUCGCAUACCUGAUACGUCUCCAACGUAUCUAUAAUUUUUUAUUGUUCCAUGCUAUUCUAUUAUCUGUUUUGGAUUUUUAUAUGCAUUAAUAUGCUAUUUUAUAUGAUUUUUGGGACUAACCUAUUAACCUAGAGCCCAGUGCCAAUUCCUGUUUUUUUCCUUGUUUUAGAGUUCGCAGAAAAGGAAUACCAAACGGAAUAAAACUUUUGCGAUGAUUUUUCUUGGACCAGAAGACACCCAGGAGACUUGGAGUGCAAGUCAGAAGAGCCGCGAGGCGGCCACAAGGGUGGAGGGCAUGCCCAGGGGGAUAGGGCAUGCCCCCCGACCUUGUGGGCCCCUCGGUGACCCCCUGACCUAGAUCUUCCUCCUAUAUAUUCUCAAAUACCCCAAAAACUUCCAGGGGAGCCACGAAACCACUUUUCCACCGCCGCAACCUUCUGUACCCGUGAGAUCCCAUCUUGGGGCCUUUUCCGGCAUCCUGCCGGAGGGGGAUUUGAUCACGGAGGGCUUCUACAUCAACACCAUUGCCUCUCCGAUGAAGCGUGAGUAGUUUACCACAGACCUAUGGGUCAAUAGCUAGUAGCUAAAUGGCUUCUUCUCUCUCUUUGGUUCUCAAUACAAAGUUAUCCUCGAUGUUCUUGGAGAUCUAUUCGAUGUAAUACUCUUUUGCGGUGUGUUUGCCGAGAUUUGAUGAAUUGUGGAUUUAUGAUCAAGUUAUCUAUGAAUAUUAUUUGAAUCUUCUCUGAAUUCUUAUAUGCAUGAUUUGAUAUCUUUGCGAGUUUCUUCGAACUAUCGAUUUGGUUUGGCCAACUAGAUUGGUUUUUCUUGCAAUGGGAGAAGUGCUUAGCUUUGGGUUCAAUCUUUCGGUGCUCGAUCCUAGUGACAGAAGGGGAACCGACACGUAUUGUAUUGUUGCCAUCGAGGAUAUAAAGAUAGGGUUUUCAUCAUAAUGCUUGAGUUAAUUUACAUCAUGUCAUCUUGCUUAAGGCGUUACUUCGUUCUUUAUGAACUUAAUACUCUAGAUGCAUGCUGGAUAGCGGUCGAUGUGUGGAGUAAUAGUAGUAGAUGCAGAAUCGUUUUGGUCUACUUGACACGGACGUGAUGCCUAUGUUCAUGAUCAUUGCCUUAGAUAUUGUCAUAACUUUGCGCUUUUCUAUCAAUUGCUCGGCAGUAAUUUGUUCACCCAGCGUAAUAAUUUCUAUCUUGAGAGAAGCCUCUAGUGAAACCUAUGGCCCCCGGGUCUAUUUUCCAUCAUAUAAGUUUCCGAUCUACAAUUUUAGUUUCCGAUUUACUUUCUUUGCAAAUUUUUACUUUCCGUUCCAUAAACCAAAAAUACCAAAAUAUUACUUUACCAUUUAUCCAUCUCUAUCAGAUCUCACAUUGCAAAUAACCGUGAAGGGAUUGACAACCCCUUUAUCGCGUUGGGUGCAAGUUGGUGUUUGUUUGUGCAGGUAUACGGUGGCUUGUGCGUUGUCUCAUACUGGAUUGAUACCUUGGUUCUCAAAACUGAGGGAAAUACUUACUCUACUUUGCUUCAUCACCCUUUCUUCUUCAAGGAAAAAACCAACGCAAGCUCAAGAGGUAGCAGGAAGAAUUUCUAGCGCCGUUGCCGGGGAGGCUAGGUAAGAGGCACUAACACCCGUCAACUAAGCCAAUUUCUGGCGCCGUUGCCGUGGAGAUCUAUGCCAAGCCAAGACAUACCAAGUACCCAUCAUAAACUCUCAUCCCUUGCAUUACAUUAUUCGUCAUUCGCCUCUCGUUUUCCUCUUCCCCACUUCUAAAAUGAUUUUCGAAAAGAUUCGUCUUUCCUUUGCCCCUCUUCCGUUCAUCUUCUUCGCUUGCUUUUUACAUGCUCGUGUGUUGGAUUGCUUGCCUAGUCUUCAUGACUCCUCCAAAGAACGUUGACCCUCACCUUAGAAGGUUAGACGAAAUUGAAAAUAAUGUUAGAAGCUUCAUGUCCUUACAAUUUGAGCAUAACAAUUUCUUUAGAAACGAACUCAAGGAGCAUAAAAGUUUUAUGAAAUACAUGAAUAAAGAGCUUGAUGAUAUGUCUAAGGAAUUUUAUGGUUUGAGAUCUCAGUUUGCGCAUCUUGAAAAUUUGGUAGGUCAAAUUUCUGAUAAACAAGCUACUUUAGUAAACAAAAUGGCCGCCAAACCAGAGGCUGAAAAUAAUGAUGAAGAUCUUAAAGUGAUUGAUGUGACUCCUAUUGAAUCUUUGUUUUCCAAUGUAAAUCUUGAUAAAUAUGGGACUGGAGAUGAGUCAACUUUAGUUAGAAGGCGUUCCAAUGAUUCGGAGUUUUUAGAUCUUGAUGCAAAAAUUGAUAAAAGUGGGAUUGGAGAGGUCAAAACUUUAGAUAGCAAUGAACUCACUCUUUUGGAUUUCAAGGAAUUUAAUUAUGGUAAUUGUUCUUUAAUAGAUUGUAUUUCCUUGUUGCAAUCCAUGUUGAAUUUUCCUCAUGCUUAUAAUCAAAACAAAGUUUCUACUAAACAUAUCGUUGAUGCUAUGAUGCAAUCUUAUGAAGAAAAGCUUGAAUUGGAAGUUUCUAUCCCUAGAAAAAUUUAUGAUGAGUGGGAACCUACUAUUGAGAUUAAAAUUAAAAAUUAUGAAUGCUAUGCUUUGUGUGAUUUGGGUGCUAGUGUUUCCACGAUUCCGAAAACUUUAUGUGAUGUGUUAGGUUUCCGUGAAUUUGAUGAUUGUUCCUUAAAUUUGCAUCUUGCGGAUUCCACUAUUAAGAAACCUAUGGGAAGAAUAAAUGAUGUUCUUAUUGUUGCAAAUAGGAAUUAUGUGCCCGUAGAUUUCAUUGUUCUUGAUAUAGAUUGCAAUCCUACAUGUCCUAUUAUUCUUGGUAGACCUUUUCUUAGAAUGAUUGGUGCAAUUAUUGAUAUGAAAGAAGGAAACAUUAGAUUUCAAUUUCCGUUAUGGAAAGGCAUGGAACACUUCCCUAGAAAGAAAAUUAAAUUGACUUAUGAAUCUAUUAUGAGAGCCAUUUAUGGAUUGCAUGCCAAAGAUGAUAACACUUAGAUCUAUUCGUGUUUUAUGCCUAGCUAAGGGCGUUAAACAAUAGCGCUUGUUGGGAGGCAACCCAAUUUUAUUUUUGUUUUUGCUCUUUAGGUUCUGUUUUGCAAUAAAUAUUUCAUCUAGCCUUUGGUUAGAUGUGGUUUUGUGUUUUAAUUAGUGUCUGUGCCAAGUAAGACCUUUGGGAUAGCUUGCGGUAAUAGUUGAUUUGAUCUUGCUGAAAAAACAGAAACUUUGCGCUCAGUCCUAGAAUUUUUAAAAAUCACAGAAGCGUCGAAAAAUUCUGAAUUGUUUACAGUAGAUUGAUAUACAAAUUGCCUAGGACUUCCUAAUUUUUCAGGAUUUUUGGAGUUACAGAAGUAUGCGAACUAUUCAGAUUACUACAGGCUGUUCUGUUUUUUGACAGAUUCUGUUUUUCGCGUGUUGUUUGCUUAUUUUGAUGCAUCUAUGGCUAGUAUCGGGGGGUAUGAACCAUGGAAAAGUUGGAAUACAGUAGAUAUUAAACCAAUAUAAAUAAAGAAUGAGUUCACAACAGUACGAAAAGUGUUGAUUUAUUUUCUUAUACUAAUGGAGCUUAUGAGAUUUUCUGUUGAGUUUUGUGUUGUGAAGUUUUUAAGUUUUUGGUAAGAAUUUGAUGGACUAUGGAAUAAGGAGUGGCAAGAGUCUAAUAUUGGGGAUGCCCAAGGAACCCCAAGGUAAUAUUCAAGGCGGCCAAAGAGCCUAAGCUUGGGAUGCCCCGGGAAGGCAUCCCCUCUUUCGUCUUCGUCUAUCGGUAACUUUACUUCAGGCUAUAUUUUUAUUCACCACAUAAUAUGUGUUUUGCUGGAGCAUCUUGUAUGAUUUGAGUCUUUGCAUUUUAGUUUGCCACAAUCAUCCUUGAUUUACACAUCUUUUGGUAGAGAUACGCAUGAAUUGUGAUUUAUUAGAAUGCUCUAUGUGCUUCACUUAUAUCUUUUGAGCUAGGCAAUUUUUCUCUAGUGCUUCACAUAUAUCUUUUUAGCACGGCGGUGAUUUUAUUUUAUAGAAACUGAUGAACUCUUGCACUUCACUUAUAUUAUUUUGAGAGUCUCUAAACAGCAUGGUAAUUUUCUUUGGUUAUAAAAUUAGUCCUAAUAUGAUAGGCAUCCAAGAGGGAUAUAAUACAAACUUUCAUAUAAAGUGCAUUGAAUACUAUGAGAAGUUUGAUUCCUUCUGAUUUUUGUUGAGAUAUGAAGAUGAUGAUAUUAGAGUCAUGCUAGUAAGUAGUUGUGAAUUUGAGAAAUACUUGUGUUAAAGCUUGUGAGUCCCGUAGCAUGCAUGUAUGGUGAACCGUUAUGUAACGAAGUUGUAGCAUGAGAUGUUUUUUGAUUGUCUUCCUUAUGAGUGGCGGUCGGGGACGAGCGAUGGUCUUUUCCUACCAAUCUAUCCCCCUAGGAGCAUGCGCGUAGUACUUUGUUUUGAUGACAAAUAGAUUUUUGCAAUAAGUAUGUGAGUUCUUUAUGACUAAUGUUGAGUCCAUGGAUUAUUGCUAGCCUCUCUAGUACCACGCGACUUUCGCCGGUACCAUAAACCCACCACAUAUCCUUCCUCAAAACAUCCACCAUACCUACCUAUUAUGGCAUUUCCAUAGCCAUUCUGAGAUAUAUUGCCAUGCAACUUUCCACCGUUCCGUUUAUUAUGACACGCUCCAUCAUUGUCAUAUUUCUUUGCAUGAUCAUGUAGUUGACAUCGUACUUGUGGCAAAGCCACCGUUCAUCAUUUUUUAUACAUGUCGCUCUUGAUUCGUUGCACAUCCCGGUACACCGCCGGAGGCAUUCACAUAGAGUCAUAUUUCUGUUCUAGUAUUGAGUUGUAAUUUUUGAGUUGUAUGUAAAUAGAAAUGUGUUGAUCUUCAUUAUUAGAGCAUUGUCCCAUGUGAGGAAAUAAAAAACAGAGAGAAAGGCCAAAAAAAAAAGGAGAAGUCCCAAAAAAGUGAGAGAAAAAGAGAGAAGGGACAAUGUUACUAUCCUUUUUGCCACACUUGUGCUUCAAAGUAGCACCAUGAUCUUCAUGAUAGAGAGUCUCCUAUGAUAUCACUUUCAUAUGCUAGUGGGAAGUUUUCAUUAUAGAACUUGGCUUGUAUAUUCCAACGAUGGGCUUUCUCAAAACGCCCUAGGUCUUCAUAAGCAAGCAAGUUGGACGCACACCCACUUAGUUUCUUUCUUGAGCUUUCAUAAACUUAUAGCUCUAGUGCAUCCGUUGCAUGGCAAUCCCUACUCACUUACAUUGAUAUCUAUUAAUGGGCAUCUCCAUGAAGGAAAUAUGCCCUAGAGGCAAUAAUAAAGUUAUUAUUUAUUUCCUUAUAUCAUGAUAAAUGUUUAUUAUUCAUGCUAGAAUUGUAUUAACCGGAAACAUAAUACUUGUGUGAAUACAUAGACAAACAAAGUGUCACUAGUAUGCCUCUACUUGACUAGCUCGUUGAUCAAAGAUGGUUAUGUUUCCUAGCCAUAGACAUGAGUUGUCAUUUGAUUAACGGGAUCACAUCAUUAGGAGAAUGAUGUGAUUGACUUGACCCAUUCUGUUAGCUUAGCACUCGAUCGUUUAGUAUGUUGCUAUUGCUUUCUUCAUGACUUAUACAUGUUCCUAUGACUAUGAGAUUAUGCAACUCCCGUUUACCGGAGGAACACUUUGUGUGCUACCAAACAUCACAACAUAACUGGGUGAUUAUAAAGGUGCUCUACAGGUGUCUCCAAAGGUACUUGUUGGGUUGGCGUAUUUCGAGAUUAGGAUUUGUCACUCCGAUUGUCGGAGAGGUAUCUCUGGGCCCACUCAGUAAUACACAUCACUAUAAGCCUUGCAAGCAUUGUAACUAAUGAGUUAGUUGUGGGAUGAUGUAUUACGGAACGAGUAAAGAGACUUGCCGGUAACGAGAUUGAACUAGAUAUCGAGAUACCGACGAUCGAAUCUCGGGCAAGUAACAUACCGAUGACAAAGGGAACAACGUAUGUUGUUAUGCGGUCUGACCGAUAAAGAUCUUCGUAGAAUAUGUGGGAGCCAAUAUGAGCAUCCAGGUUCCGCUAUUGGUUAUUGACCGGAGAGGUGUCUCGGUCAUGUCUACAUACUUCUCGAACCCGUAGGGUCCGCACGCUUAGCGUUAGUAUGACAGUUAUAUUAUGAGUUUAUAUGUUUUGAUGUACCGAAGGUUGUUCGGAGUCCCGGAUGUGAUCACGGACAUAACGAGGAGUCUCGAAAUGGUCGAGACAUAAAUAUUGAUAUAUUGGAAGCCUAUGUUUGGAUAUCGGAAGUGUUCCGGGUGAAAUCGGGAUUUUUCCGGAGUACCGGGAGGUUACCGGAACCCCCCGGUAACUUAAUGGGCCUUAGUGGGCCUAGGUGAAAGAGAGGAGAGGAGGCCAGGGCAGGGCCGCACGCCCCUCCCCCCCAGUCCGAAUAGGACAAGGAGAAGGGGCGGCGCCCCCCCUUUCCUUCCUCCCCUCCACCUCUUCCCCCUCUCUCUCCUAGUCCAACAUGGAAAAGGGGGGGAGUCCUACUCCCGGUAGGAGUAGGACUCCUCCUGGCGCACCUCUCCCCUUUGGCCGGCCGAACCCCCCCUUGCUCCUUUAUAUACGGGGGCAGGGGGCACCUCUGGACACAAUUGAUCAUUUAUCUCUUAGCCGUGUGCGGUGCCCCCCUCCACCAUAUUACACCUCGAUAAUAUCGUAGCGGUGCUUAGGCGAAGCCCUGCAUCGGUAGAACAUCAUCAUUGUCACCACGCCGUCAUGCUGACGAAACUCUCCCUCAACACUCGGCUGGAUCGGAGUUCGAGGGACGUCAUCGAGCUGAACGUGUGCUGAACUCGGAGGUGCCGUGCAUUCGGUACUUGAUCGGCCGGAUCGUGAAGACGUACGACUACAUCAACCGCGUUGUGUCAACGCUUCCGCCUUCGGUCUACGAGGGUUCGUGGACAACACUCUCCCCUCUCGUUGCUAUGCAUCACCAUGAUCUUGCGUGUGCGUAGGAAUGUUUUUGAAAUUACUACGUUCUCCAACACUCCAUAGCCCGCUGAUACGCCUAGUUGAUGUGAAACUAUCUCCUUCUCUUUGUCUUCUCCACAACCACCGUCUAUUCCACCUAUAGUGCUAUGUCCAUGGCUCACGCUCAUGUAUUGUGUGAAAGUUGAAAAGGUUUGAGAACAUCAAAAGUAUGAAACAAUUGCUUGGCUUGUCAUCGGGGUUGUGCAUGAUUUGAAUAUUUUGUGCGAUGAAGAUGGAGCAUAGCCAGACUAUAUGAUUUUGUAGGGAUAAGCUUUCUUUGGCCAUGUUAUUUUGAGAAGACAUAAUUAUUUUGUUAGUAUGCUUGAAGUAUUAUUGUUUUUAUGUCAAUAUUAAACUUUUGUUUUGAAUCUUACGGAUCUGAACAUUCAUGCCACAAUAAAGAGAAUUACAUGGAUAAAUAUGUUAGGUAGCAUUCCACAUCAAAAAUUCUGUUUUUAUCAUUUACCUACUCGAGAACGAGCAGGAAUUAAGCUUGGGGAUACUUGAUACGUCUCCAACGUAUCUAUAAUUUUUUAUUGUUCCAUGCUAUUUAUAUUAUCUGUUUUGGAUGUUUUAUAUGCAUUAAUAUGCUAUUUUAUAUGAUUUUUGGGACUAACCUAUUAGCCUAGAAGAACGUCGACGGUGUCAAUUCGUCGGCUACGACUUGCAAGACGAAGAACGUCGCCCGCAAAUUGUGGUGACACCGGCAGCAAGAGAGGGAGGCGGUGGCGGCGUCGCAGGGAGGUUCGGACGUGGUGGAGCAGUUGUGUCCUCCGUCGCGCCCGGAUCCCUGCACCCCUUCCCUUCGACCGCCGAAGCGGAUUGCGGCGUCCGACCCCCUUGGGAUAGAGGAUGAUGCGACCACCGACUGGGCCAUUCUGGACAACUUUCAACCCAUGCAUAUGCCGGCGGUCGACGUGUGUGACUUCCCAGCUCGUUUGGGCGCGGAUGAACACGGGAACGGGCACUGCCCGGGCUGCCCUCCACAUGUUCGACGGAGUGACCGAACAAGACUCUAUGCGUUUUGUUUGCUCCUGUCCGAUCAGUUUUUAGCAUAGACCACUAGUUUAUUUCGCACAUGAUGAAUGCUUGUAAACCAUAAUCAUGUAGGAGGCGUUCUUAUCAAACAUGAUGAAUGACAAUGAAGAUCCGACCGGAAUGGAGUAUGAAUUAGAGGCCACCACCGCAUUUGAGGUUGGGACAACAUCCGAUCCCAAUCUGAGCAAAAGGAAGAAGAAGACCAGGCCGCCGAAGGCAAGAGGUCUGGCAUUCUCAAGAUUUGAGAACAUCUUAUUGGUCAAAGCUUGGUUGGCCACAACAAUGGAUCCAAUAUGCGGCACCGAGCAGAAGGGGAACACCUAUUUGAUGAAGAUUUGGAAGGAGUAUCACGAGCGAAAGGAGUAUGUGGAUCCGCAUCCUAUCGUGACCACCCGCAAUGUGACAUCUCUCCAACAUCAUUGGGGGAUCAUUCAAGAGGAAGUGAACAAGUACGUAGGCUACUACUCACAAGUGACCAAACGGCCGCAAAGUGGGAUGGGAGUGGCAACUCACAUAAGCUCGAUUGCCUCAUAUUGUCAUCCAUUGCAUAUGCUUCUUGUGUUUGCAUUCUCGUGCUCAUACAUAUGUUGUUUGCUAGACGGCAGUGGCGGCCACUUUGUAUCAUGAGGUGGAGAAGAGGCCAUUUUCUUUUAUCCAUUGUUCCGUCAUAUUGAACGGCAAGCCGAAGUGGAACCAACUUGUGGCUGACCUCAAGUCCGGCAAGAAGAGGAAUGAUGGAUCAAGCUCAAACCAAUCAAUUGGGUUGGACGAUGAAGAGGACGAUGUUGUCAUGACGAAUGGAAAAGCCACCGUGCCAAAGGACAACCGCCAAGUCAUGGGAAAUAAGUGGGAGAAGGCACAUGCCGCCCGUGAUGCCGCGGCUAGCAAAAUGUUAUCCACAUGGACGGGCAUUUUUUCGGCGAGGGAGAACAAGAAGGAGGAGAGGUACAAGCUCAUGUUGGAUGCGCAAACAGAAAGAAUGGAGUGGGACCGCAAGAGGGCGGAGAAGAAGCUGGAAAUUGAGAGGGAAAAGAUCAAGCUCGAGAAGCAACAAGCGGCGAUCAAAUGGGAGCUCGAGAAGGCCAAGACAUUUGGUGACAUAUAGAUUGAGAGGAGAGGUUGCAACUUGCACGGGACGCAAAAGAUGCGAGGAUCAUGUUGACAGACGAGAUCCUCUAUGAUGAGCAUGCGAAGAAGUGGUUUGUGGACAAAAAGAUGGAGAUCAACGACCAUAGGAAGUACGAGGCGCCUGAUGACCCACAAGUAUAGGGGAUCUAUCGUAGUCCUUUCGAUAAGUAAGAGUGUCGAACCCAACGAGGAGCAGAAGGAAAUGAUAAGCGGUUUUCAGCAAGGUAUUCUCUGCAAGCACUGAAAUUAUAGGUAACAGAUAGUUUUGUGAUAAGACAAUUUGUAACGAGCAACAAGUAACAAAAGUGAAUAAAGUGCAAAAAGGUGGCCCAAUCCUUUUUGUAGCAAAGGACAAGCCUGGACAAACUCUUAUAUAGAGAAAAGCGCUCCCGAGGACACAUGGGAAUUAUCAUCAAGCUAGUUUUCAUCACGUUCAUAUGAUUCGCGUUCGGUACUUUGAUAAUUUGAUAUGUGGGUGGACCGGUGCUUGGGUGAUGUUCUUACUUGAACAAGCAUCCCACUUAUGAUUAACCCCUAUUGCAAGCAUCCGCAACUACAAAAGAAGUAUUAAGGUAAACCUAACCAUAGCAUGAAACAUAUGGAUCCAAAUCAGCCCCUUACGAAGCAACGCAUAAACUAGGGUUUAAGCUUCUAUCACUCUAGCAACCCAUCAUCUACUUAUUACUUCCCAAUGCCUUCCUCUAGGCCCAAAUAAUGGUGAAGUGUCAUGUAGUCGAUGUUCACAUAACACCACUAGAGGAAAGACAACAUACAUCUCAUCAAAAUAUCGAACGAAUACCAAAUUCACAUGACUACUAAUAGCAAGACUUCUCCCAUGUCCUCAGGAACACACGUAACUACUCACAAAGCAUAUUCAUGUUCAUAAUCAGAGGGGUAUUAAUAUGCAUAAUGGAUCUGAACAUAUGAUCUUCCACCAAAUAAACCAACUAGCAUCAACUACAAGGAGUAAUCAACACUACUAGCAACCUACAGGUACCAAUCCCAGACUUAGAGACAAGAAUUGGAUACAGGAGAUGAACUAGGGUUUGAGAGGAUAUGGUGCUGGUGAAGAUGUUGAUGGAGAUUGGCCCUCUCCCGAUGAGAGGAGCGUUGGUGAUGACGAUGGCGAUGAUUUCCCCCUCCCGGAGGGAAGUGUCCCCGGCAGAACAGCUCCGCCAGAGCCCUAGAUUGGUUCCGCCAAGGUUACGCCUCAUGGCGGCGGAGUCUCGUCCCGAAAGCUUGCUUAUGAUUUUUCUUCGGAUGAAAGACUUCAUAUAGCAGAAGAUGGGCACCCACUACAAACAAAAUACACUUCCGUGAUGAUACGUGUUUGUCACAAUAGGUCGCGUUUUUUGUUAUGCAUGUACAUCCAUGACAAAUUUAUGACAGAAUCAAGAUAGUCAUACCUGUGUUGUCAUAGAAGUGUUCCAUGACAUUACCAAAAUUAUCAUCACGGAAGUGUCCACUUCCAUGACGAUAAAUCGCGCGUCACAGAAGUGCUUUCGUCAAGGGUGACCGACACGUGGCAUCCACCGUAACGGAACGCCGUUAAGCUAUCGGGUCGGGUUUUGGAUCCGAUAACCCGUUAACAGCCCCGGCCAAUGGGGAUUUUCCACGUGUAAAAUCAUCAUUGGCUGGAGGAAACACGUGUCGGCUCAUCGUUGGGACAGAUGUCAUCCACUCAUUGGACAGAAGGCGCCUAUGAUACGUCGACACGUGGCACGGCCCAACAGAGGCCCAUUCAUGUGAAAAGGCCGGCCCGUUUGACUUGGUCAAAAGGUGGCGGGCCGGCCCAUGGAAAGCCUGUUAACGGCCUGUUCUCAUAUAGCCCAUUUACAGCCCGCUAACCCAAGGCCCGUUACGCCCUAUCCAAAUUAGGCCCAGUAGCGUCAUCUGGGCCAUCCAAUAUGAUUCCAGCCCGUUUUCACUUCUGGCCCAUGUAUGGCCCAUGACGUGUUUCGGCCCAUAUGACGCCCUAUGUAACUCUUGGCCUAUUAACGGCCCAUGGUGAAACUGGCCCGUAAUGAACAGUGUAUCACUUUACACCCAUUAACGGCCCGUGGUGAAACUGGCCCGUAAUGAACAGUGUAUCACUUUAUACCCAUUAAUGGCCCGUUAUUCCGUUGGGCCGUUUCCAGCCCAUGUUAUCUUUCGGCCUUCUCAGAGCCCAUUUAUUCUUGGGCUCAUUUCCAGCAUUCGUUUACUUACGGCCCGUUACUGUCAUUUUCUGCUUGUGGGCCAAAUUCAGCCCGUGGUUACAGUUGGCCCGUUUGUGGCCCGUUAAUAUGUUGGGCCGUUUUCAUAGCAUCAUCAAAUAUGGCCUAUUAACGAUGGCCCGUUAUGGUUGGCCCAUGAAUGGACGAUUCCAACUCUAGCCUGUUUACGGCCAUAAUGCGGUCUGUUUGGCCCAUGUUUGGCCAAUCGAUCAUACGGCCCAUAUAAGGCCCAUUGAUGAUAUGGCCCGCAGAAGGCCCAUUGUUUCUACGGCCCAUAGAAGGCUCAUUGUUUCUACGGCCCGUAGAAGGCCCACUGUUUCUACGGCCAGUAGGAGGCCCAGUGUCACUACAGUAAAUAUUAGCCCAUGGUUAUUGUGGCCUAGUUUUAAAAAAUAGCUUAUUGCAGCCACUAGCUAACCGCGGAACUGCAAUUACUACAAGCAAACAAAUAAACAAGACAACAAGGAAAUAAAUAAGCAAGCAACUAACGCUAGGCUAUCACGGCUAUUACACAUAUUACAUCCACUAGGCAUCAAAGUUCGCCACUAGUGCAAAUAUAGGGAACAAAGCAGCAUAUCAUAUACACUGGUUGUCAAAGUUGGCGACCAGCGAAAUAAACGCCGCAGCAAAACAAAUCCAGAACUGAAACCACUUCAGAAGAUCUCAAGAAACAAUAUCCUGGGUACCCAUAAUGCUGGCAAGAUGCCUAGCAAGCUUAUUAACUUUCUCUUGUUUGGCGCUUAAAUCCUCCAGUGCUUGCUGUUGCACCAGAAAAUAUGCAUCUGAAUUCUGCAGGGACUUCCUCAGUCCUUCAGCUUCCUGUCGCAGCACAUCUGAUCGAUGUCUUUCAACUUGAAGUUGAGACUCAAGAAGACGAACUGAUUUAGGCAGCGAGUUCGAAGAGCUUGUGCCAGCAGUAGUGGCCAGUAACUCGAACACUAUAUCAAGACAGGACUUUUGGGUUCCCUCACUAUCGUCAAGAUAGUUUUUAUCAGCUUUCUUGGAGACCAACAGGGAUGUCUCACUAUCUAGAACCUUAUCUGCAUUACUUCCUUUACCAUUGGAUAACGCGGUACUGUUCUCCAAUAUUUUGUCCGCAUUCUAAAAGAGAAACAAGCAGACACAUCACAUGUUUACCAUGUUGUAUAUGAAACUCAUUUUGGUAAAUGAGUUCAGUAGUAAAGUGGACAGGAUAACAGCAUGAAACAAACAUAUAUCUAUGUACCAUGGUCACUUUAUGGUCUAUAUCAUUCUAGUUUUUGUUGCCAAAUCAAGAUAGAGACACAGUUCAAAUAAUAUUUGUUCAAGACAAAGCAGAAUAGACAGAAUAUAAGUGUGGGUAAGUAUAGAGCAAUAACAACACUUGUAAUGUGCAUGACAUGAGAACAUAACUGUUUAUUCAAUUGAAACUGAAAUCAACAUAGAGCAGGUUACAACAGCAAACCAGUUAAAGAAACAGGUUUAAAACAUACCUGUUGCGCCAUUGGAGUUUCAAUUCCAUCCUUCAAAUUUGAAAAUAGUUGGUAUGAGUAAAUACAGUAAUGCAAGAGCAAAGGAGUAUGAACCAUAGCUACAGAACCUGACCUGAGAACAAAUCUUCUUCUCCUUUAAGCAUUGAGUUGGGAUUCGGAGUGGUGGUCCUCGUGCUUUGGGCACUGCAGUUCCCUUACUAACUGCUCGUGUUUGGGUGCUCUGUGGUGGAGACGGAGAUGUGUCAACUGGAACUGGGUUACUAUCUGCCGGGGUUGGGGUUAGAAGGGGUGUAGCUGGUUCUCUGUCCAACUGGGUAGGGGUACAAUCUGCGAGAGCCUGGAUUAUGUGUGGUGGAUCUGGUCCUUGGGCAAGUACAACCGUGGUUCUAUCUGCAUCAACUGGUAGCACUAUCUUUUCUGAAGACCGUGUUGUUACUCCCUUAGAUACUGCCAUCACGCUCUCCAAUUCAAAUGGCUGAUAAACAAGAAAAGUAAUUGAAAGUAUAGACAUUGUAUGAUAGACAGGUGCAAUGGAUAGUGGGGAAUAAAAGAGGGCAUGAAAUAAUUCAUAUUUAUGUUGUCUAACCAAACAGGAUAGCAUGACACGAUUUCACAUAUAUGAUAGCUAACUAAAUAGGAUAGCAUGACACAAUUUCACAUUAUGAUGGCUAACUAAAAAAGAUGGAAAGACAUAGUUCAAAAUAUGAGACUAUGUAAACAGGAUGACAUGACAUAACUAUAUAAUGUGUUUAUUAAAUAGGUUGGCAUGCCAUAAUUCACAUACAUUCACGGAUAGAAUGCCAUAAUUCAAAAUAUGAUGACUGUAAACACUAAACAGGAUGAGAUGAUAUAACUAUAUGAUGUCUUUAUUAAAUGGGUUGCCAUGCCAUAAUUCAGAUAGAUGAUGUGUAUGUACUAUGUAAACAUGAUGGCAUGAUAUAAUUCAAAUAUAUGAUUUAUAUAGUAAGCAAGUAAGCAGAUGGCAAUCCAUAUAUGAUGUAAAAACUAAGCAAUGCAAGACAACAUGCAUGACAUGGGUAAUAUAACCCUGCCAAGUUUGAGCAUAGACCUCAGGGGGGGAAAUAGGACUGGUCAUCAGUCUCUGAAUCCUCCUCUGAGGAGCUCUCUGUAACCAGCAAGAUGUCUGCUUCAGCAGGUAGCAUUGUCUACUCUGAAUACCUUGUUUUCACUCCAGAUACUUCCAUCACCGCUUCAAAUGGCUGAUGCACAGGAAGAGUAGUUGAAUAUACAAACGUUGUCGACAAAUGGAACACAUAAUACAAAAAAAUGAUAGCAUGAUAUAAUUCACAUACACGAUGAUUGGCUAAACAUCAUGGCAUUGCAUAAUUCACAUAUAUAAUGCCUUUGCAACAAGAUAGCAUUGUAUAAUUCACAUAUAUAAUGUCUUGCAACAAGAUGGCAAUGCAUAAUUCACAUAUAUGGUAAUUAGACACUAAACAGGUGGCAUUCACACAAAGCAUGUCUAAACUAAUCAAAUGACAUUGCAAUGCGAGACACCAUACGCACGAUAUGAGCACAUAACCCUGCCAAGUUAGAGCAUANNNNNNNNNNNNNNNNNNNNNNNNNNNNNNNNNNNNNNNNNNNNNNNNNNNNNNNNNNNNNNNNNNNNNNNNNNNNNNNNNNNNNNNNNNNNNNNNNNNNNNNNNNNNNNNNNNNNNNNNNNNNNNNNNACUGGUCAUCUGUCUCUGAAUCCUCCUCUGAGGAGCUAUCCGUAACCAGCGAGAUAUGCGCUUCGUCAGAUAGCAUAGUCUGCUCUGAAGACCUUGUUUUCACUCCAGAAUUUGGCAUCACCGUGUCAAAUGGCUGAUGCACAUGAAGAGCAGUUGAAUGUACUAACAUUGUUGACAAAUGUAAUAUGUAACAAAAAAAGGAUGGCCUGAUAUAAUUUACAUAUAAGAUGACUGGCUAAGCAGGAUGACAUUGCAAAAUUCACAUAUAUGAUGCCUGGCUAAACAAGAUGGCGUUGCAUAAUUCACAUAAACGAUGAAUAAACUAAACAGAUGGCAUUCGCACAAAGGAUGUCUAAACUAAGCAGAUGACAUAUUUGAUGUAUAAAGUAAGCAAUGCAAGACACCAUAUGCAUGAUAUAACCAACAUCAGCAUGCCAAGUUAGAGCGAAGACCUCAGGGGGUAAAUAGGAGUUGUCUUCUCCUUCUGAAUCCCCCUCAGAACAGAUAUCUUCCUCUCGAUUACAAUCCGAAAUGCGUGGAGGGGGGCUGCCUUUGUGCCUACCAUGGAGCGACGUCUGCAUGAAAUUUUAUCGCCACGCAAGGCUCGUCUCUUUUGCUCUACAUGUUCAGUUCCAUUGUUUACAAUAACUGUCAUGCAUAGGAAUAAAACAUAGUGAGAUUAUGUAAGGAGUGCAUGCAGAAAUCCAGAGUGAUGGUAGCAACCUGUGGAUAGACCCAAAACCAAUAAUAGCAGGCAGAUAAUGGCUUCAGUUAAAAAAUACAGAUAAUGGCUUCUUUACUGUUUGUUUCCCACCCAACAUGAAACUCAUAGUAGACACCGGAGAUUAACCAGAUAGUAGAUAGAUACUAUUGAUAGCGGCCCCGAUAUGUACCCCACAACCAUUUAAAAACUCAAGUUUGACCAUUAGUUUGGAGCUGACUCAGAGUCUAAUCGGUGAACAGGACGAUGAAGUAGCAUGUAAUACUAAGCGAUGCAUAACGUAAGCAGACACGAAAGAGUGCGACCUCUCUUGCAGACCCGUGUAGUCCUCGAGGUCAUCUACUCGGUUGAUGAUGGUAAUGCAGUUUUCAUGGCACCAGCGGCGGGGAAGAAGAUCUGAGGCGGCGAAAGACAGUCUGGAGGCCGGAUCCCUGCUGUGCUGGACCCUUCUGUCGUUGGAGCAGCUGAGCUGGGGUGGACGACGGCGCAGCAGGAGCGGGACAAACCACGCAAGGUUUUCUUUGGCAACUAUCUGUAAGAGAAGUAAUUCUUUAAGGGCUCGUUUGAAUUGGAGGAUUCCAACAAUGCAGGGAUAGGAAAUAGACAGGAAUAGGAUAGGAAUGCACGUGCAAAACAGAGAAUUUAAAAACACAGGAUUUCUGCCAAUCUGGGUGUUUGAUUCACAACAAUUGGAAGAUCACAGGAUGCAAAGAAGCAUGGUGAGAUUAAGUCAAACCACAAGAAAAUGUACGGUUAUAAUGCUAUUAUGCUAAUAUCUCUUAGUCUUGUGCUUCAUGAAUAGGAAUUUGAAAAGGAGGACAAGUGAGAAUUAAAAUUCCUACGUUUUUUCUUUCAAGGAGACACUAAAGGAACAAAUCUGUGUGCUCAGUGGACAAUAUAUAUAAUAUGUAGAGUAAAAAAGAGAUGCAACAAGUGUACAACCUCUUUGGCGAAGCCAUGUCGAUCUCAGCGUGAUUGGGUUGGCCGGUGAGGAUGCUCCGGCUAACUUUGCUGUCGGAGGAGGGGAAGAAGAUCUUAGGCGUCUGGAGAUGGAGCCCGAGGUACUGCUCCGCUGUGAUGGAGGGUUUCGUCGUUGGAGCAGCUCCGGUGAGUUGUACGACACCGAGGCUGAAGCAGGACAAGAGAGACAACGAACAACGUUAACCUGAGUGGAAUUAUAAUAGCAUCUCCAAUACAUGACGUAAAAUACAUAACCACAAAGUGCUAGAUGUAAAAUACAUCAGCCGCUCAUCUCUGAACUUAACUGUCGAAACUGAACUUAACUGUCGAAACUGAAUUUUGCUGUCGAAACUGAAUUUUGCUGUCGAAACUGAACGCACUAGCAAGGUGAGGCUACACGUCGGUCGACUGAAUUUUUCAUCUCUGGUCAGUCGAUUUUGCAGCCGUUGGAUACGAAAUCAAGGGCCUGCGGUUCAUCUUCAACCUCCACCCCCCUGAGCCGCCAGCCACCACCGGCCAAACAGCAGCCCCCCGCCGCCCGCGGCCGGCGGUGCGCCGCCCCGCCCGCCCCAAAAACACUCCCCACCGCCGGUCCGCCGCCGCCCCGGCCAUCCCUCUAGGCCCCCCAUGCCGAGCUUUUUCUUCGGCGAUCCCCACGCCACCGCCCCGCCAACGCCCCGCCACCGCCGGUGAUCACNNNNNNNNNNNNNNNNNNNNNNNNNNNNNNNNNNNNNNNNNNNNNNNNNNNNNNNNNNNNNNNNNNNNNNNNNNNNNNNNNNNNNNNNNNNNNNNNNNNNNNNNNNNNNNNNNNNNNNNNNNNNNNNNNNNNNNNNNNNNNNNNNNNNNNNNNNNNNNNNNNNNNNNNNNNNNNNNNNNNNNNNNNNNNNNNNNNNNNNNNNNNNNNNNNNNNNNNNNNNNNNNNNNNNNNNNNNNNNNNNNNNNNNNNNNNNNNNNNNNNNNNNNNNNNNNNNNNNNNNNNNNNNNNNNNNNNNNNNNNNNNNNNNNNNNNNNNNNNNNNNNNNNNNNNNNNNNNNNNNNNNNNNNNNNNNNNNNNNNNNNNNNNNNNNNNNNNNNNNNNNNNNNNNNNNNNNNNNNNNNNNNNNNNNNNNNNNNNNNNNNNNNNNNCCAUCCCGAACCCUAAGAUAGAUAGUGGGGUACCUCUCCGGCGAGCCCCCUCCCCACUGCGGCUGGUUCUUCCUUCACCCCGGCGAGCCCCCCCCACCCCCUGAAAAUCGACUGACCCAAAAGUCGAUUCAGUCGACUGAAGUGUAGCUAAAUCGGAGCAGCAUCGCAAACAAGAGCAAGAGCAAGAGCGAGAGCAGUAGCGCGAGCAAGAGCAAUAGCAAGAGCAGACCAGGCAGGGGACCGAGAGCAAGAGUAGAGCAGCAGCGCGAGCGAGAGCUAAAGCAGCAGUAGCUCCUACUGAUGUGGACGUCGCCGCCGAGGGAGCGACGCCGUGGAGGAAGUGGCCGGCGACGCCGCCGUGGAUGGUGCCGCGCCGUGUCGGCUCGGGACCGAGCGCCGGCAGCACCGUGAGAUUGAAUCAAGAAGAAAAUGCGGCAAUUAGUGUACAACCUCUUUGGUGGCGCCGAUUAGGCCGCAGCUUCAUCCGAGGAAACGGUGACGAUGAUGCUCUUCCGGUGGUGCAGGCGAAGACGGCGGUGUGGGAAUGGAGGUGGCGUGAAAGACGAGGGGAACGUCGGGGCAGCUCCUUGGAGGUGGAGGACGGGGUGGUUGAACUAGCGGGACGAUGAGAUCGACGGCGGAUCCUCAUCCGGUACGGUGGAUGAGGGACGUCGAGGUGUUGCUGUGGACGACGUCGUCGGGGAAGAGGCUUCGGCUGGGUGGCGGACGGACCAGGGUGUGGGGUUUCGUCGCGGGUUUUCGCGGCCUCGGUGUACGAAUGGGUGGGCGGAUGGGAUGGCAGUGGGAAACCAUGGCUUAGAGACGCGCUUGUCCGAAAUGUGGGGUAAGUUACGAAAGCACCCCCACCGAUUUGAGGCAGUUCUUUCGGUUCAGGGGUACCACGGGCAUUUCGCGUGUCGGGAUUUCACGGGAGGUGGGAGUUUUCGCGCGCGUUGUAAUUUCGGAAUAGCAAGGCGCGGGUUGAGAUGGAGGGAGUUGUCGGAGCACAACGAUACAAAGAUAUAUCUUAAAUAUUUCGGGCUAACAAGGCGCGGGUUGAAAUUUCCGGACAAGCCUAACGUGUAUUGUACCAAAUCAAUGCGCACUACAAAUGUCAUUCAAAACUUUGAAUUCAUGUUAUGUUCAAUUAAAAUAUUUCACUACGUGUAUAAUGCAUGCAACCUACUACUCAAAUGAACGUUUUAGUGCAUUCCAAACGUAUAUACUACCGCUUCAAUAUGAACUAAAUUUGAAUUCGUUUCUCUAUUUGAAUAAGAUCUACAGUAAUGAUUGUUGUGAAGUCAAAGCAUUUGAAUUCGUUUCUCUGUUUUAAUAAGAUCUACAAUCAUCAUUAUUGUCAAGUUAAACCAUCGCUUGUGUAUUAUCUUCAUAGCACACCACAUGAUUAGUCUCGAGAUACAUAUGAACUAUGUGUACUAUAUGAACUCGAACUAGAUUUUUUGAAUCCACUUUAUUUUGAUUUCAAAUCACAUUACAUUUCUAGCUCUAGCUAGAUCUUCAUAAUCUAAACCAUGUCUCAUAUGUAUAAUGUGUUUAUCACAUUAUGUAUGGUGCCCCGCCCCCUACGCCUGCAAAUAUUUAGAUGUGAGUUGCAAACACCACACAUUACCACAAAUUCAAAUAAAAUGUGAGAAUGUUCGAUAUAUAGUAUUGUUUAGAUUGUUCGAUAUUUAGUUGUAAGCUGCAAACGCCACACAUUAUCACAAAUUCAAAUAAAAUGUGAGAUUGUUUGAUGUAUAGUAUGGUUUAGAUUGUUCGGCAUUUAGCUGUGAGUUGCAAACGCCAUGCAUUAUCACAUUAUGGUAUAACAUGUGCACAUCACGUGUAUCACCGCAAUAUUCAUGCAUGCAAUGUUUAAAACACUAUGAUCCCCUAUUCAAAUAUAUGAAUCCGCUUUCAUAUCAAAUUAUGAUCUUUGUUAGUCUCUUACACCCACACAAUCCUCUAACCUUUGUAGCUACCACUAACUUUCUCUCGUGCAUGCACACGCCCUCCUCGCCCCCCUCCCUCGGCAUUCUAUCCACCGGGCACAUUCAUUUUUUUCUUUAGGUCGUUCUCCUAGAGUCUCCACAACUCCUUUCUGACACACACCGAUCGAUAAACCUCUCCAGCGAUGCCUGCCUACAACAUACACACACACACACCUUCAAUCUCCUCCUUUAUGUGUCCUUGCCUCGUGUCUCUCAUACGGUCAGACACACGUGUAAACUCUCGCCCCUCUUUUCAUCGAUCUCACAACCGCACACUCCUCCCCCUAUCUAGCUAGUAGUUGGGCCUCUCGCACCACCACCUAGCUCCAUUCUCUCUGUCUAUCCGUCUCGCUGGGCCUUAUUUGCCUCUAACAAAUGGACGUACACCGACCGAUCUCUCGCUAUACAUAUAGCUAUCUAGGUCCUUAUAACUCGCUUUUACCCACACGUCAAUCGAUCUACCUCAUUAGUUGUGUCUCUCCCUUCCUCCGACAAACAACAAUUGAUCUACCGAUCUAGUUAGGUUUGCUUACCAAACACAUGGUUCCCCUUCAUCAUCCAUGGAUGCGUCCCGAUAGAUCUAUCACGCACAGGCACACACAGAAACACAUCCCCACUCUUAUUGAUAACAUUGCAGUUCCACCCUCAGUUUGUCUAGUAGGCCUCUCCCACCAUCUUCGAGAAGCAACUCCAUCACCCAUCCAGCACUCUACCCCUCUCCCUCCCUCUCCCUCCCUCUCUCUCUCCUCUCUCUCUCUGUCCCAUCAUAUUUCCCGUCCUUCAGUUAUGUAUGGAUGUCGACCGAUCUCCCUCAAGACAUAGCUGGGUCUCUCCUUCUCAACACAUAUACGAGUCGUUCUACCUCUAUAGUUAGGCCUCUGCCUACCCCUCCCCCCACCUCUCCCCCCCACACACACACCGAUACAUCGAGCGCUCUAGUCAUGUCUCCCUGCCACACACAAACUUGACAUGUGCCCUCUAACGUUCCGGUAGGCCAGUCGCCCUAUAUCUUUGACUUGCACACACACACAAUUUCGAUGGCUCUCUUCAUCGGUCUCGCACCCACCCACUUGAUCCUCUCUUCGACUCUAUCGAUAGCUAUGACCCCUCCCUCUCUUCUCGUGGAUUGCCUGACCCUCUAUGUAUGAUAUGGAUAGGCCUCCAUUUCACACACAUUGCAUGCAAAAAAAAUUUGAGAUGUCAUCGACACAUAUUCCCACAAAUAAUUUACGAAAUCAACCCCCACCCCAAAACAAAAAACACUCACGAACGCGGUUUGUAUCUCUCACACACACCCACGUAGGUGGGGGACGUGCACGAAGAGAAGAGGUGCAUGCACAGCGCACGUACAACCGUCUCUUUCCCAACCACACCCGUGCGGGUACAUGGUGGAGCUCAUUUCUGUACGAAAAAGGCAGCCCACGUGGUAAUUUGGCACGUGUACUGGUUGUCCACUUGGUGGAGGGAGGAUCGUCUACCACGGGUGAACAAACAAAUUGCGACUUGACGUGUUAUGUUAAAAAAAGAGGCAAACCAUGUGGGGCCUACCUUAGAGGCAAGGCUCUAUACACUGGAGUACUUUUGAUGUGUCCCGUCAACUCGCAGAACAAGGAGAAGCUUGCUUAGUACGCCGUCUCCCCCGCCCACGGGCGCGGUGGCUCGCAGGAUGAGGUGAAGCUUGCUCCGCCUUACGCCCGCUCCCUCGCCCAUGCGCGUGGUGGCUCGCAAGACGAGGAGAAAAAUUUACUGCUCCCUCCGUUUACUCCUCGUCCCUACUACCUUGGUUAUAGAGAUUAUAUCAUAUUGUUUGGAAUAUAUAUGUCCUUUAAUAGAUUUCAAUAUGAACUACUAGUACAUACUCCAAACACUGAUGUAUAUAGACGUAUUUUAGAGUGUAGAUUCACUCAUUUUGCUCCGUAUGUAGCACUCUCCCUCGCCCCUCGACCCUUGCCCACGUGGUGGACGUGCUGCAAUUCAUUCGGUCUCAUAUAGCCAGAAUGAUAUAUACUGCACUACCAUUAUUGCUCAACUUCCCGAAGAGGCGAAGAGCCAAUCGCAAGGUUAAUAUUUUGGAGAUGCCAAGCACAAGGUUAUAGGAGAACGAGUAGUAGGUGCCGCGUCAUUUAUAAAUAAAGUUUUUUUUCUUCAGUGGCACGUACGCAAUAUGAUAGGUUCAUAUGGAGAGAAAAGGAAACCGCUCCACUAUAUACAUAGUCAGGACGGGCCAGCCUACACGGUUGCUUGCUGGGGUUGCUCUCAUCACACUCUCUCGCACAAAACGACUGUGGCCACAUCUCUAACAUCCCGGCGGAUCACGUCCGCUUGGGGAAGGGGUGGAUGCUUAGUGUAGAUGCGGUGGCCGUCGCCGACGGUGAAAACCCACUGUCGGCACAUCCCGAUCAGGGGUCCCCGCCGUUCUCUCUCACAAAGCCGGUGAGGUUGCCUUCGUCCCUUGCUCACUGCCGCGACGUGGGCGGUUGCCGCCUCCCGCCGCCCUCCUCAAGGUUGAGCUACGUCCCUCAGGUACAACUCCUUUUACAGCCGGCUUGCACCACUGCUCCAGCUGCCCACAUCACUCCCUGUGGAUAUUUCUCUACUUCUAUGCCCCGCACAUACCUCUACUGGCUUCUACGUACUGUAUUUGUGAUGAGUUUAUGUCUCAUCAACUAGUCCCAGUAUUCUUAUUCUAAUCACGAUUCUUCAAUUUCUUUGCCACAAGGAUGCUCAUCUCGAUUUUGGUGAAACUGAACAAAAUGAUCCGAUGGUCAAAAGGUUGCAAACUUCAUUUAUUAGGAAGCUCGAACGUUGCCAGCAAAUUGAAGCCUGGUCAGGGUUCACGGUUCAAGGGCUAGGGACUGCAUGGAUCAUUUUUUUCUUUAGCCGCCUCUGUUCCAAAAUAAGUGUCAACUUUAGUAGUAGUACAACUUUGUACUAAAGUUUGCACAAAGUUGAGACACUUAUUUUGGAACGGAGGGAGUACAUAUUUGCUAUGAUCUGUCAAUCAUUGAGAUGCAAUAGCAUGCAUGUUAGUCUCCUUUGUAUUUGAUGAAAUGUUGCAACGGGCAACCUUGGACGCAAGAUACAUGUAACAGAAGCUGGAAGCUUCAUAGCAUUGUACAAAUUUAUCUCGCUGUAACAAAUUUAUCUCGCUGAUAAAUUACAGUACGUACUAUACUAGUACUUCCUCCAUUCCUAAAUAUAAGUCUUUGUAGAGAUUUCACCAUGAACCACAUGCGGAUGUAUAUAGAUGCAUUUUAAGUGUAGAUUCAUUCAUUUUGUUCCGUAUGUAGUGGAAUCUCUACAAAGACUUAUCUACUAGUAAUAGCUAGCCCCCCACUACUAGGAAUUAUCUAUCCUCUCCUUGAGCCACAUCAUCAAAAUUGAUGUAGCCGUUAGAUGAAGUAAAUCAGUCCAUAAUAGCCGUUUGAUCUAGACGUUGAGAGGCUCCGCACUAAGCCACAUGCAAGCAUGCAGAAAUACCGUGGCACAUGCAUGUGAGUGGGUUUUAAAUCACAUCAACAUGUCUGCAUGCAAGCAUGCACCGGUAGCAUGCAUGUAAGUGAGCUUUGAAGUCCCAUUAACAUGUCAAAAAGAAAAAUAUAAUCCCAUUAUGCAGUAGGAGUUGGGUGAUCUUUUUUCCUUACGUGGGAUGAUCUAAAUGAUGAUGGGAGUUUAUUUAGUUUGGCUACCACAUUUGUCAUGCGGUUAUAGAGUUUUUUUUAGUUCUAUGAAAUCAAUAAUUUUGCGCAGAGAGAUAUACCGCUGUUCCGCGGCAACACGCGGGGACUCAUCUAGUAAUAUUUAGGAACGGAGGGAGUACUAUGUAAAGAGUUAGGUGUCGCACGGUGAUAGUGUGAGGUGGGCCAUGUAAUCACUGAGCCUGUGUGUUUUCAUUGCUCUUGCACGCCUUCGCUGUAAGAAUGGAGAAAAUUGUAAUCUAGUAGUAGUACCUCCUUUCGCCGAAAGCGUGGGACAUCCAGCAGUCCUACCACCUCAGUAAUAAAGACCAAUGAGCCGUCAAAUCACAUAGACCCAGCAGUAAGUUGGACGGACGAAGCAACCAUCACUCUUGCGCCAGUGAGAGGUCGCGUCCGCUCUUUGGAGCGGCGCUGACCGUUUCGGGCGGGAAGCGCGUGCGGGCGAUGGAGGGGCUUUGGGUGGGCCAGGCUGGUCAGGAGCGGGCGUGGCAGCUGUCCACAUGUCCCUACCGGACACGCCCGGAAAUGAGAGGAUGCACCGACUCUCGCGGCUAAAAUCGUACUACACUACACAACAUCUCUCUGUAGGAGUAGGUCGAUCUGUCGCUCUCUCUAACACACACAUGCUGUUAAACACACACACACACACACGCACCUUGGUCCCGUUGCACCUUCUAACGUGACUUAUUACACCUAGACGAAGGGAGUAGUAAGUAUAUGAGAUACGGUGGCACACUGACUUAAGUCGAAUACAAGUGCCCAAAAUUUGUGUGCAUGUUAUAAUAAGGAUUCACUUAAAAUAGUACGUGAGCGAACAGAGGGAUCAAUUGGACAGUGUUCCCGAGCAGUAGCGAGAUGUGUGAGGUAAGAUACACCGCUGGCGCUUUUAAUUUUUCUUAUUAAUUAGUUUGUUUCACCCUCUGACUGGUGGGACCCAACGUACUACGUGGAGAAAGGUAAGGUGACUAAGGCUGCAUUAUUUCUGCACCACUGUGGAUAGUCUUACCACCAAAGCCACAUGACACGAUUAUGAUUGAAAUCCCAAUGACUCCCACACACACACAAAAAACACGGCAUGCUUGUCACAUGAAUGUAUAAAAGGUUAUUUCCCUCUCGUUGAACAUAACGGGAGGAUUGUGUAGCUGGUUAGCCUGUUCGCCCAUCAAACUUGAGGUCUCGCGUGGAUUCUUUGACUGGUCAAAAUGUUUUCUAGGGUUUGCAUGCUUCACACUCUCUCUCCAGUAUAUAUAUACACGCUGGAGCCUCAGCGCUUGUAGUUGCUCUCUUCACACUCUCUCGCCCUCUCCCGCUGGAGCCUCAACGCUUGUAGUUGCUCUCUUCACACUCUCUCGCCCUCUCCAGAUCUAAACAAGACUUCGUUGGCCUCUCUCUCCCCUCACUGCUGCUCAAAGAGCCGACAGGAUCCGUUCGCCGGGAAGGGAAGGAGGCUUAACGCUGUCGCCGUCGGCGAGGGACUACCAGCGCAGCUGUUCACUUUCCACCCAGCGGCGGCGCGGGAGGGCCUCCGACCCCUUCUUCUUCGCCGCCGUCCCGUCGCCCACCGAACCACGCCCCAAGAACCUUAAGGUAUAAUUUACUUACUCCACAUGCAUUGCUCUAGCUGCAUGUAUACCAUGAAUCUAGGACGUGGUUCAAAGAGGAAAGGAGUGGGGGAAAGUAGUGGGAAAAGUUGUAUAUAGCAUGAAUCUAGGAGGUGGUUCAAAGAGGAAAUGAAGGGGGAAAGUUGUAUAGCAUGAAUCUAGGACGUGGUUCAAAGAGGAAAGGAAUGGGGGAAAGUAGUGGGGAAAGUUGUAUCGCAUAAAUCUAGGAUGUGGUUCAAAGAGGAAAAGAAGGGGCGAAAGUACUAGUUCAAAAAGGAAAGGAAGGGACAAGGCUGUAGAGUUUGAGCAGGACUAGAUUUGCUGCGCUUACAUAGGGAAAGGUGUCUAAAGAUAACAAAACUGGGACCAACACAAAUAUGCUCCUUGGUUGUUUGUUCUUUGUUGCAACAGAUUGUGCAUGACCACAGUACAUCGGUAGAUGCACAUGGUGCUGGUGCGUCCACUGUCCCGUGCAACUCAUUAGCUGUUGUUAAUCUAAGGCCCUGUUUGGUUAAAAACUCCCUAGUCCCUACCUGCUUGGUUCCAGGGACUAAACAUGGACUGGAGGUUAUUAAAUGACAUGCUAAAAGACCAUGUUACCCCUAGUAAUGAACUAAUAGAGACAAGGUGCGAUGCGUGGCAGGGGCAACUGUUGGAAAAAGUCCCAAAAAGACUCCCUCGGGGUCUUCUUUCUUUAGUCCCAAAUGCCCACUUUUAGUCCCUAAAAGUCCCUCCUGUUUGGUUUAGAUGGGACUGACACGGAGUUUUUUUAGUCCCUACACCAAAAUGUCCCUGUAAACAAACACCCUCUAAUAAUGCCGCUGGAAAAUUGAUGCAAUGCCACAGUUAAAAGCAAAUUACAUGUUUACUGAAUUUUAUUGUUAAUAUAAUCUCUAUGUUAAUAUUAAUCAAUGCCACCGUUUGAGAAAUGCUACUGUCUUGCUUUCUUUCCCAUUUAGAUAAGGUAGAUGCUUCUUUUUGUUGGCUUCUGUGUCAUCCACCGUUAUUGACCACUAAUUGUUUCCUUUGCACCUCUGUGUAAACAGGGUUAUCUACUUCACCUCGUUGCCAUUGUGACCUUUUGUUGCACUGCACAAAACACUUUUGUUUUAAGAGUGUUUUGUGCAGUUCAACCAAAAUGUCACGCCGACAAUGUUGCUUGAUUGCUUGAUCUUAGUGGAACUGCACAAGAGGAGAUCUUACUUCCUAUCCGUCAAGGUGAAUUUGGUUCAGAUCUUCUUCUUGUGAGUUGUUUGAAUUCCGCAUCAUGAGAGGUCAGUACUAGCCUUCUUUCACAUGAUUCUGCAGUGUGCUUUCAUAUGUUGUGCUACUUGUACGAUAAUGUUGCUUGAUUUUAGUGAACUGCAGAAAUGGAGACAAGACUUCCAAUCUGUAUGUGCACCGUAAUAUCCCAUUGAGGUAAGAUAAGGAUAUUUCACAACUGCUGGCCUGUAUUUUGCCACUUUCAUCAGAAAAUUAAGUUUAGUACUAUACUUGUGCUCCCUAAUUGACAUACCAAAUCUUACAUUGACGGCGAAGCUUGUUUGUUAUUGAACCAAGUGAUGAAGGGGAAGAACAAGCGGAAGAAAAACAAAAAUCAACUCCCGGUGCUGUAAUGAAGCACUGGAACUGUGAUGACACAAGUAAUGAUAUAGUUUUGCAUCUUAAUUUAUUGCUAUGGCUGGAACGAACAAUUGUUUUGCCACUGAUUUGAUGCCACUAUUAAUGUAAUAUGUAAUUAUCUCUACUUGUGCAAACAGGGAUCUUCUUUGAAGAUACCAUAUAUUUUAGUGCAACUGCACAAGAAGAUGUUGGAAACAUUAAACUAAUCGAGGAGUAUAUAGUAAGCAUGGCCACCACCGUAGAUAGCAACAGAUGGUUCCGGAGAAGUGCUUCAUCUGUAUGCUCUACACAAUAAGCCUCCUGACAAAGGUUGGUACUCGCCCACUGAUUUCAGCCAUAUGAUUGAGCUUUGUCAUCUCUAUUGGUGUUGUGCUACUGUUUAGAUACUGUCAUGAAAAAGUGGUAUUGUCCUUGAGAAGUGCUUCAUCUGUGUUGUUUUAAAUAUUUCCUUUCCUUUUUUUCGAGCAAACAGGGAUGCUAGCAUUUAGUAGUCCUCUUGUCUUUGCACAACAGGAUCAUCUUCCUCUGAAGAAGAAUAUGGAGUACGUGAAGUGACUAGUUCCAAUUAUGCCAGGAUGAAGAAGCCAUGUCUAUCUUCUCAUCAGAAGGAGCAGUUGAAGGAUGGUUACAUUACUCCCCACAAGACCAAACUAACUUCAGCUCAGAAGGACUGACAAAUCUCCAUUUUUUUGCUGUGAUGCGCGAGUACAAUGUUGUUCUAGGAUUCUUUCUGGUGAGUUCCAUUUUUCUAAAAGUGUGCUCUACAUGGACCAUGUAUGUGCUUGUUGAAACUGUUAAUUCAUAGUACAGUUUGCUUUAUACUAAUCACUUUUUUGUAUUUGUGCAAACAGGGGUGCUCAGCUUGAUUUCAAUGGGAACUGCACAAAAUGUUCAUGAAUACAUCGAAUCAUUCAUUUCCACCACAAGAAAGGAGGUGCCGAUAAGUUCAAGGUGUUGCAACAUAUGAGGGCGAAAUCAUACAAGCUACGCGCGAAUUUGGUUGAUUUUGGUGGAACUGCACAAAAAGAACAGCUGGUUUAUUUAGCACGAGGUGCCAUGUCAAUGUCCGAACUGAUGGCAAACCCUGCCCAUUCCACAAUCGUAGGCAUUUGAUAUUUUGGAAUGGGACAACCUUGUCAAAUUUUGCUCAUUGAUUUUAGCAAGACAUCCGUUUGAUAUUUUCGAAUGGGACGCCCUUUGCUGUCAGCAGCGUCGAUCAAUUUUUUCUUUAUUCUUUAGUUGUGAAGUAAAUAUUUCCUCUGACAUGUGAGUCGCUGAGAUGCAUAAUCAUCGAUUGUUUUGAAUGUUCUCUAUGAAUUGCCAGGCCUGUGUGUUUGAUUGCAAUGUACAGAAACGCUAAAAAGCUGCUCAAACUCUUUGUACUCCUUCUGUUCCUUUUUACUUCGCACAUUGUGAAAGUACAUACUUUUUUGUAUAAGAUUGGUCAAAGUAGAGAUACUUUGACUGCAGACAAAACUUGUAUGCAGACUAGAAAGGACCGGAGGGAGUACAUGUGAAACUGCUGCAAACGAGGUGAUCACCCUGGGAAUAAUGCUAGUACGUAUUGUUUUGCAUGUUCAUCCAAUGCCAGUGAUACAUGAAUUCAAACUAAUCAAAAUAAAUUCAUUCAUACACGGUCGGAUUUCAUAUAAACAUGCCAGAUUUCAUUACAUUUCAUACAUUCUUCAACUAAAAAGGGGUGCGCUGGAGGUAUAACUAAUUAACCGAAGCUACCCACCUGUGUCCCGCUGAGCCGAACAGAAGCUUCAGUGACUUAACUGCAGGUGCAGUUGCGUAACUGACAUGUGGCCUGUUGGGCCCACGUGCCAGUCAGCCAACUGCACCAGCAGUUAAGUAGAAGCAGCGUUCUUCUCCAGCGCAGCUCUCCGACUCCACGUCGCCGCCAAGAAGCUAACCGGCCGUCAAUGGUCAACCCGCCUAGCUUGGCUUCAACCGGAGGGUAGCAGCGGUGCCCUUACUUGGACCCGAGCGGCGGCGACCUACCGUGUUCUACUCUUCCUCGUUUUCUGUGUGGCGCGGCCUCGGCGGAGCCGGCGAUGUCCUCUGUCUCGUUGAAGGCGGGCGGCGCCUCAGCGAAGCGGUGGAAAUCCUCCCCCAUGUUGCCGGCAGGGUGGGGCCUCGGCUGAGCCGGCGAUGUCCUUUGCCUCGUUGUUGGUGGGGCGGGGCCUCGGCGGAGCCGGCGGUGUCCUCUGCCUCGUUGUUGGCGCCGCGGGGCCUCGGCGGAGCAGGGCCUUGUCGACGCCAGCGGAGCAGGGACUCGUCGGAGCCGGCAUUGUCCUCUGCCUCGUCCUCGGUCUCGCCAAACAGCGCCUCGCCCGCUUCAUCGCCCUCUUUGCUAGCCUCUUUGUAGGCGGCCACAGCCUCCGUCACCCGCAUGCGGUACCACCAGCGCUCGAGGCGGCCCUUGCGGGCGGAGCGGUAUGAGUCGAGCAGCGCCUCCUACUCCGCCCGCUCCGCGGCGAUCUGCUCCUCCGCCUGUAGGUGCUCCUGGAGGAGAUGGUGAUUGUAGGCGGCGUCGGCCUGCGCCUCCCGGAACUGCUCCUCACGCAUCUGCCUCACCCUGUCCAUAUAUUGGGCACGGGCCUCGCUGAUGGUCAUGGUGCAAUGCACCGGCGAGGAUGGCGCGGAGGAGGGGGUUGGAGCCGGAUCGUCGACUACCAUGUUCUCCAUUGGGACGUUGUCGUCCUCCGGCUGCCUGCCGGCUAGCCGGGAGGCAGCAAUGGCUGCCAUCUCCUUGUGGUCCGUCGUCCGCCCGUCCCGAAGAGCGCUGGAGCGUGAGGAAGCCAUGGUGGGCAGUAGUGGUGUGGACAGGAGAAAGGGAACGAAUGCGGAUGACUGCGGCUAUGGCCGGCGCAGCAGUUUAUAUAGCAAUGGUGGGCGGGCGGAGGGACGGACGUGUGGCGCCGGAGUAGCCGCCUCGGCAACCGUGUACCAUUAAUGUGGGCGGCAGAUGGACGGACGGAUGGCACUUGUGUUGUUUGAAGGCGGAGCAAUCGCCUGCACCGGGAAGCGGGGCGGGCGGCGCUGACUGUUUCGCGCGGAAAGCGCGUGCGGGCGAGGAGAUGACUUUACUUGGAGAGGAUGACAAUGGGGACCCACUAGGUCCAUAGCCUCACGUACGCAAGUGCCUCCUUAUUAUAUAUAUACAUAUAAAACUAUAAUUUAUUUUGCUUCCUCCUGGUUUCCUAACAUCACGGUCCCACACCAUUGUCAACCUAUGUAGUAGUCAAUAAACGAGAGAAUUGCACAAGAAGCGGCCGACAGCUGGGAUCAAGCAGCUCGAGCAGUAUUUGUGUUUUUGAGGUGUGAGCAUUGCAGAGUUUUUUGAUGUUUAGCCCAGAUAUUAAUUUUUCACCUCUGAACAACAACGAAAACAUCACUGCAGGCAUUAACUGGGCGGGCUGUGGCCCGUCUAGCCCAGGCCAGAUAUCCAGCCCAGAUAUUAAUUUUUUUCAAGCUGAAAAUGGCUAUCCCAGCUAUACUUUUUUUUAGGAAUACCUAGGCAAGGUCAAGUUGUUAUUCUCUGCCCCGCUGGGCUGCAAAUAUUUCCUAGGAGGGAUUCAUUAGGCUUAACAAGAAAAUGGGCUUUAAGAAAUAAUAAAUGGGAUGUAAUUAUAAAAACUGGGCAGUAACUAUAAAAAAAUGAACCAAACACGUGAUUACUUUAUAAAAUAUUAUUUUUGGAUAUUGAAAAUUUUAAUUUCAUUAAUUGUUGCGAGCGCAAUGUUUCGUUGGAUUUUUACGUAAUAUAAAAUUAUAUUGAAAUUGUAUUUAAUCUGACUAGAAAUUUCGGGAUAAAAAUAUUUCAGAUCCCAUCAAAAUGUGGGAAAUUUUAUUGAAUUCUGUUUUGAACGGUUGGUUGAAAUGGGUUGUACUUUUAACAAACUGUAAAUGGGCUGUAGUAAAUUCCAUUAGAAUUCAAAAAUGGGCUACACAUUCUUACAAAUCUCAAAUGGGCUAUAAGUUCUCUGCCACACACUUCUGGCCUUACUAAGUUGACGCGUCCCCUAAAAAAACUGAGUUGACGCGUAUGCAAGGCUUUGUUAACUUAUAGUCAACACACGGUUCUAGCAGCAGUGGCCGUUGGAUGUCCAUCCAACGGAUGCCGUGCUUCUUCUUCAAUCUCGGAUGUUCUAGCUUCACCCGCCCAAAAAAUGAUUCCUCCCCCUGACAUCUGGGGCGCACCAUUUCGGAAGCUGACCUGUGGGCCUACUAAGUUGACGUACCAAGGGCUUUGUCAACUUAGUCAAUAUAAGCGAUUCCAGCUGCAGUGACCGUACGAUGUCCAUCCAACGGCCGUCGUGCUUCUUCAACCUCUGGUCUUCUUGCUCCAGCCGCCCAAAGCAGCGCCGGUCGUGCCGCCUGCUCCUGCCUCCCGUGGCCGGCUGUGCUGCCGCGGAGGCCUCACCGCCCCUACUACUCCCACCGCUGGUCAGGCCAUCCCUCCACUCACCCACACCCCCUGUUAUUCUGCGGCGACGGCAGCGCAGCCGAACCAGUGAACCCUCGUACUCCUCUCCGCGUGUGCAUCCACUGCCGCGUCUUCCCCGGCUCCGCGUCGUCCCCUUCCUAGGCCUCGCCGUCGUCCACCGCCCUGGUGCUCUCGGCGCGGCGUGGUCAAUGUGGUCAAGGAACGACUUCCAUCGGACGUGGACUGUACGUGGAGAGGCUGACAGCUGGGUCCACGGCAGCCGCAAGGAAGUGCCUCCUUAUUACGCGGGAAAUAAUUAUUCCUCCACCUGACAGCGGGGACCCACCGAACGGGCCACCAGUAUUUUGUGAAAAAUAUCGUUUCCCCCUAACUGCUGGGACCCACCGGACGGGCCACCGUAUUUCGCAAAAAAAACGUUCCCCCCGCUGUCAGCUCGGACCCACCGGAAGUGCCUCCUUAUUACGCACAAAAAAAUGAAUACUCCCCCGGCUAGCUGGGACCCACCUUGGUGGGAGGCUGACUUGUGGGCCUACUAAGUUGACGGGGACGAAGGGCUUUGUCAACUUAGUCAAUAUGAACGAUUCUAGCUCCACUGACCGUACGAUGUCCAUCCAACGGCCUUAGUGCUUCUUCAACCUCUGGUCUUCUUGCUCCAGCCGCCCAAAGCAGCGCCGGUCGUGCCGCAUGCUCCUGCCUCCCGUGGCCGGCUGUGCUGCCGCAGAGGCCUCACCGCCCUACUAUUCCCACCGCUGGCCAGGCCCUGCGGCGACGGCAGCCUCACACCGCAGCCGAACCAGUGAACCCUCGUACUCCUCUCCGCGCGGGCUUCCACUGCCGCGUCUUCCCCGGCUCCGCGUCGUCCCCUUCCUAGGCCUCGCCGUCGUCCACCGCCGUGGUGCUCUCCGCGCGGCGUGGUCAACGUGGUCAAGGAACGACUUCCAUCGGAAGAGUACUGUACGUGGAGAGGCUGACAGCUGGGUCCACGGCCACAGCCCAGUUUUUUUGUGAUUUGCCAAGUAAGUUGCUUUGUCAGGCCUGUUGGGCUGCAAAUCUUUCAAGACGAGGAGAGCUUUCAUUCGGCUGGCCGAGAAAAUGGCCUAUCAGUAGUGAGAAAUGGGCUGUACAUUUUAAAACACAUCAAACCGGCAAUUAGUUUCAAAUAUCUUUUUUUUCAUUUCAAAAUUUUAAAUUACAUUAAUUUUUAUGCGUGGAGAAUUUGUUGGAUUUUACAUUGAUAUACAUAUAUUUUUAAAAUCAGUUUGAAUGUGAGUGGAAAUUUCGGGAUUAAAAACAGUUCGGACCGCACCGAAAUAUGCAAAAUUUCGUAUAUUUUUUUAACCGUGGCCACAAUAUGGGCUGUAAUGCUAACAAAAAGAAUAUGGGCUGCAAAAAAACCUUAAGAAUUAGCAAAUGGGCUGUCAAUUAUUAGAAAUAAUUUUAGAUGGGUUGUAUGCUGUUUUCCACAGAUUUGAGGCUUUCCUAAAAAAAGGUUGACGCACAAGCACUGACUGUUGGAUGUCCAUCCAACGGCCGUCGUGCUUCUUCAAUCUCUGCUCUUCCUGUUCCAGCCGCUCAAACAAGCGCCGGCGGGACUGCCUGCUCCCUCCUCCCCGCGGCCGGCUGUGCUGCCGCGCAGGCCUCACCGCCCCACCGUACUCCCAUCGCUGGCCUAGCCAUCCCUCUACUCACCCACACCUGCUGUUAUUCUCCAGACGAACCAGUAAACCCUCGUACAGUCGUACUCCCCUCCGCGUGGGAAACAACUGCCGAGUCUUCCCUGCCUCCGUGUCGUUCCCUUCCUAGGCCUCGCCGUCGUCCACCGCCCUGGUGCUCUCGGCCCGGCCUGGUCAACGUGGUCAACGACCGACAUGCAUCUGAAGUGGACUGUACGUGGAGAGGCCGACAGCUGGGUCCACGUCCGCACGCAAGUAAAUGCCUCCUUAUUACGCGCAAAAUAAUGAUUCCUCCACCUGACAUCAGGGACCCACCGAAAGGGCCUCUGUAUUUCUCGAAAAAACGUUACCGCCGCUGACAGCUCGGACCCACCAGCUAUAUCUUCGCACGCAAGGAAGUGCCUCCUUAUUACGCACAAAAAAAAUGAAUACUCCCCCUGCUAGCUGGGACCCACCAUGGUGGGAGGCUGACUUGUGGGCCUACUAAGUUGACUGGGACGGGGGCCUUUGUCAAGUUUAGUCAAUAUGAACGAUUCUAGCUCCAGUGACCGUACGAUCUCCAUCCAACGGCCGUAGUGCUUCUUCAACCUCUAGUCUUCUUGCUCCAGCCGCCCAAAGCAGCGCCGGCCGUGUCGCAUACUCCUGCCUCCUGUGGUCGGCUGUGCUGCCGCGGAGGCCUCACCGCCCCCUACUAUUCCCACCGCUGGCCAGGCCCUGCGGCGACGGCAGCCUCACACCGCAGCCGAACCAGUGAACCCUCGUACUCCUCUCCGCGCGGGCUUCCACUGCCGCGUCUUCCCCGGCUCCCCGUCGUCCCCUUCCUAGGCCUCGUCGUCGUCCACCGCCCUGGUGCUCUCGGCGCGGCGUGGUCAACGUGGUCAAGGAACAACUUCCAUCGGACGUGGACUGUACGUGGAGAGGCUGACAGCUGGGUCCACGGCCGCAGCAAGGAAGUGCCUCCUUAUUACGCGGAAAAUAAUGAUUCCUCCACCUGACAGCUGGGACCCACCGGACGGGCCACUGUAUUUCACGAAAAAAACGUUUCCCCCUGACUGCUGGGACCCACCAGCUACAUCUUCGCACGCAAGGAAGUGCGUCCGGGCAAAAAAAAAACGAUUCGCCCCCCUGACUGCUGGGACCCACCAACUACAUCUUCGCAGGCAAGGAAGUGCCUGACAGUCGGAACCAACCUGGUCGAAGCGUACGUAGCAUUGUUAUUCUGGUCGCGAACGUGUAUGUACAUACUGGUUGAUGUAGAGGCGUGCACGUGUCGUAGUAGAGGCACGCACGUAGCAUGUACACGUACGUACAGCGGCCAGUGUGCAAGAAAGAACAUACGGCCACGUACGUACAUACGGGCAGGGUCUCGAACGCCUACUCGCGCAUACGUACGGCCAGGGCUCGUGUACAUGGCUGGGUCGGAACGGAGAAAAAGCGUCGUCGUCGUGUUCAUGGGGAGCCAACCGACUGGGUCGGAACGGAAUGCGUCGUCGUGUUCAUCGGGAGGGCUUGGACGGAACAGCCCAUGGAAACGAGGCCUGGCGUACCGCAGAACAGAGGAAACGGCCUUGUGUUCGACCGGCCACGUUUGAAAUGGGAUCCUGUUCAUCGGGAGGGGUCUGGCGUACCGCAAAACGGAGGAAACGGACCUCCUACGGUCGAAACGGGGGUCCUGUUGAUCGGGAGGGGUGUGGCGUACCGCAAAACGGAGGAAACGGACUUGUGUUGGAGCGCUACGGUUGAAACGGGGGUCCUGUUCAUCGGGAGGGGUGUGGCGUACCGCAAAACGGGACUCCACGGGACACUGUUCAUCUCCACCGUCGACCCCCUCCCGCCUCCACGGGCUACUUUUCAUCCACCGUCGACCUCCUCCAGCCUCCACCUGCGACUGUUCAUCCACGGGCUCCUGUUCAUCCAGCCUCCACCACGCGCUACUCCACCGACUACUAUUCAACCACCCCUCCACGGGCUACUGUUCAUCCAGCCCUCCACGGGGUGGUCCUGUUCUUCCUGCCCUCCACGGGGUGGUCCUAUUCAUCCUGCCCUCCACGGGGUCCUGUUCAUCCUGCCCCAACCGGCUCGAUCGAUCGGGGUCCUGUUCAUCCAGAGGCAACACCACGGGGUCCUGUUCAUUCACCCCNNNNNNNNNNNNNNNNNNNNNNNNNNNNNNNNNNNNNNNNNNNNNNNNNNNNNNNNNNNNNNNNNNNNNNNNNNNNNNNNNNNNNNNNNNNNNNNNNNNNNNNNNNNNNNNNNNNNNNNNNNNNNNNNNNNNNNNNNNNNNNNNNNNNNNNNNNNNNNNNNNNNNNNNNNNNNNNNNNNNNNNNNNNNNNNNNNNNNNNNNNNNNNNNNNNNNNNNNNNNNNNNNNNNNNNNNNNNNNAGCAUCGAUCGGCUUCAGUUAGCAGCAGUAGCGAAGGAAUCGCUCGAUCGGGUUCAGUUAACAGCCAUCGAUCGAUCGCUCGGGUUUAGUAACGCGUAGCCUGCAUUGCAAUCGCUCGGGUUCAGUUAGAGCCCAACGCCUCGCUCGGGUUCAAUUAGAGCCAACGCCUCGCACACACGCGCGUACGUGUACGAGAGAAACGCGCAUCGCUCGGCCCCCGACCUCCCACCGUAACCGGCAACUCCCCGAAAUUUUCCUCGCCCUCGCUUCUACCACGGUUUUUUCCGUCAUGGAUGACCCAAAGAAUGUCAUGCAGCUGCGUCUCCGGCCCGCCCAGGACGAAAAGCCCUUUUUCUGUCAUGAUUUUUUGUCAUAGAAGUAGGAGCCCACCACAUCUAUGAUGAUACCGGGUUUUGUCACAAUUAUCGUCAUAGAAGUGUCAUAUGUAUGACAAAAAAAAAUUUCGUUCGGCCCAAAAUGUCACGGAUGUGUCUUUUUUUUUGUAGUGGCCGGAGGGCCAAUAGGGGGCCCACGAGGCAGGGGGCGCGCCCAGGGGGUAGGGCGUGCCCCCCACCCUCGUGGCCAGGGUGAGGGCCCCCUCUGGUAUUUCUUCCGCUUAGUAUUUUUUAUUAUUUCCAAAAACAACUUUCGUGGAGUUUCAGGACUUUUGGAGUUGUGCAGAAUAGGUCUUUAAAAUUUGCUCCUUUUCUAGCCCAGAAUUCCAGCUGCCGGCAUUCUCCCUCCUUAUGUAAACCUUGUAAAAUAAGAGAGAAUAGGCAUAAGUAUUGCGACAUAAUGUGUAAUAACAGCCCAUAAUGCAAUAAAUAUUGAUAUAAAAGCAUGACGCAAAAUGGACGUAUCAGCGGCGAGGGCGGCUGCAGCCUGGAUGCAGGCGGAGGAGGCAGCCCGGAUGCAGGCAGAGCAAGAUGAGCAGGAGCAGGCGGCCAGCCAGUGAUCCGAGGCCAUCCAUCAUGCUCGGACAUUGAUUUUAUUUUGCCAUGUCUGGUUUUUUGAACUAUGAUUUUCUUUACUUUGAUUCGAACUUUGGCAUUCAGACAAUUUGUAUUGUAUGAUUGACGUGCAUGGAUUGCAUGAAUUUAAGGAUUGGAAUUUGUGAUAUGGAUGUGCAGCAUAAUAUUUGAGGAGUGCCCGGUCAAUGCCCGCGAACGCUUCCGGAUGCGUCCACGGGUGUUUGAGAGGCCGGAUUUGUCAAGUCCGACUGUAGAUGCUCUUAUCAUUACGAAAAACGAGGCCGCGGGACGGCAAAACUCCGACCGAGUCAUAUGCUUACAAGAUCGAAAAUAAGCCAAGCCUGGCUGAACAUGGUAUCCCAGCAUUUAAACAAAUCGUGGUGUUGUUGCUACUUGGUAUGGGAUCAUUUGUCAAAUUAUGGCAUAAGGCAAGGCAAUCACAUUUACCAAACGCAAAGAAAACUUGAGUAAUUUUGUCAAUAGAACCAUUCGUCUGGAAGUUCAUAGGAAAUGGAAAUAUAUACUUGUGCCAAAAGCGAGCAAGGUCGAUCAAUCCACAUCAAGUUCGAUACAUAUAGCAUACUUUUCAUACAGCAAAAGCAAGCGACGGCGGCAAUGUGAGACAAAGAACCUACUUAAUUCCACAGAAGCAUAUUUUUUGAUAGAUCCACCUGAGCGUCUUGACGUUCGACCUUUCAUACGCCACAUCACAUGAACCUGCUAUGAGUAGUUUGCUCAGUCACUUGAAACAGAUAACAUUUUCCCCAUUGACAACAGAGUUAUGAACCUUGAACUAAACUUUUCAAAGUUCGGAUUAUCAACGACGGCUACCUAUGUGUACUGUCGAAACUGGAGACACAUAAGAGAUUUCUUUCAAUCUUUGACCAACUCCGUAGUUAUUGUCGCUCUUCUGUCCACACCUUUCAUCAGAUGGACUUGCCCCAUGGCGCAUCCAUCACCCUCCCCAACAUGACACAAUCCAGGUAGAGAUUAGAGUAGACCAUAUUCUUUUAAAAGGAUAUAAACUGGUUAGCAGUUCAUGCAGUCCUAUAACCCAUCAUAUAAUUUACCUAAAUAGUGAUACAUUUGUGCUCAAUGAACAAUGCAGAAGACAUGAACAAUACAUGCAUUGGUAAAUAACUAAAUGUGUACUACCAACAUCACUUGAAAGGCAGAAGACAUGAACAAUACAUAACAUGCCUUAAAAUAAAUCCAUUUAAGAAAAGUAUGAAUAAAAUUCAAUGGAUAGAUUUAAUCUGCUCCCACAUGUAUGUAACAGUAACGUGUAGCUUGUAUGGAGAAGAAAAGAAAGCGGGUCACAUAAUCGUAAGUAAAAGAACUGAAGAUUUAGCAGAAAAGUAUGACUAAAAAUUAAUGAACUGAAGAAAGCAGGUCACAUGUCAUAUUCAGAGCACAAACCAAAAGAAAAGUAGGAAAGCCUUGGUAGAACAAAUGCUGCCUAGUGUCCUAUAGAUCUGUGGCGCGGCUUACCGUGCGUUGCCCGCUAAACAGCUGGCAACCAAAUAUGAAUAAUGGUUUUGAUAUGAAUAAAUAAAGGUAACUGUUAAGGUCACUUUACUCAAAUACUUCACAUAGGAAUAUUUUAAUCUGUUUAUACAUAAAAGAUUUGUAUCUCCCAAGGUAUGUCCAAAGAAUUAUCAUCAAAAUGAAGGAACCUAGUGGAUGUUUGGCAGCGACCACAUAAGCAAUAUACUUUGUGCAAGAACAUAUCGACCUAAGAAACAAAGUGGCAUCUAUUUUUCAAAAUUGUUCCCAUGCACUUUUUAAGUCUAUUGCUAGAUAUCGACAUAAGUUCUCCAAGUCACAGGGUGCCGUUGUUUUUAAGAACAUGCUCUUAAGUCUGUUGCAAGAACAUAUUUACCUAGAACUAUUUUUGCACAACAUACAUAGUUAGCAUAGAGUAGAUAAUAACUUUGUCAAAUUAUUUAACUAUGAAUCUUCCAACCAUGGCAUUGAGAGAAAAUGUGUUUAUGACAGCAAUUAUGAAACUGUACAUUCCCUAGCUACGGAUAAAGAUGAGGCAAGUCACAGGGUGCCGCCGUUUGGUUUCCUCGUUGGCAAAUUGGAGGGGGGCAAGGAGAGAGGAGAGGGAUGGCAAGUUGGCUCCGCACCCCAUGUAUCUGACCUGCAAUGGAUAGUGCGGGAUCCAAAUACUGCUCAUCCAACAAACAUAAACGCACUAAAAUUUCUAGAAAGAAUGAUUCAUACCAAAAUCUGGAGCUGCCAAUUAAUACCCAUGCUAGAUGUUAAGCUGCUCUUCCUUGUGGUCGAUGAUUAAGACUUGUAGUUAACCACGUAUGCUUAAAAAACACAAGCCCGAACAUACAAACAUAGGAAGGCAACACUACAAAAGAAAACUUAAUUACCAUGACUCGCGGAGAAUGAACCAUCUUAUAAAAUGAAUUCUUGGUUUAUACCAUCAUAGUUUGAUGCUUGUAUUGCGAUAACACAUAACUGUGGAGGGAAAUAUAAGGAUAAAUAAUAAGGAAAAACCAGCUCAAAUCACAACAGUAAGUAUUUUGUUCAGUUUGACAUGAAUAUCAAUACCAGGAGAAAAAAACAUAUGGUACACAAAUAACAAAUUAUUAGAGUAACCAGCUUCAAAAUAGAUAUGCACGAACACACUACUUUUAAAAUAUACACAUCAUCAUACAUAGGAUGUUCGGACUUCAAACAUCCAUAAUAUCAAAGAUAUAAGACUUUAGAAUAACACUCACCAUAUCAAAAGGAACUAAAUAGUCCAUGCGCAACAUAUAGUGAUUCGUCAGUGAAUGCACACCCUUGUGCCAUAUAAAUCUCAUACACUUCCAACCCACACAAAUUAAAAAGAAGGCUUUGAAAACCGAAGCAACCAUGUGGGCGUGCUGCUUACCCCAGGAGCCGUCGAGCUCUCGAACAUGGAUGCCCUGGUCGCCGUCCUCAUCCAUGGAGGGUGCCUGCAACUCCAAUAUAUCAAACAAAGGUGACAGUAGAGAGAGAAAAUAACCUGUCACAUGAUAUGAGACAAUAAUAUAAUCUUGCAAUAAUGAGCAGUAGCUAAUUAGACUCGAUCCAGCACAGAAGCACAUCAAGCACUAACUAAAUAACCCACACAUAGCCAUGAAACAGAGCAUAUGGUACUACCUACCUAGAGCAGCACAAGAGAAACAUGAAGGAAAUAUGCCCUAGAGGCAAUAAUAAAGUUGUUAUUUAUAUUUCCUUAUAUCAUGAUAAAUGUUUAUUAUUCAUGCUAGAAUUGUAUUAACCGGAAACUUAGUACAUGUGUGAAUACAUAGACAAAAAGAGUGUCCCUAGCAUGCCUCUACUUGACUAGCUCGUUAAUCAAAGAUGGUUAAGUUUCCUGACCAUAGACAUGUGUUGUCAUUUAAUCAACGGGAUCACAUCAUUACCCAUCCAUUAGCUUAACAUAAUGAUCAUUUAGUUUUAUUGCUAUUGCUUUCUUCAUGACUUAUACAUAUUCCUUUGACUAUGAGAUUAUGCAACUCCCGAAUACCGGAGGAAUACCUUGUGUGCUAUCAAACAUCACAACGUAACUGGGUGAUCAUAAAGAUGCUCUACAGGUGUCUCCGAAGGUGUUUGUUGGGUUGGCAUAGAUCAAGAUUAGGAUUUGUCACUCCGUGUAUCGGAGAGGUAUCUCUAGGCCCUCUCGGUAAUGCACAUCACUAUAAGCCUUGCAAGCAAUGUGACUAAUGAGUUAGUUACAGGAUGAUUCAUUACAGAACAAGUAAAGAGACUUUUCGGUAACGAGAUUGAACUAGGUAUGAUGAUACCGACAGUCGAAUCUCGGGCAAGCAACAUACCGAUGACAAAGGGAAUGACGUAUGUUGUUAUCCCUUUUGACCGAUAAAGAUCUUCGUAGAAUAUGUAGGAGCCAAUAUGAGCAUCCAGGUUCCGCUAUUGGUUAUUGACCAGAGAUGUGUCUCGGUCAUGUCUACAUAGUUCUCGAACCCGUAGGGUCCGCACACUUAACGUUCAAUGACGAUUUGUAUUAUGAGUUAUGUUUUUGGUGACCGAAGUUUGUUCGGAGUCCCGGAUGAGAUCACGGACAUGACGAGGAGUCUCGAAAUGGUCGAGAGGUAAAGAUUCAUAUAUUGUAAGGUUAUAUUCGGACAUCGGAAUGGUUCCGAGUGAUUCGGGUAUUUUUCCGGAGUACCGAGGGGUUACCGGAACCCCCCGAGGAAGUGUUGUGCCAACAUGGGCCUAAGGGAGAGAGAGAGGGAAGCUCGCGGGGGGUGGCCACGCGCCCCCUCCUCCUAGGGAGUCCGAAUAGGACAAGGAGGAGGUGGCGGCGCCCCCUUCCCUUUCCCUCUCCCUCUCAUUCCUAUUCCCUCCGGUGGAGAAAGGAAAGGGGGGGCGAAUCCUACUUGGACUAGGAGUCCAAGUAGGACUCCCCCCUUGGCGCGCCCCUCCUAGGCCGCUGGCCUCCUCCUCCCCCCGUUUAUAUACGGGGCGGGGGCACCCCAAAGGCACACCAAGAUUUGUCUUAGCCGGGUGCGGUGCCCCCUCCACAGUUUACUCCUCCGGUCAUAGCGUCGUAGUGCUUAGGUGAAGCCUUGCGCGGAUCACAUCACCAACACCAUCGCCACGCCGUCAUGCUGAUGGAACUCUCCCUCGACCCUCUACUGGAUCAAGAUCUCGAGGGACGUCAUCGAGCUGAACGUGUGCUGAACACGGAGGUGCCGUACGUUCGGUACUUGGAUAGGUUGGAUCGUGAAGACGUUCGACUACAUCAACCACAUUGACAUAACGCUUCCGCUUUUGGUCUACGAGGGUACGUGGACACACUCUCCCGUCUUGUUGCUAUGCAUCUCCUACAUAGUUCUUGCGUGGCCAUAGAAUUUUUUUGAAUUACCACGUUCCCCAACAGUGGCAUCCGAGCCAGGUCUAUGCAUAGAUGAUAUGCACGAGUAGAACACAAAGAGUUGUGGGCGAUAAUAGUCAUACUGCUUACCACCAACGUCUUACUUUGAUUCAGCGGUAUUGUUGGAUGAAGCAGCCCGGACCGACAUUACAUGACCGCGUUCAUGAGACUGGUUCUACCGACGUGCUUCGCACACAAGUGCCUGGGGGGUGUCUGUUUCUCCAACUUUAGUUGAAUCGAGUUUGACUAUGGCCGGUCCUUGUUGAAGGUUAAAACAGCACACUUGAUGAAAAAUCAUUGUGGUUUGAUGCUUAGGUAAGAACGGUUCUUUCUAGAAGGCCGUAGCAGCCACGUAAAACUUGCAACAACAAAGUAGAGGAUGUCAAACUUGUUUUUGCAGGGCAUGUUGUGAUGUGAUAUGGUCAAGACGUGAUGAAAUAUAAAUUGUUGUAUGAGAUGAUCAUGUUUUGUAAAAGUUAUCGGCAACUGGCAGGAGCCUUAUGGUUGUUGCUUUAUUGUAUGGAAUGCAAUCGCCAUGUAAUUGCUUUACUUUAUCACUAAGCGGUAGCGAUAGUCGUAGAAGUCGUAGAAGCGGUAGCAAUAGUUGGCGAGACAACAACGACGCUACGAUGGAGAUCAAGGUGUCAAGCUGGUGAUGAUGGAGAUCAUGAUGGUGCUUUUGAGAUGGAGAUCAAAGGCACAAGAUGAUGAUGGCCAUAUCAUGUCACAUAUUUUGAUUGCAUGUGAUGUUUAUCUUUUAUGUAUCUUAUUUUUCUUAGUACGGCGGUAGCAUUAUAAGAUGAUCCCUCACUAAAUUUCAAGGUAUAAGUGUUCUCCCUGAGUAUGCACCAUUGCUACAGUUCGUCGUGCCGAGACACCACGUGAUGAUCGGGUGUGAUAAGCUCUACGUUCACAUACAACAGGUGCAAGCCAGUUUUGCACGUGCAGAAUACUCGGGUUAAACUUGACAAGCCUAGAAUAUGCAAAUAUGGCCUCGGAACACUAAGAACGAAAGGUCGAACGUGAAUCAUAUAGUAGAUAUGAUCAACAUAGUGAUGUUCACCAAGGAAAACUACUCCAUCUGACAUGAUGAUCGGACAUGGUUUAGUUGAUAGGAAUCACGUGAUCAUUUAGAUGACUAGAGGGAUGUCUAUCUAAGUGGGAGUUCUUAAGUAAUAUGAUGAAUUGAAAUUUAAUUUAUCAUGAACUUAGUACCUGAUAGUUUUUGCAUAUCUAUGUUGUUGUAGAUCAACGGCCCGUGCUACCGUUCCCUUGAAUUUUAAUGCGUUCCUAGAGAAAGCUAAGUUGAAAGAUGAUGGUAGCAACUACACGGACCGGGUCCGUAACUUGAGGAUUAUCCUCAUUGCUGCACAGAAGAAUUACGUCCUCGAAGCACCGCUAGGUGCAAGACCCGCUGCAGGAGCAAUUGCGGAUGUUAUGAACAUCUGGCAGAGCAAAGCUGACGACUACUCGAUAGUUCAGUGUGCCAUGCUUUACGACUUAAAAUCGGGACUUCAAAGACGUUUUGAACGUCAUGGAGCAUAUGAGAUGUUCCAGGAGUUGAAGUUAAUAUUUCAAGAAAAUGCCCGAGUUGAGAGAUAUGAAGUCUCCAACAAGUUCUAUAGCUGCAAGAUAGAGGAGAAUAGUUCUGUCAGUGAACAUAUACUCAAAAUGUCUGGGUACCAUAACCACUUGACUCAGCUGGGAGUUAAUCUUCCUGAUGAUAGUAUCAUUGAGAGAGUUCUUCAAUCACUGCCACCAAGCUAUAAAGGCUUCGUGAUGAACUAUAAUAUGCAAGGGAUGGAAAAGACAAUUCCCAAAUUCUUCGCAAUGCUAAAGGCUACGGAGGUAGAAAUCAAGAAGGAGCAUCAAGUGUUGAUGGUUAACAAGACCACUAGUUUCAAUAAAAAGGGCAAAGGGAAGAAGGGGAACUUCAAGAAGAACGGCAAGCAAGUUUCUGCUCAAGGGAAGAAGCCUAAGUCUGGACCUAAGCCUGAAACUGAGUGCUUCUACUGCAAAGGGACUGGUCACUGGAAGCGGAACUGCCCCAAGUAUUUGGCGGAUAAGAAGGAUGGAAGAGUGAAAGGUAUAUUUGAUAUACAUGUUAUUGAUGUGUACCUUACUAAUGCUUGUAGUAGCGCCUGGGUAUUUGAUACUUGUUCUAUUGCUCAUAUUUGCAACUCGAAACAGGGGCUACGGAUUUAAUGAAGAUUGGCUAAGGACGAGGUGACGAUGCGCGUGGGAAAUGGUUCCAAAGUUGAUGUGAUCGCCGUCGGCACGCUACCUCUACAUCUACCGUCGGGAUUAGUUUUAGACCUGAAUAAUUGUUAUUUAGUGCCAGCAUUGAGCAUGAACAUUAUAUCUGGAUCUUGUUUGAUGCGAGACGGUUAUUCAUUUAAAUCAGAGAAUAAUGGUUGUUCUAUUUAUAUGAGUAAUAUCGUUUAUGGUCAUGCACCCUUGAUGAGUGGUCUAUUUUUGUUGAAUCUCGAUUGUAGUGAUACACAUAUUUAUAGUAUUGAAACCAAAAGAUGCAAAGUUAAUAAUGAUAGUGCAACUUAUUUGUGGCACUGCCGUUUAGGUCAUAUUGGUGUAAAGCGCAUGAAGAAACUCCAUGCUGAUGGACUUUUGGAAUCACUUGAUUAUGAAUCACUUGAUGCUUGCGAACCAUGCCUCAUGGGCAAGAUGACUAAGACUCCAUUCUCCAGAACAAUGGAGCGAGCAACUGACUUGUUGGAAAUAAUACAUACUGAUGUAUGCGGUCCAAUGAGUGUUGAGGCUCGCGGCGGGUAUCGUUAUUUUCUGACCUUCACAGAUGACUUAAGCAGAUAUGGGUAUAUCUACUUAAUGAAACAUAAGUCUGAAACAUUUGAAAAGUUCAAAGAAUUUCAGAGUGAAGUGGAAAAUCAUCGUAACAAGAAAAUAAAAUUUCUACGAUCUUAUCGUGCAGGUGAAUAUUUGAGUUAUGAGGUCGGUCAUCAUUUGAACAAUGUGGAAUAGUUUCGCAACUCACGCCACCUGGAACACCACAGCGUAAUGGUGUGUUCGAACGUCGUAACCGUACUUUAUUAGAUAUGGUGCGAUCUAUGAUGUCUUACUGAUUUACCACUACCAUUUUGGGGUUAUGCUUUACUGACGGCUGCAUUCACGUUAAAUAGGGCACCAUCUAAAUCUGUUGAGACGACACCAUAUGAACUGUGGUUUGGCAAGAAACCUAAGCUGUCGUUUCUUAAAGUUUGGGGCUGCGAUGCUUAUGUGAAAAAGCUUCAACCUGAUAAGCUCGAACCCAAAUCAGAGAAAUGUGUCUUCAUAGGAUACCCAAAGGAAACUGUUGGGUACACCUUCUAUCACAGAUCCGAAGGCAAUAUAUUCGUUGCUAAGAAUAGAUCCUUUCUAGAGAAGGAGUUUCUCUCGAAACAAGUGAGUGGGAGGAAAGUGGAACUUGAUGAGGUAAUUGUACCUUAUCCCCAAUUGGAAAGUAGUUCAUCAUAGAAAUCAGUUCCAGUGAUUCCUACACCAAUUAGUGAGGAAGCUAAUGAUAAUAAUCAUGAAACUUCAGAUCAAGUUACAACCGAACCUCAUAGGUCAACCAGAGUACGAUCCGCACCAGAGUGGUACGGUAAUCCUGUUCUGGAGGUCAUGUUACUUGACCAUGACGAACCUACGAACUAUGAGGAAGCGAUGAUGAGCCCAGAUUCCGCAAAAUGGCUUGAGGUCAUGAAAUCUGAGAUGGGAUCCAUGUAUGAGAACAAAGUGUGGACUUUGGUUGACUUGCCCGAUGAUCAGCAAGCCAUAGAUAAUAAAUGGAUCUUCAAGAAGUAGACUGACGCUGACGGUAAUGUUACUGUUUACAAAGCUCGACUUGUUGCAAAAGGUUUUCAACAAGUUCAAGGAGUUGACUACGAUGAGACCUUCUCACCCGUAGCGAUGCUUAAGUCUGUCUGAAUCAUGUUAGCAAUUGUCGCAUUUUAUGAUUAUGAAAUUUGGCAAAUGGAUGUCAAAACUGCAUUCCUUAAUGGAUAUCUUAAAGAAGAGUUGUAUAUGAUGCAACCAGAAGGUUUUGUCGAUCCAAAAGGUGCUAACAAAGUGUGCAAGCUCCAGCGAUCCAUUUAUGGACUGGUGCAAGCAUCUCGGAGUUGGAAUAUACGCUUUGAUAGUGUGAUCAAAGCAUAUGGUUUUAUACAGACUUUUGGAGAAGUCUGUAUUUACAAGAAAGUGAGUGGGAGCUCUGUAGCAUUUCUAAUAUUAUGUGUGGAUGACAUAUUACUCAUUGGAAAUGAUACAAAUUUUUUGGAUAGCAUAAAAGGAUACUUGAAUAAGAAUUUUUCAAUGAAAGACACGGGGCAUCAAGAUCUAUAGAGAUAGAUCAAGAUGCUUAAUUGGACUUUCACAAAGCACAUACCUUGAUAAAGUUUUGAAGUUCAAAAUGGACCAGUCAAAGAAAGGGUUCUUGCCUGUGUUACAAGGUGUGAAGUUGAGUCAGACUCAAUGCCCGACCACUGUAGAAGAUAGAGAGAAAAUGAAAGUCAUUUCCUAUGCCUCAGCCAUAGGCAUCAUGUAUGCAAUGAUGUGUACCAGACCUGAUGUGUGCCUUGCUAUAAGUUUAGCAGAGAGGUACCAAAGUAAUCCAGGAGUGUAUCACUGGACAAUGGUCAAGAACAUCUUGAAAUACCUGAAAAGGACUAAGGAUAUGUUUCUCAUUUAUGGAGGUGCCAAAGAGCUUGUCGUAAAUGGUUACGUCGAUGCAAGCUUUGACACUGAUCCGGAUAACUCUAAGUCGCAAACCGGAUAAGUAUUUAUAUUGAAUGGUGGAGCUGUCAGUUGGUGCAGUUCCAAGCAGAGCGUCGUGGCGGGAUCUACGUGUGAAAUGGAGUACAUAGUUGCUUUGGAAGCAACAAAUGAAGGAGUCUGGAUGAAGGAAUUCAUAUCCGAUCUAGGUGUCAUACCUAGUGCAUCGGGUCGAAUGAAAAUCUUUUGUGACAAUACUGGAGCAAUUGUGCUACCUCUUGAGCAUGCAUUGGUUUUCCCUUGAAGAGGAAAGGGUGAUGCAGCAAAGUAGCGUAAGUAUUUCCCUCAGUUUUUAAGAACCAAGGUAUCAAUCCAGUAGGAGGCCACACGCAAGUCCCUCGUACCUACACAAACAAAUAAGAACCUUGCAACCAACGCGAUAAAGGGGUUGUCAAUCCCUUCACGACCACUUGCAAAAGUGAGAUCUGGUAGAGAUGAUAAGAUAAUAUUUUUGGUAUUUUAUGAUAAAGAUAAAAAGUAAAGAUUGCAAAAUAAACGGCACCGGAAAUAGCUAGUUGACGGGAGAUUAAUAUGAUGGAAAAUAGACCCGGGGGCCAUAGGUUUCACUAGUGGCUUCUCUCAAGAUAGCAUAAGUAUUACGGUGGGUGAACAAAUUACUGUCGAGCAAUUGAUAGAAAAGUGCAUAAUUAUGAGAAUAUCUAGGCAUGAUCAUGUAUAUAGGCAUCACGUCCGCAACAAGUAGACCGACUCCUGCCUGCAUCUACUACUAUUACUCCACACAUCGACCGCUAUCCAGCAUGCAUCUAGAGUAUUAAGUUCAUAAGAACAGAGUAACACAUUAGGCAAGAUGACAUGAUGUAGAGGCAUAAACUCAAGCAAUAUGAUAUAAACCCCAUCUUUUUAUCCUCGAUGGCAACAAUACAAUACGUGUCGUUUCCCCUACUGUCACUGGGAUCGAGCAACACAAGAUUGAACCCAAAGCUAAGCACUGCUCCCAUUGCAAAGAAAGAUCAAUCUAGUAGGCCAAACCAAACCGAUAAUUCGAAGAGACUUGCAAAGAUAACCAAUCAUACAUAAAAGAAUUCAGAGAAGAACCAAAUAUUGUUCAUAGAUAAUCUUGAUCAUAAACCCACAAUUCAUCUGAUCUCGACAAACACACCGCAAAAAGAGUUACAUCGAAUAAAUCUCCAAGAAGAUCAAGGAGAACUUUGUAUUGAGAUCCAAAGAGAGAGAAGAAGCCAUCUAGCUAAUAACUAUGGACCCGAAGGUCUGUGGUAAACUACUCACACAUCAUCGGAGAGGCUAUGGUGUUGAUGUGGAAGCCCUCCGUGAUCGAUUCCCCCUCCGGCGGAGCGCCGGCAAAGGCCCCAAGAUGGGAUCUCACGGGUACAGAAGGUUGCGGUGGUGGAAAUAGGGUUUCGUGGUCCUCUGGAUGUUUUCAGGGUAUAUGAGUAUAUAUAGGCGAAAGAAGUAGGUCGGUGGAGCCAUGAGGGGCCCACGAGGGUGGGGGCGCGCCUACCCCCCGGGCGCGCCCUCCUACCUCGUGGCCGCCUCGUUGCUUCCUUGACGUCCACUCCAAGUCUCCUGGAUUGUGUUUGUUCCAAAAACGAUCCUCGCGAAGGUUUCAUUCCAUUUGGAUUCCGUUUGAUAUUCCUUUUCUGCGAAACACUGAAAUAGGCAAAAAACAACAAUUUGCACCGGGCCUUCGGUUAAUAGGUUAGUCCCAAAAUAAUAUAAAAGUGCAUAAUAAAGCCCAUUAAACAUCUAAAACAGAUAAUAUAAUAGCAUGGAACAAUCAAAAAUUAUAGAUACGUUGGAGACGUAUCAAGCAUCCCCAAGCUUAAUUCCGGCUCGUCCUCGAGUAGGUAAAUGAUAAAAACAGAAUUUUUGAUGUGGAAUGCUACCUAACAUAAUUUUCUAUGUAAUUAUAUUUAUUGUGGCAUGAAUGUUCAGAUCCGAAAGAUUCAAGAUAAAAGUUUAAUAUUGACAUAAAAAUAAUAAUACUUCAAUCAUACUAACUAAGCAAUUAUGUCUUCUCAAAAUAACAUGGCAAAAGAAAGCUUAUCCCUACAAAAUCAUAUAGUUUGGCUAUGCUUCAUUUUCGUCACACAAAAAUGCUCUCAUCAUGCACAACCUCGAUGACAAGCCAAGCAAUUGUUUCAUACUUUAGUAAUCUCAAACUUUUUUCAACUUUCACGCAAUACAUGAGCGUGAGCCAUGGACAUAGCACUAUGGGUGGAAUAGAAUAUAAUGAUGGGGGUUGUGUGGAGAAGACAAAAAGGAGAAAGUCUCACAUUGACGCGGCUAAUCAACGGGCUAGGGAGAUGCCCAUCAAUUGAUGUCAAUGCAAGGAGUAGGGAUUGCCAUGCAACGGAUGCACUAGAGCUAUAAAUGUAUGAAAUCUCAACAAAUGAAACUAAGUGGGUGUGCAUCCAAAUUGCUUGCUCACGAAGACCUAUGGCAUUUGAGGAAGCCCAUUGUUGGAAUAUACAAGCCAAGUUCUAUAAUGAAAAAUUCCCACUAGUAUAUGAAAGUGACAAAAUAAGAGACUCUCUAUCAUAAAGACCAUGGUGCUACUUUGAAGCACAAGUGUGGAAAAAAAGGAUAGUAGCAUUUUCCCUUUUAUUUCUUUUCUCUUUUUUUAUUUGGCCUUUCUUUUUUUUGGCCUUUCUUUUUUUUCUUUUUUAUGGGACAAUGCUCUAUUAAUGAUGAUCAUCACACUUCCAUUUAUUUACAACUCAAAGAUUACAACUCGAUACUAGAACAAAAUAUGACUCUAUAUGAGUGCCUCCGGCGGUGUACCAGGAUGGGCAAUGAAUCAAGAGUGGUGUAUGAUAAAUUAUGCAUGGUGGCUUUGCCACAAAUACGAUGUCAACUACAUGAUCAUGCAAGGCAAUAUGACAAUGAUGAAGCGUGUCAUAAUAAAUGAAACAGUGGAAAGUUGCAUGGCAAUAUAUCUCGGAAUGGCUAUGGAAAUGCCAUAAUAGGUAGGUAUGGUGGCUGUUUUGAGGAAGAUAUAAGGAGGUUUAUGUGUGAUAGAGCAUAUCAUAUCACGGGGUUUGGAUGCACCGGCGAAGUUUGCACCAACUCUCAAGGUGAGAAAGGGCAAUGCACGGUACCGAAGAGGCUAGCAAUGAUGGAAAGGUGAGAGUGCAUAUAAUCCAUGGACUCAACAUUAGUCAUAAAGAACUUACAUACUUAUUGCAAAAAUCUACAAGUCAUCAAAAACCAAGCAUUACGCGCAUGCUCCUAGGGGGAUAGGUUGGUAGGAAAAGACCAUCGCUCGUCCCCGACCGCCACUCAUAAGGAUGAUAAUCAAAGAACACCUCAUGUUUCAAAUUUGUCACACAAUGGUUACCAUACGUGCAUGCUACGGGACUUACAAACUUCAACACAAGUAUUUCUCAAAUUCACAAUUACUCAACUAGCACAACUCUAAUAUUACCAUCUUCAUAUCUCAAAACAAUCAUCAAGUAUCAAACUUCUCAUAGUAUUCAAUGCACUCUAUAUGAAAGUUUUUAUUAUACCCAUCUUGGAUGCCUAUCAUAUUAGGACUAAUUUUAUAGCCAAAGCAAAUUACCAUGCUGUUCUAAAGGACUCUAAAAAUAAUAUAAGUGAAGCAUGAGAGAUCAAUAACUUCUAUAAAAUAAAACAACCACCAUGCUCUAAAAGAUAUAAGUGAAGCACUAGAGCAAAAUUAUCUAGCUCAAAAGAUAUAACUGAAGCACAUAGAGUAUUCUAAUAAAUUCCAGUUCAUGUGUGUCUCUCCAAAAGGUGUGUACAGCAAGGAUGAUUGUGGUAAACUAACAAGCAAAGACUCAAUCAUACAAGACGCUCCAAGCAAAACACAUAUCAUGUGGUGAAUAAAAAUAUAGCCUCAAGUAAAGUUACCGGUGGACGAAGACGAAAGAGGGGAUGCCUUCCGGGGCAUCCCCAAUCUUAGGCUCUUGCCACUCCUUAUUCCAAAAUCCAUCAAAUCUUUACCCAAAAACUUGAAAACUUCACAACACAAAACUCAACAGAAAAUCUCAUGAGCUCCGUUAGUAUAAGAAAACAAAUCACCACAUUAAGGUACUGUAAUGAACUCAUUAUUUAUUUAUUUUGGUGUUAAACCUACUGUAUUCAAACUUCUCUAUGGUUCAUACCCCCCGAUACUAGCCAUAGAUUCAUUAAAAUAAGCAAACAACACACGAAAAACAGAAUCUGUCAAAAACAGAACAGUCUGUAGUAAUAUGUAUCAAACAUAUACUUCUGUAUCUCCAAAAAUUCUGAAAUAAACUGGUGGACGUGAGGAAUUUUUCUAUUAAUCAUCUGCAAAAAGAAUCAACCUAAAAGCACUCUCCAGUAAAAAAUGGCAGCUAAUCUCGUGAGUGCUAAAGUUUCUGUUUUUUACAGCAAGAUCAUAAAGACUUCACCCAAGUCUUCCCAAAGGUUCUACUUGGCACAACACUAAUUAAAACAUAAAACCACAUCUAAACAGAAGCUAGAUGAAUUAUUUAUUACUAAACAGGAACAAAAAGCAAGAAACAAAAAUAAAAUUUGGUUGCCUCCCAACAAGCGCUAUCGUUUAACGCCCCUAGCUAGGCAUAAAAACAAGAAUAGAUCUAGGUAUUACCAUCUUUGGUAUUGGGAAAGAAAAGAGAAAAUUUCUUAUCUAUAGCAUUUAUCUUUCUAUUUUGAGAAAGCACAUGGCCAUUAAUGGUGGAAGAAAGAUUAAGCAUUUUCCGGAAAUUUGCAUCUAAGCUAGCCUUCAUCUCUUUGAUAAUUUCAUUUUGAUAAAAGCACAAAAGAGAGGUAGAUUCAACCUUCUCACUCAUGGGGUGCCCAAAUAUAGUUUUCAAUUUUUCAUAGGUAUCUAUGGCAUCCCUCUCAAGAAAACCUUCUUCAAAAAUAGAAUCUAAAACUUGCUUGAACGAAGAGGGUAAGCCAAGAUAAAAGCUUUUUAGGUAUAUCUCAAUUUGAUAUUGGGGCACAUAGCUGGCUCGGAUCCUUAAUAGCCUAUCCCAAGCAUCUUUCAAAGACUCAUCAAGUAAAUAACGAAAAAUUCCGGGAUCAUCUUCAUCAAAAUUAUUCAAACUCUCAUUGAUAACCCUGGUAGGUCUUUCCAUAGCAUCAUUAUUUAUGAGCUUAGAGAGGACAGAGGGACUAUCCAAAGUACUAAAACCCGAGAGAGAACCCCUAGCCCUUUUUGAUUCGUCCAUGGAAAAAGGAAAGCAAACGGGAAAGAGGCGAAGGCAAAGGUGAAGUGGGGGAGAGGAAAACGAGAGGCAAAUAGCAAAUAAUAUAAUGCGAGGGAGAAGAGUUUGUGAUGGGUACUUGGUAUGUCUUGACUUGUGCGUAGAUCUCCCCGGCAACGACGCCAGAAAUGGCUAGUUGACGGGAGAUCAAAUCUUGACUUGACUUGGCGUAAUCCUCCCCGGCAACGACGCCAGAAAUGCUUCUUGCUACCUCUUGAGCAUGUGUUGGUUUUCCCUUGAAGAGGAAAGGGUGAUGCAGCAAAGUAGCGUAAGUAUUUCCCUCAGUUUUUAAGAACCAAGGUAUCAAUCCAGUAGGAGGCCACACGCAAGUCCCUCGUACCUACACAAACAAAUAAGAACCUUGCAACCAACGCGAUAAAGGGGUUGUCAAUCCCUUCAUGGCCACUUGCAAAAGUGAGAUCUGAUAGAGAUGAUAAGAUAAUAUUUUUGGUAUUUUUAUGAUAAAGAUAAAAGGUAAAGAUUGCAAAAUAAACGACACCGGAAAUAGCUAGUUGACGGGAGAUUAAUAUGGUGGAAAAUAGACCCGGGGGCCAUAGGUUUCACUAGUGGCUUCUCUCAAGAUAGCAUAAGUAUUACGAUGGGUGAACAAAUUACUGUCGAGCAAUUGAUAGAAAAGUGCAUAAUUAUGAGAAUAUCUAGGCAUGAUCAUGUAUAUAGGCAUCACGUCCGCAACAAGUAGACCGACUCCUGCCUGCAUCUACUACUAUUACUCCACACAUCGACCGCUAUCCAGCAUGCAUCUAGAGUAUUAAGUUCAUAAGAACAGAGUAACGCAUUAGGCAAGAUGACAUGAUGUAGAGGGAUAAACUCAAACAAUAUGAUAUAAACCCCAUCUUUUUAUCCUCGAUGGCAACAAUACAAUACGUGUCGUUUCCCCUACUGUCACUGGGAUCGAGCAACGCAAGAUUGAACCCAAAGCUAAGCACUUCUCCCAUUGCAAGAAAGAUCAAUCUAGUAGGCCAAACCAAACUGAUAAUUCAAAGAGACUUGCAAAGAUAACCAAUCGUACAUAAAAGAAUUCAGAGAAGAACCAAAUAUUGUUCAUAGAUAAUCUUGAUCAUAAACCCACAAUUCAUCAGAUCUCGACAAACACAUCGCAAAAAGAGUUACAUCGAAUAGAUCUCCAAGAAGAUCAAGGAGAACUUUGUAUUGAGAUCCAAAGAGAGAGAACAAGCCAUCUAGCUAAUAACUAUGGACCCGAAGGUCUGUGGUAAACUACUCACACAUCAUCGGAGAGGCUAUGGUGUUGAUGUACAAGCCCUCCGUGAUCGAUUCCCCCUCUUGCGGAGCGCCGGAAAAGGCCCCAAGAUGGGAUCUCACGGGUACAGAAGGUUGCGGUGGUGGAAAUAGGGUUUCAUGGUCCUCUGGAUGUUUUCAGGGUAUAUGAGUAUAUAUAGGCGAAAGAAGUAGGUCGGUGGAGCCACGAGGGGCCCAUGAGGGUGGGGGGCGUGCCUACCCCCCCCCCCCCGGGCGCGCCAUCCUACCUCGUGGCCGCCUCGUUGCUUCCUUGACGUCCACUCCAAGUCUCCUGGAUUGCGUUUGUUCCAAAAACGAUCCUCGCGAAGGUUUCAUUCCGUUUGGAUUCCGUUUGAUAUUCCUUUUCUGCGAAACACUGAAAUAGGCAAAAAAACAGCAAUUUGCACUGGGCCUUCGGUUAAUAGGUUAGUCCCAAAAAUAAUAUAAAAGUGCAUAAUAAAGCCUAUUAAACAUCCAAAACAGAUAAUAUAAUAGCAUGGAACAAUAAAAAAUUAUAGAUACGUUGGAGAUGUAUCAAAUUGCCUUGGCGAAGGAAUCCAGAUUUCACAAGAGAACCAAACACAUCAAGAGACGCUUCAAUUCCUUCCACGAUCAAGUCAAGGAACGAGACAUAGAGAUUUGCAAGAUACAUACGGAUCUGAAUGUUGCAGACCCGUUGACUAAGCCUCUCUCACGAGCAAAACAUGAUCAGCACCAAGACUCCAUGGGUGUUAGAAUCAUUACUAUGUAAUCUAGAUUAUUGACUCUAGUGCAAGUGGAAGACUGAAGGAAAUAUGCCCUAGAGGCAAUAAUAAAGUUGUUAUUUAUAUUUCCUUAUAUCAUGAUAAAUGUUUAUUAUUCAUGCUAGAAUUGUAUUAACCGGUAACUUAGUACAUGUGUGGAUAUAUAGACAAACCCAGUGUCCCUACUAUGCCUCUACUUGACUAGCUCGUUAAUCAAAGAUGGUUAAAGUUUCCUGACCAUAGACAUGUGUUGUCAUUUGAUGAAUAGGAUCACAUCAUUAGAGAAUGAUGUGAUGGACAAGACCCAUCCGUUAGCUUAGCAUGAUGAUCGUUUAGUUUUAUUGCUAUUGCUUUCUCCAUGACUUAUACAUAUUCCUUUGACUAUGAGAUUAUGCAACUCCCGAAUACCAAAGGAACACCUUGUGUGCUAUCAAACUUCACAACAUAACUGGGUGAUUAUAAAGAUACUCUACAGGUGUCUCCGAAGGUGUUUGUUGGGUUGGCAUAGAUCAAGAUUAGGAUUUGUCAUGCAGUGUAUCAGAGAGGUAUCUCUGGGCCCUCUUGGUAAUGCACAUCACUAUAAGCCGGGCAAGCAAUGUGACUAAUGAGUUAGUUAUGGGAUGAUGCAUUACGGAACAAGUAAAGAGACUUUUCGGUAACGAGAUUGAACUAGGUAUGAUGAUACCGACGAUCGAAUCUCGGGCAAGUAACAUACCGAUGACAAAGGGAAUGACGUAUGUUGUUAUGCGGUUUGACCGAUAAAGAUCUUCGUAGAAUAUGUAGGAGCCAAUAUGAGCAUCCAGAUUCCGCUAUUGAUUAUUGACCAGAGAUGUGUCUCGGUCAUGUCUACAUAGUUCUCGAACCCGUAGGGUCCGCACGCUCAACGUUCGAUGACGAUUUGUAUUAUGAGUUAUGUGUUUUGGUGACCGAAGUUUGUUAGAAGCCCCGGAUGAGAUCUCGGACAUGACGAGGAGUCUCGAAAUGGUUGAGAGGUAAAGAUUCAUAUAUUGGAAGGUUAUAUUCGGACAUUGGAAUGGUUUCGAGUGAUUCGGGUAUUUUUUCGGAGUACCGAGGGGUUACCGGAACCCCCUGGGGAAGUGUUGAGCCAACAUGGGCCUAAGGGAGAGAGAGGGAAGCCCGCGGGGGGUGGCCGCGCCCCCCUCCUCCUAGGGAGUCCGAAUAGGACAAGGAGGAGGGGCGGCGCCCCCCUUCCCUUUCCCUCUCCCUCUCCUUCCUAUUCCCUCCGGUGGAGAAAGGAAAAGGGGGGGCCGAAUCCUACUUGGACUAGGAGUCGAAGUAGGACUCCCCCCUUGGCGCGCCCCUUCUAGGCCGUCGGCCUCCUCCUCCCCUCUUUAUAUAUGGGGGCGGGGGCACCCCAAAGGCACACUAACAUUUGUCUUAGUCGUGUGUGGUGCCCCCUCCACAGUUUACUCCUCCGGUCAUAGCGUCGUAGUACUUAGGCGAAGCCCUGCACGGAUCACAUCACCAACACCGUCGCCACGCCGUCAUGCUGACGGAACUCUCCCUCGACCCUCUACUAGAUCAAGAGCUCGAGGAACGUCAUCGAGCUGAACGUGUGCUGAACACAGAGGUGCCGUACGUUCGGUACUUGGAUCGGUUGGAUCGUGAAGACGUUCGACUACAUCAACCGCGUUGACAUAACGCUUCCGCUUUUGGUCUACAAGGGUACGUGGACACACUCUCCCGUCUCGUUGCUAUGCAUCUGCUAGAUAGAUCUUGCGUGACCGUAGGAUUUUUUUUAAUUACCACGUUACCCAACAAAACAGAGGGAGCCAGAGAUAGGAUAUGGGCUCACUCACCAGAGAGGGAAGUCGUGGUCGACGCUGAUGCACAAACAGAACCACCAUCGCCGGGGUCGGGCGUGGGCUCCUUCCUUCCUGGUCGUUGUCAUCUUGGUCAUUGUGGAUGUCGUCCAUGGAUUGUAAGUGUGGAGACAUGAGAAUGCCCUCCCUUGAGAUGGCUUACUAUUGCCUGUUAAGGUUCGUCCAUGGAGAAGAGAAGACUCCUGAGCACACGCACAAAAAAGAUACGAGAAGGAGGCUGUAAUCAUACCGCAUCCUAUCUAUUUAGCAAACAGAGGUUGUACGAAACAAAACCUACAUGAGUAAAAAGGAGGUACCUGAUUAGCAUGGCUUGUGAAGAAUCUUGGGUCUCUAUGAUGGAGUGGAUGUGUCAUAAAUCCAACAAAAUGUACUGGACGACACCUCCUUAACGUUACCAAGAAUACCUGCAAAGGGUGGAUUUGGUGAGCAUAGAACAUUGCCAUGAUUUAAACUUGCAGAUCGGUAAAUGCUGACUUGCGCAUGGCAGCAACCAAAUUAAAUCUAGCAAUAAUUAUUUCUUGCAUAGGCAAGUCACAUGACCAGGUAAUAUAUUGUACACCUACAACAUGAAACAUGUGGUAGUGCCGGCCUUGAAGAUUAUCGAUAUACUUCUCUCUAGAUAGAAUCAGUGAGAGAAAGAGAGAGCACAUUGCACAGUGGCAAAACAUAGUUUCUUUCUUUCAGUAAUGCUAAGAUUGACAUGAAUGCAGAUGAACAUUUUUAGUUAUAACACAUUCGUUUAUUCAUACGCAUCACAUGACAAUAACAUGUCAAAGGAAGCAUUCACCCUGAAUAAAUCAAUCAAGCAACAUUCAUUCGUGUAAUACUGCAGUAAGCACUUAAGAAUGAAACUGAAUACUUCAUCCAAUGAUCAAUCCAGCUACCAUGCCUUGCUAUGCUGAUGGUGAUCAAGUUCAGAACCCUCAUCAUCUCCUAGAAGCAGAAAAAAAUUCAAAGAGACGCUAUAUGCACAAAAGUUUUGGAAAGAUAAAAGUUUCAGGCCUAAUAUGCUUCUCUCAAUUUAACUAGGCUGGGUCAUGUUUUGAAUCUAUCAAACUGUGGCUCUUUUGGUCUAUUCUUUUUUGCCAAAUUUGAUGCGUCGAGCUUUGAGCUACUAUACUAUUUUGGAUCUUGCGUUUGGGCCGGGCAAGGCUCGCGAAGGCGUGCUUCCUAUCACAGUCUCAUGCCGAUAUUGAGCACCAUUACGAAUGUACUGAAAUUGAUUAUGCCUUAUAGUCUCAUGUCGAUAUCGAGCAUCAUUAUGUCUCGCUCCUAUCACAAUUGAAUGUUUUUUCUUCACUCUAUUGUUAUCAUGUAUUGUUAUCCUGUAUGAAUGAAUAUGCUAAACUUGGAUUACUACUGACUUAGUGUUACCUUCUUGACCAAAACGUUGAGACCGGCACCCUCGCGCCAAGGCGCGGUCCCGAUCUUUGCAGACCAAGAUACAAAACAUGACUCAAUUUAACCAGCAUCUUUUUGAGCAAUGCAACAUUGAACUACAAGGAAGAGCAAGUUAGGGGCGGAAAUCUAAACCAAAUUGAAGCGCAAACUCAAUAAAUAAGGCACCCAACACAGGGAACUGCAACUACUCUAACACUAACAUGAGAACAAAAAGAAGCGUUCGUACAUAGCUGUAAAUACUAAUGAACUUGCUUGGUAAGGUAUGGCAAAAAGCACUAGACAAAUUAUCUUUCCUAAAGAUCCAGAACUGCAACUCAAGAUAAAAUUAGCAACGGAACCUGCAAACAAACCACAAUCAACAUGCCAGUUUUAUAUCCUCUCAUAUUUUUCAUCUUUGUCCUCUCAAGCUUUGAUUUACCUUAAGCAACAUUUCCAUGCUAUAGUUGUUCGAGAUUAAUCAUCCAAACUGCACCCUGUGGAAUGGGCCAUAUGAAAUUUGGAUCAUAUGACAACACCUGGAUCAGUUAACACCUAGAUCAGUUAAGAAAAAUAUGCCUUCAUGGGCCACCACAGAGAGAAAUGGGCGAACCUGGGAACCCGUAGAUACAGCAGACUCUGUACAAAACUAAGAGCAUAUGCUUGAGAUAACUUGGAAGAGUAUAAAGAGGGAAGAACUGAAAUGUACAACAUAGGUGUCUCUCAUGAAAGAUGGGUGCUUGCAUCCAAAUGUUCCUGACGACUUAUUAACUCUUUGGCGAAAACAUGACUAUUUUGAUUUAACCAUUCAUUAAAAAAGGCUAUUGCUCCUCACAGCAAACAAACAUAGAAAGCUUACUGGCAUGACCCGUUAACAAUAAAAUAAUAUCAGAAAUCCUCCUCUGAACUCCUCAUGAAGAACCAAUAGCAUUGCCGAACCAUCGCUUAUCCCAGAAUAACAAAGUGCAACUUACUCUUAACCAGAUUAAAUCAAGGACCAACAACAAACAAUAAAAGAUCAAGAACAACUUAUAUGCAAUAAAGGUAUGAGAGAGAAGAUAUCUUUACAUAAGACGGCUCUAAACACUGGAGCAUAAAUAAGCAACACCUUUAAAUACAAAUAAGAAGGGUUCAGGGUUCAAUGCAUAGUGGGCUCAAAUUCGCCUUUCCUCGAUCAUAUAACCUACCCCCAUCAUCUCUUAUCACCAGAUCAAUCUGUUUAUACAGUGGAGCUGCCCUGGUUAUCACUCAACAAGAAUGACCAUCCAAGGACAGAACAAUAAGUAUCACAGGAUCAAAAAGGAUUCUAGAGACAAGAGGGAGUAUCCAACUUGACACCCACAAGUGCCUCAAUUGCUCAAAGGCACACUUAUUUCAGCGACGGUUAAUCAUCAUCGCCCUAGCAAGAAUGGCUUCCGACCUAUGGGGCAUGCGAUUCACACGCGGUGGCAUGAGAUAUCUCACCGCGGGAGUAACUUUUCAUUGCUUCAGGAGCUCGGGCUUGAUCCAACGGUCGAGAUCAAUCCGGAGCGACAUCCGACGGCCAGAAUCGCAUCAGCAAAUCGAUCCGACGGCCGAAAGUGCCUGAGCUCUGAGGAUCCAGGGAACUUGCUGCGGGUCUUAUUUCUAGAUGGAUCACCGGAUCAAUAUGUUCUUACGAGGGUGAAACUACCAUGGUUAUCACUCAUCAUAAAUGACCAUCCAAGGACAGAGCCACUAAAAUAAGAACAUGAUCAAAACGGCUGAAAGAAACGAGGGAGGAUCCAAAUUAAUACCCACAAAUGCCUCGAUUGCUCGAGAGCAUGCCUAUAUCAGCCAUAACUAAUCAUCAUGGCCCUAGCCAUGUCCCAUACAGUAGCCGAAGCAGAGCAGGGGAAGAUGGAGCUCACCAAGGGAGGUUGUAGCCGAGGCAGUACUCAGUGGGCGCCGGCGUUGCGCCUGAACGCCGUCCAACCAGCGAGGAACCACGUCGGAGUUGCGCCUUGCACCGUCCCGCUGACGAGCAAGAACGCCACUGGCACCGAAGCGGCCAAGGAGACGAGGAGGCGAUGUGUAGCACAUCUAGGAGCACCAUCAGAGGCGGAGAUGACCGGGGCCUAGUCAGUUCUCUUUUAUCUGCAAUCAAGGAUAAGAUUUGUUAGAACAUUCUUGUGGUCAAAACUUAACAUCAUGCAAGCAAUGGGCCUAUCUAUUAGCUGCUUGUAGUGCCGAAGGUAAAAUCAAAAGGCCUUUUACUGCCACCUUACAUCGAGGCAGUACAACUACAGUGGUUAUAGUCUCAGGUCAAAGCAUUAGUAAGUACAUGACCAUAAGCAUGUGACAGCUAACACAAUUUUAAAUGUAAGGGAAAAAUAGAGAUUAUGUCAGUUGUGCCAUUGUACGUCAUUGGCCGCUGGAUGGCAAGUGAUACUACCGCCAGAGAGACGAAGAGGACCAGCAGGGCAUCGAUUAGUUGGAACACGCCAAACUGUUAUAGAAAGUUAAACUUUGCAAAUCAGGUUCCUACAAAAGUUAACUUUACAAAGCAACGAACAAUAUGUGCUAGUAUAUUCAAAGUAUUAAAAGGUGAAAGAAAUAGAUAACAGAUAAAUCACAAAAUUGGCAUAACCAUUUGCCAACUAAAAUAUAAAUAUCCUAGCUAUGCUUAAAUAUCCUGCUGCCACAAUCAGUUUCUGAUCAAUGGUGUUUUUCAAAGCAAAAAAAGGUAGGGAAAUGCUAUACAGAAUUACGGCUCCAGAAAAAAUACUGGCCAACUAAUAAGAAUCAAAGGAUAACUGGAAGUGAUGCAUCUAAAGAAAAUAUGACAUCAAAUAUUGGCCAAUUAAUAGAUCAAAGCAUGCCUCAACACAAUAACAAAAAUCCACUCAUAGACUUCCAUGCCAACCUAAAAGGAUUAAGAUGUCAAACGGUCGAAAGAAAAGCGUACAGUUUUGCAAUGCAAUUUUUUUGCUGACUCACGAUAUAAUGAUAUGUAAAGCUCUAAUGUAAGUUCAGAACAUACACAAUUUAGUGCCUCAAAGCUAGAGUAUAUAUGUGCUUGUCGCUGCCUCCAUUGUCAUAGAAGCCUCUCGUUAUCGGCACCACUCUUGAGAGACGCAGCCAGACCCCCAUUGCACUACUGCCAAAGUGUCUCUGUAUGUUAUGCUAACCACACUUGAAGCCUUGAAGACAAAAUACAUAUAUCUCAGGCAAUGUAACAAUCUGUCUCAAGAGAUUGUGGUUAGCCAAGAUCAAUUCAAGGCACAUAUCAUCUAAAAAAUAAUCCUACAGUACUUCAUCAUCUCUUAGGCCAUUUCCAUAUUAUUUAAAAUCAACAAAUGAUAUAGGAUUGUGACCUUAGGUAGUUCCACAUAUAUAUACCAUCGACACGCAAUGCUCCGACUAAAGCUCAUACAGGCUAAUAGAGGAAGCGGGACGAGCAAACCUUCAACAUGUACUCAUUAUGUUCAAAAGUAAACAAAACUGAUGUCUCAUUGUGGUCAUGAAUAACCUUCACAUUUUCUAUCAGAGCACCAACAAAGAUACAAAUCAUCGGAACCGGUCUUUAGAACCUAGUCGCCGUCAACCACUACAACCAUAAACAUCACAAAUAAAUGAUGUAACCAGCUCCUACAAAUUCGUGGUUUUUCUUCUCUGCGGAGCUUAUACUAAUAUUUCUACAUGCUAACAACACAACAUAACAUCAUAAUCAAAUGUGCAUUUGCUAAUCUAGUGAAUAUCCCCAUCUCAAACAGAAAACUGUAGCUAUUUUCACAAAGUUGAUGACCAAGUCGCCAUACUGAAUUUAAUCUAGCACCAGAAAACAUCACCUGGAUUCAAACAACUGCAACCACGACGUAUUUGUUCUAUGAUUAUAUGGCUAAGCAAGGACCAAACUUACUAAUUACUUCAAGUAUCUCUAGUUACUUACCGGAGAAGUGGUUCCGAUGGCCGAAAGUACCUGAGCUCUGAGGAGCUAGGUGAGGUGCUUCGUUUCUUCUUUGGCUCGCAUGGGGGCGAGGGAGGAGACGAAGAGGAGCCGCCGGAGUCCACCAGAGCCGCGUCGGCGACGAAGGCAAUGCCCAGCCAGAAACCCUAGCCACGGCUGAGGGUCACAAGCGAGCGCGAGAGGCCCUCAUCCUUUCUCUCUCCCCCUGUAGGAGAUAUGCCCUAGAGGCAAUAAUAAAUGCUAUUACUUAUCUCCAUGUUCAUAAUUAUGUUUAUGUUCCAUGCUAUAACUGCUAUGGUUCUCGAGUCUGCAAUAACACGAGGCUCGGAGGAAGACUCAUAUGCACGUGUGGAAUAAUAAACGGUAAGAAGUAUUCCUAGUCUGGCCUCUAAAACUAGCUCAAGUGUUGCAUGAUGAUUCUGUUUUCCUGGUCAUGGGCAUGUCUAUGCCAGCAACUUUGAGGGCACAAUGUUAAGAGAACAUUUGUGUUGAAUCGACCCGGAUUGAUGUUAUGCUAUGAGAUUCGUUCGUCACAAGUUAAUGGUACAUAACACAGAGAUGGUUAACGUUUGCAUAAUUCCUUAGACCAUGAGAGUAUCGAGUUUCUUCAUACUUGCUUCAUGAACUUUGGGGUUUGUUAAACGUCAUCCAUAAAUGGGUGGCUAUUACGGCGGCUUACGGGUUCAUGGAAAAGUGUGUCAAGUAACUUGAUAGCUCAAGAUUGGGAUUUGCUCCUCCGACGAUGGAGAGAUAUUCUCGGUCCCUCUCGGUGUUACGGUAUCCAUCAUCGUCUGGCCAGACACAGUGUGAUUUGAUCACAGGGAUGCCGCAACACGAAAACGAGAAAAGAGAACAAAACCGGUAACGAGGUAACUAGCAUAGUGGACAAGUCGUUGAUCCACGGGGAUGCAAGUAAAUCUCACCUCGGGUAUUUGUAACAUAUCACGAGGCAACAGGAAUAGCGCACGGCAACUGGAGGUUCACUCGAAUAUUCAUUCGUGUGGGUAUAGGGGUCAAUAUGGGUGUCCACGGCUCCGAUGUUGAUCAUUGAUCGGAAGGGGUUCCGGGUCAUGUCUAUACUUCACCGAACCUAUAGGGUCACACGCUUAAGGGUCAUCUAUCUGCUGAAUACUAGACAGGGAGUCUGAGAGAAAAUCAUCGAAAAAGUUUCGGACACCGAAAAGUUUCGGACAGCGGAAAAGUUCUACAGAGAGAGGUCACCGGAUGAGUUUCGGUGAAACCGAAAUAGUUGUUUCGGGGUAUGCCAUUAAGUCAAAAUGGUUUCGACACAUGCCUGAUAAUUCUUGGAGGGUGCCAGAAUCAUUCUGGAAACUUUUUGGAAUUUUCAGAAAUAAAAACCGGAAAUGUUCCGAAGCUGCAGGAGCCGGUUCAGAUGCUUUUCGCAGAUGAAAAUCACUAAACUGGAAUUGUUCCAGAACGCGUUAAAAAUUAUUAUGGUGGGUACUGGAAAUGUUCUAAGCCCACAUAAAUAUUUUCAGUUCGAACGGACGCUGAAAAAUGUCGUCGUGAAUAGUAAAAGUGCUUUUUGGGAUAUUUUAUGGAAAGCCACCUUUUGGGGCUUUGCCCAAAAGAUCUAGGGAUGACAUGGAUGGAUUGGGAGGCCCUCAUGGGGGCCCCCCAAGGGUUGUGGCCGGCCACACUUGGGGCUCCACCUUGGAGCCCCUCUUGUUCCUUGGUUUCACUCUUAUGCCCUUGAGGAAGGACUUCAUUCAUGUGCAUUUUGGGUUUUUGUGUUAAACUACCCUACCCCUUGGGAUUUCCUAUAAAUAGAGGUGGAGGGGCAGCCCUCCACACUCACUCUUUCUCACAUACAAGUGCCAUGCAUGAUCUGGCUUCUCUCUCCCUCCCAGUGAAAUAGUUUCGUAAAGCCGAAAGGCUGUCUGGGUUCCGGCAGGAACUAGUUCUGGACGGCGAAGCCCUGCCGGAUAGAUGACACCGUAUGUGUGCAACUCUGUAGAGAGGUCGUAGUUUCGAUCUUAGUGCCCGAGGGGCUGUUCGAGAAUGCCUCCCGAAGGGCUGUCCAAGUGACGGUCCGAGUUCUGUGAGUCCUCCCGAAGGGCUGUCCGAGUGACCGUCCGAGUUUUGAAGGUCCUCCCGAAGGGCUGUCCGCAACACCGUCCGGGGGACUGUUCGACCGCCUCCCGGAGGGCUGUCUGAGGAGCAGAUGAGGGUAUACAUCCUCGCGGUUGGGAGAUUGUAAAUCCUAGCUACGGGGAUCUGCACCGCCGAUCGUCAUCGACUCUACUUCCCGCUGCGCUACGAGUCGGUAACGAAAAAGAUCAAACCAUGUAUGCAGUCUCCAUAGUGGUCCUGGGCUGGUGCGUAGGUCGGAAAUUUUUGUUUUCUGCUACGUUACCCUACACCCCCCCCUACAGGGACUCGCCAUUGCCUGCAAGUCGCCACUGCCGCUGGGACGGACGCGGGAGAGGAAGAGGAGCGGCGCGACUAUGCAUUGGGGGCGGAGGAGAGAGGCGUUGGGGAGGAGGAGGCCGACCCCCUGGGCCACGCCGCCCGCGCCGCGUCCCAUACGCCGCCGCCUUUGCCUCGCCUCGCCAUUCCUCCUUCCCUCUCGUGGGAGCCGGGGCCGGGGCGGGGCGUUAGGGUUUGGCAGCGCCAGAUCAAAUGGAUGGAAGGAGGAGAGGGAGGCGCGGGUGGGGAGGAGGCCGGGCGGCGACGGGGAAGGAGGAGAUGGAGGUGCGGGUGGGGAGGAGGCCGGGCGGCGGCGAGGAAGGAGGAGAGGGAGGCGCGUGUGGAGAGGAGGAGGCGGCGCGAGCGGGAGAGGAGCCGGCUAGGGUUGUCUCCACGGGAGCCGCCCUUUUUAUACCACAGUGCGCGAAAUGACGAAAAUGCCCCCGGCGGGGCAGUCUAUUUACACGCGGUGGCACGGCCGGGGCGCAAACUGUUCAUUACGAGCGUCUCGAUUUUUAUCCGACGGCCGAGGGCGUUCCGGAGCGAGAUUGGACGGUCUAAAUCGCACCAAGUAAACGAUCCGACGGCCCAGAAGCCCAAAUCGCUGAGAGAGCUGGUAGCUCGACUCGUCUCAUCUUUCUGGAUGUGACCGACGUUGAUGCAGAUGGAUGAAUUCGCUUUGCUGCUCUCGCUCUCCGGCAACACAACAUUUGGCCGUCUCUGCGCUUUCCGAUGAUAAUCAAAACCCCAUGCCGCCAUACCGCCGGCGUGUCCUCCCCACUUCUCCCCGCGCAGCCCAAUGCCAAGUCCGCGCAAAGGUGAAACCACGCGCGCGCACGCCAGGCAAGCCACGUCACGAGACAUGCAGCAACUGCCUUGUGGGGCCGCCAUUCCUGGAGCCAACGUGGCGGCAUGUUAGGUCCUUAGUCAACAUGACAGGGAACAUCCAUCCACCCACCCCCCACCCACCUUCCCUUGCCUUCUCAGUCGUCUCCUUCCUCGGUCCUUCCUGUUCGAACUUAGCUUCCUCCAGCGAGAGCUUACCCAGCCGCCGGUCGCGAGGGCAGGUCACUCACCACCAGCUAGUUUUCAGCGUGUCAGCUGCUCCGGCGAUCGCCGGAGAGGGAGAGUCAGUCCCCGGAAUCCGGUGAGUUCCCGAUCCCGGCCCCUGGUGCGGGAAAGCUCUGAAUCAAGCACCGGGAAACGUUGGAUCUGGUGUGAUUCCUCGGAGCUCCUGGACUGGGACAGGCACGCUGCGAGCUUGGCUUCGCGGUGAACUGGUUGGAACCGGCUCGCAGAUCGCAGCCGGGUAGUUGCCGAAUGGGAGAUCGGGGGGCGGCCGCGGUGGCGAGAUGGUGACCGCGAGCUUCAGCCGGAGCACGUCGGCGCGGCUCACAGCGAGGGGCGGCGUAGGGAGCCCCCGUGUCUCGUCCGCGGCGGCCGCGCACCGCAAGUGGUGGGGGACACCGUCUGGCCCGUCUUUCGAGAGCACCGUCGCCCUGGCCCUUUGCCUGGCCUCCGCCGCGCUCGUGCUCUCCUGCGGCCUGUACCUCUAUGUUUCCCGGUACCUGGGCCAGGGCCAGGGCCGCGCGGUGGCCGAGUUCGCCGGCGACAGUCUGGACUCCUGCAACGUGUUCGACGGCAGCUGGGUGCGGGACGAGAGGUACCCCCUGUACAACAGCUCGGAGUGCCCGUUUGCGGAGAGGGGGUUCAACUGCCUCGCCAACGGGAGGAGGAACACCGAGUACCUCAAGUGGCGGUGGAAGCCGCGGCGGUGCGACAUGCCGCGGUUCAGUGCCCGGAGCGUGCUGGAGUGGCUGAGGGGGAAGAGGGUCGUGUUUGUGGGGGAUUCAAUGAGCCGAACGCAGUGGGAGUCCUUCAUCUGCAUGCUCAUGACAGGGGUGGACGAUCCCAAGAAGGUUUAUGAGGUGAAUGGCAGCCAGAUCUCGAAGACGAUCCGAUUUUUAGGAGUGAGAUUUGAGUCAUUCGACCUCAGUGUGGAGUUCUUUCGAUCGGUGUUCCUUGUGCAGCAGACCCCUGCUCCUCCUCUACAUGUCACAAAAAGGGUCCGCGCAAUUCUCAAGCUCGAUAAGAUGGAUGAUCUUAGCAGGAAAUGGGCGAAUGCCGACAUGCUUAUUUUCAAUUCAGGGCAUUGGUGGACUCCCAGCAAAUUAUUUGACAUGUGAGUGUUCUUGCUUUAAUCCUGAGCAUCUUUUGUUUGUGGGUAAUUGUUUUGGGAUUAUAAUCAUGAUCUUGCUGAUUUGCAAUUGUCUCAUCUUAUAUAUUGGUUUAGUAUAUCUGUUCUCGAAACAAAAACGGUAGACUUACAGACAAACCAACCUUUGCAAUUAACUGUUUGUAUAUUUUGGUUAAGUAUACCUGUUUUUUCAAAAUAAAUCCUUAAUAAUUGAUAGUGUGUGUAUAUCAGUGUAAGCCAAGCAGGCACCAGAAUGUUCCUUUGGAAGGAAUCAAUGACCAGGACGGAUAGCAAAACUUCUGAGGGUCACAAAUAGAGAAAAACAAACCACCGGAUUGUAUUAUUGCAAAGUUAACUUCGUACCAUGUCUAGUUACCGGAUUGUACUGCAAAGUUAACUCCGUACCAUCUCUAGUUAUUUCUUGAGGUCAAAGCAACAUUAAAGGGUGUUAGGUUCUUAUGCCACAACUUAGUGAGGCUGAUAUUAAUAAAUUGUAGGCCUCACCUGAAGAAGGUUGCUGGUUAGGCACUACUCACUACGGGAGUAUGUUUUGAUGAUGCUAGGUUUCAUGCAUCCAUACCAGAUUAUUUCCUUUUUUGGUAUAAAAAUCGGGCCCUGUUUUUCAUGUUUGUAAGAUAUCGCCACAAUUGUAAAGGCUGUGGCAAAAAAUGAUAAGCCUGCUAUGACUGGCAAAAAAUGAUGCCAAGUACGGGAGUAUGUUUUGAUGAUGCUAAGUUUCAUGCAUUUACUAUUUGUUGGAGUUAAAAUCUUACAAACAUGGCAAAAAUAGGGAGUAAGUUUUAAAUGCCAAAGAAAUUUUAUUGCCUGGUCUUAGUAUGUGUUGGAAUUUGUUGUUAUGAACAAAUUUGAUUUUUUUUGGUGGAGGUUGUUAAUUAUCAAGUAGUAACCUUUGUUUCAUAAAUCUUAGAGAUUCUAGCUUGGUCUUUACAACAGGGGUUGUUAUUUUGAGGCUGGAGGCUUGCUUAAACUGGGAACAUCAGUUAAUUCUGCUUUCAAAAUGGCACUGGAAACAUGGGCUUCAUGGGUCAAGGAAAAAGUGGAUUUAAAACGAACACGUGUCUUCUUCCGGACAUAUGAGCCAUCUCAUUGGAGGUGAGUUUCUCACAUGCACUGAAUUCUUUCCCUGAUAUAUUUUAUUUUUCUUCAUUAGUACUUCAUUAUAAGACUAGCCACAGUUUGAACAGAAGGUGUAAUCCCACUAUGAUUGUGGAGCACAGACUUCAUGCAAAAUAUCAUUUGAAAAACAUACAGUAAAGUAAUUGUUUUCUCUUCUUAUUUUCAGUGGCUUGAACCAAAAGGUAUGCGAAGUAACAGAAAGACCUACAACCGAGGCCAUAGGAGCUGAUAGGAGUGAAUUUAGGGAUAUACUUGCUGAUGUUGUUGCGAACAUGAGCGUUCCUGUCACUAUACUGAAUGUGACUUUGAUGGGGGCCUUCAGGAGUGAUGCGCAUAUUGGUAUUUGGAGUCAUCCUUCUACCAUACUUGAUUGCAGCCACUGGUGUCUUCCCGGAGUUCCAGAUGCUUGGAAUGAGCUAAUAUUUUCUCACCUUUUGACGGACGGUGAGUUCCUUAUCCAUGAUAACAUUCUUUCCUGAUGUUAUUUAGGAUAACAAAGUACUACUCCCUCUGUCCCAUAAUAUAAGAUGUUUUUGCAAGCUAAACUAGCUUGCAAAAACGUCUUACAUUGUGGGACGGAGGGAGUACCUUGUAGUGAAGAAAUAAAAUAUUGUUUGUCCGAUAUCUUGUUUCUGCUUGCAAGGGAACCUGGAAUUUCUUGAACCCUGUAUACAUACCAUGCUAGAUAGCUGUAUAUAUUAUUCGGUAGCUGUGCGUCAACCUGAGCUUUAAAAUUGUGUAGGAUCAAAAUAGAAUAGAUUGCAAUAGCCGAGACUCACCUGUAUGGCAUGGAUGAAUUCGGCAUACAUAUGCUCAAGUACUGGACCAACUCGUUACGAAGUUAUCCAGAAUAAGCCUCGGAUUUGGAACAAAAAAUGUAGACCUAAUGAAUAUGGUACAGAAAGCGGAAGCCGAUUUUCAGCUGAUUCUGGAAAUUCUCAUCUCAUAAACUUAGUUUGCAGCGCUUCCUACUUAGUUGUGCAAGUAUUUAUGUCCUUUAACUUUAUGGCUUGCUAAUUCUGGAGUUGAAUAAUGGCUUCUCACGCUGGCUCAUGACCAAUUCUGCAGGUUGGCGAAAGCUGGCUGGCUGACUAGUCACAUUGUACACCCAACCUUUUGUUUUUCUGGUCGAGUAUCAUGUUGCUCCCUUCCUCAUCCUUUCUUCGGUUAGCUCGAGUAAGAAUCGCAUAUCACCUGUCAUAUAGAUACUAGGCUGUUUUGUUUUUGCGUUUUAGUCUUUUUGGACAUAGAGAACAUCGCAGUUUGUAACCUGCAUGCACAAACCGAUGGAAUGCAAUUUUGGAAAUUCAUCUCUCUCGCACGAAAACGGUCUGCCUAUCAUUUGUCUAUGCAUCACACAUUGAACAAAGCCUGCUCUUCUGUGAGUGCUAUACGCGCAAAAAUCUGAUAUUUUGCAAUCGUGGAGAUUCAUUUCUAAUUGCAUCGCUGUCUGGCCGGCUGGGCGCCGACCUCUCUCCACGUUUGUUGGUUUUCCAUGAUGAAAAUGAGAUGAUGCAAGGGGUAGUAGUAUGCAUGCCUACCUGCCCCGCGUGCCGAUCCAUUCGUGUUUUACCGGCUGCUAUGAUGCCAGUUGCCAUCAACGAGAGGCAAAGGCAACCCAAAGAGGAAAUCGUGCUGCCGUGCGGUUCUGCGAUUUCAAGUGCCCCUGGACCUAAACCCUAGUGGCUGCCUCCGACGGAAAAAGUGUCCCUGGUGCUGGUGCUGGUGGCCUGGGAGAUUUAAUCCAGCGGCGACGCCCAUCGGACCAGACGAGUUUAGAGGUGGCGGCACUAACGGGGGCGAGGUUGGUUGGGGGAGAUUGCACGGAUGGAAAAAAGCAAACUUUGCUCAAAGCGCACUCUGUCGUUGGAUGCACAGGGAAGGUCUUCGGCGCCACCAAGAAUUAAAUGUGUUUUUGAAUUUCUGUAAGGGUGCUUUUGUAAGUAUUUAUGCUACUUAAUAUAAGGUCUUUAGCGAGUAGGGCAUUUUGGUGGACGAGCUCCAUGGAGCUUGUUUUUUUGAAAAAUUCAAAAAUCAUAUUUUGAAAUUUCAAAAAAAAAUCUUGAAAAAAAUCAUACAUGUUUAUAUGGAUGUGUUUUACAUGCGUAUAAAGUUUGACGGUGAAAUAUAUUAUGAUCAGAGUUACACAAAAAAGAUAAAUUCAUCCAUUUUAACCGUGGAGAGUGAACAGUGCAGGUACCGUUCAUCAUUUUCAAUAUCACAUUUUGUCUUUUUUCUGUAGCUCUCACCGUAAUGUAUACCAUCCUCAAAUUUACACAUAUGUAGUCUACAUCCGUAUGAAUGUGUGUGAUCUUUUUAAGAAAAAUUGAAACUUCAAAAAUAUGACUUUCAAAAAUGUUAAAAUAAAGAGCUUCAUGGAGCUCGUCCUCCAUUUAUCAUUUUCGGUCUUUAGCCCUUUCCGCAAAAAGAAGAAGAUAGUAGCUGGAUUUGAUUUGACAUUCGGAGAAAAGAUUGUAUUUAGUUUGCCGCUUGAGAUUUUCUUAUGUCUAAAUUGAAGCAGGAGCCGUGCAUCGUCCCAACAUCGUGGUUUGUAAAUUUGACAUCAUCCAUUUUUUCGACAGGUAUUUUCGGAUGGGGAGAGUAUGUGCAUGCAUUAAUACUAGGUAGGAUAUUAACUAUAUGCUCAUAUUGGAUACAUUGAUAUUAGGUAGAAUAUGAACUACAAGCUCGUAUUUGAUACUGAUAUUAGGUUGGAUAUUAACUACACACCCAUAUUAGAUACGUUAGUGAUCACAUGAUUGUUUUGCGGGGUGAUGGUAAUUACUACUCCCUUCGUUUCUUUAUACAAGGUGUAUGUAUUUGUUUUUUGAUAAAAUUUCAUAUAUAAGGUACAUUUAUUUAAUUCCUUCAAAUUCGUUUUUUAGCCCUACAGAAAAACGGGAAGUAUAUCUUUUUGUGUCUCUCCUUCUAGAAAAGAAAAGUAUUUCUCUACCAAUUGCAUGUAUCUCUUUAUUGCUGGCCUAAUUGAUUUACCUGCCGCUAACAAACGAAUUAUCCAAAGGUAAUUUGCUAUAAAUUAUCUAUAAUUUCGUGCCUUGAUCACCGUGACAAGUAAAAUACAACUUACAUAAAGGAAUGGAUGAAGUACAUGGUUAGUGCCAACAUUGUAAUUUGGUAUUUAUAUCAAUUGCACGCUAAAUAUGUUGAGCACUCACCAUUGAAGCAAUCUAGAUCAUUGGGUUGAUAUAGUUCGAUGACCGGGUUUAAUUGGAUCCCCGUUAUGUAUUUUUAUAUUGGUAUAUACAUUCAUUAGAUAAUCAUUUCAUUUUUUGAAUAGGGGAAAGGUCUAGAAGGACCAAAGCGGUGGAGCAAUACAUCUUACAAUCAGGACCCGUAAGAAAACAAAAAAUAUAUACACAUAAGUCACUAACUUUUACAAGGAGAAAUCCCCCAAGCAACUUAGAAAUUGCAGUUUGGGUUCAAAUCCACCUCCACUCAGAACCAACCGCAACGUCACUGAAGAUGAAACCGCUUGGUACGCCACGACCUCCAUAGCAGCACCAGCAACAGGUCAUGGACUUUGAGUAGAAGCUUUGUUGCCUCCCUGUUGGCUCCUAGGCCGGGAGGAAGAAAUGCGACCACCUUUCAGCCAGAAAGACUGAUAACAUCAUGACGAAGACCGUCAAACAACCGUACUAGCAAGUGUCGUGGAUUCUCCAUGGCCGGCAUCGAUGAUGAGCUCCAACACAACCCUUAAAAACUAGCUCUCCACAACUCCUAAGCUCUUUACCCACCUCCAUGGUGGCUCCAAGAUUCGAGGACAAGCGAAGGGGCAUCCUUUCGUGAAGAAGAUCAUGGACGUCGUGCUUAUUGUGCGAGUAACUUCCAAAUGACUUCCAUUCACCCCUCUCCACCGAGUCGGAGAGUCGCUAGAGAGCGAAUCGAAGUGCCGCCAGAGCAGCCGGCGGACACCAAGAAAAAACUCUCAAAGAAAGAAAAAAAGGUGCGGGGUUGUGAGGACUAUGGCGACAGAAGCAAACACGUCGCCAUGCUUCUGACCAAAAGGUGCCAACAUAAGAGUCACCUAUUGGGCUUCUUCAAACUUUCGCCUCACGUUAAUCACCAUGGGUGAGAGGAAGAGGAGGUGAGGAAGAACCACGGGAGAUCUGGAUUUGACCGCCUCAUAAAGAGAAGUAUGAAAAUAAGGAUCCUAACACUAUGCACGGACACACCCUCCUUUUAUCCUUCUCCGGUGGACAGCAUCGGUGAAGGAGGAAGGAAGAAGGGUGGUCAUAAUCAAGCACACGGCUGACCUCACUCACAACUUACAUGAACUGAGUCCCCGCAAAAAAAAAUCACGUGGACGAGAGGGCGAUGGAGAGAGGGGGAGGAUGAUAAAUCAUCUACUCCUGCAUUGCGUCUUCGCACGACAAGUGUGGGCUCGAGUCUUGCCCGCGCUAGACAUGGGACAUGCGGAGCCACGCCAAGAGGAGUCACUAACGGAAUAGUGCACGCGCAGUGGGAUGGACAGGCUGCCAAAGCAGAGCAAGGAUGAUACGCGCUACCUGCUUACUGGUCAUUUGGGAGUUGUGGAAGCACCAAAACGGUGUUGUGUUUGAUGGCAAGGCCCCUUGUCUAAGGGACCUGCUACGAAAGAUUGCUAGCGAAUAUGUACUAUGGAGGGAUGCGGGACUAUUGCGAGGUGACGAUGACACGCAUCGGGGCAUAGAGGUAGCACUAGGGUGGGCGCAGGGCGAGUAGUCGCAUAGCAUAGUGGGUGGAGAUAGGUGUGAGUCUCAUGUAGCCAUACCUUGUAAAACUGCAGCGGGGUUCUUUCCCCCUUCCUUCUUUAAUAGAUGAUACGCACACUCGUGCGUAUUCGAGAAAAAAAGAGAGGGGGAGAAUGAUGGAUGAACUCAAUAUAAUUAGAUAAGGACCCUGAUAAGUGACACACGUGUAGCACGGACACAUGGCAACUCUAAGCGUUUUUUAUGGCAAGUUUAGUGACGCGAGGAUGGCAAAUUUAGUUAUGAAGUAUGACUACUUUUUUUUGGAUGACAAGUUUCAGUUUUUUUAGAGUUGUUUUUUCUUUUGGAUGGCAACUUUAGUUGUAAAAAACGUCAAGCCAGAGUGUUUCGUGCCACACGUGUGACAUUUAUCAUUCGGGUUAGAUAAAGACUUCAAAUAUGAAUAAUUGCAUACCUAUUUGGAUAUCCAUACAAAAAAGAUUUUUUUGGGAUCUUUCUUGAUUUUUUUUGCAGUACAUCAAUUCUCUCUACGUCGCAGCUUUAAUACGACUUUAUAAUUGGCCAUAAAAAUAUGUUUCCCUAUUAAUUCGAUCCUUCUUCCCCAACCCAGUCCAAGCCUUGACCAAGCGCGCUGCCCCUCACCCUCGCCGAUAUAACGAACCCCAAACCCCCACAACGCCGGCCAUCCACACACACACUCCCACUGCGCACAAUUCCAGCAUCAGCAAUGCCUCCUCCCCUUCGCCUCCUCGCCCUCCUCCUCCUCCUCCACCUCCCCUUCGCCCUCUCCUCCCGCCACCACCACAAAGCCCCGGCGCCGCCGCCCCGGAAGGCGCCUCCUCCGGCGGCCAACUACGCGGCGCCGCUCCCCGUCCUCCUCGCCUGCAACGCCACCCGCUUCCGGCCCGCCUGCGUCGCCACGCUCUCCGCCGCCAACGUCACCGCCGCGUCCUCCCCCUCCGACCUCCUCGCCGCCACGCUCUCCGCGCUCCGCGCCCGCCUCCCGCCGGCCGUCUCCACCGCGCGCUCCGUCCUCGCCUCCUCCAAGAACGUCAACCUCACCGCCGCCGCCACCAACUGCCUCACCGCCCUCUCCCUCUCCUCGAACCGCCUCGCGCCGCCGCCCUCGCCGUCGGCGCUCAUGCCCGCCUCCGCCUCGCUCCUCCACCUCUACGACUGCUGGUCCGCCUACAAGUACGUCAACUUCUCCCGGACCAUCUACGACGCCAUGGCCUACCUCAACGACACCAUCACCGUCAACAGCAACUACAUCUCCAUGCUCGCCGCGCUGAAGCGGUACGGCGACGACACGUCCCACUGGGCGCCGCCGCAGACGGAGCGCGACGGGUACUGGCCUUCGCCCGCGGCGUCGGGCGGCGACGUGGACGCGCUCGGCGUGCCCAAGGGGCUCCCCGCGGACGCGACGGUGUGCGGCGCCGGGUGCGACUACAAGACGGUGCGGGAGGCGGUGGCGGCCGCGCCGGACAACGGGGGCAAGAGGUUCGUGGUGUACGUGAAGCAGGGCGUGUACAAGGAGACGGUGAGCGUGCCGUGGGAGAAGACCAACCUGGUGCUGGUCGGCGACGGCAUGGGGAAGACGGUCAUCACCGGCGACCUCAACGCCGACACGCCCGGCGUGUCCACGUUCAACACGGCCACCGUAGGUGCGUACACGCGUCACACGCACUUACUCUUUCUUAUUUGUACGUAUUUAUGUGGGGGUAUACCGUAUACGUAUGUACACCGAUGGAUUUGCCAGCAUAGUUUGUACUACUGCGAUCGUACACGUACUACGUUCACGAAAUCAAUGCGGUGGCGUUAAAGACGCCGCUCGUGAUCGACCGGCCGGCCCAUCGCUCUUUGUCUGCACCUAAAACGCUUUCCGUCAAGUAUGUUGUGAUCUGGACAAUCAAUUCCUACCUUUUUUGCGUUACGUCCGGCAUGCCACCAGUAUGUACAAUUACGCUAGUACUAUUAGGAAGUAUUUUUGGAUCAACUGCUGUAGUAUUAUGAGGAAUAUUUGGCCAAAUGGCAACAAUAAUCUCCGGAAACAAAUUCCAUAUGCGGUGAUCUAGGUAACUAAAUGAAAAUUCAACAAUGCCAAACUAUGGAUGGUUUCAGCGGCCCGAAACAAAACCACAACCAGACAUUUUUAACUUGACCGGCGCCCGGCAAUCUUCCACGGCGGAAGCGACAAUGCGGCGUGCCGACGCGGACCACGGGUCCUAGGUGAGCCAAACACUGAACUUUCCCGUGCUCUAUGCAACCCUAUCAAGCAAGAAAAAAAAAACACGCUUCGACAACACUCCAGUCCGGACGACGAGUGAUUUUCAUCACAAAGAAAAAGUCGCAUCGCGGUCCACAAUUUUAACUUUGUCAGGCGAAUCUGCGACCCACAUGUCACGGGCCGCGAGUUUUCUCGACCAGCACAGUGAUCGACCACGUCGUAACUUUGUGCUUUUUCAUUCAUUUCCAGGCGUGCUCGCGGACGGCUUCAUGGCGCGGGACCUGACGAUCGCGAACACGGCGGGGCCGGACGCGCACCAGGCGGUGGCGUUCCGCUCGACGGGCGACCGCACGGUGCUGGACACGGUGGAGCUGCUGGGGCACCAGGACACGCUGUACGUGCACGCCAUGCGCCAGUUCUACACCCGCUGCCGCGUGGCCGGCACGGUGGACUUCGUCUUCGGCAACUCGGCGGCCGUGCUCCACGACAGCGACCUCGUCGUGCUGCCCCGGCAGCUGCGGCCGGAGAAGGGCGAGACGGACGCGCUGACGGCGCAGGGCCGCACCGACCCGGCGCAGCCCACGGGGAUCGUGCUCCGGGGCUGCCGCGUCAACGGCAGCGACGAGUACAUGGGGUUCUACCGGCAGAAGCCCGGCGUCCACCACGUGUUCCUGGGCCGGCCCUGGAAGGAGUACUCCCGCACGGUGUUCGUCGGGUGCACGAUGGCCGAGAUCGUGCGGCCCGAGGGGUGGAUGCCCUGGAGCGGCGACUUCGCGCUCAAGACGCUCUACUACGGGGAGUAUGAUAGCGCUGGCCCUGGCGCCGGCGGGCGGAGCGGCGGCGGCAGGGUGGCGUGGAGCAGCCAGGUGCCCAAGGAGCGCGUCGACGUGUACAGCGUCGCCAGCUUCAUACAGGGGGACGAGUGGAUACCCAAAGUGAAGUAGUAGGCUUUUUUGUCAGUCCUGGUAGCAUACAUAAUCGAGCUCGCGUGAGCUAGUGGGCCGGUCGGCGAUGAUCGUGCCACUCGGUCACGGAUGUACUGCAGACGUUGCAGUUAUGCGAAUGCAGUGGUGCCUAACGCAAAUGGGAGUGGGCGCCGAUCUUGAUCGGCGUUGAGUGGUGAACACUCCACUAAGCACGAUCAAUAAUGGCCGCCAAAUCUAGCAGGCAGUUUCCACCUAGGGCAAGAUGGAUGUGGCCGGAACACGGAGAGGAAGGGCAGAUAGAUAGGAUCGGCGUGCUGUUUCCCCAAUUAGCAUGCGUGACGCAACGUGGAUGUAGUACUCGAAUUAUCACAUCUGAGCCGUGGUUGUGGUGGUCCACGUCCACCACGAGCUGCAUCCUUCCAGUGCGCUAUCCGAUCCGUCGCUGCACCACUGUGGUCUGCAUUGCAGCGCCGCCCUACGGACCCAACCAGCUUUGGACUUUUGGAGUUUGGUUCACGGCCGGUUGUGCGGCAGUAGGGACUCCUCCGUCCACGGGCCACGCACAACGGCGUGACUCGUGCGCCGGUGCGCCGUGACUCGGUCCAUCAGUUCAGAUUUCAGACCAGGAGGGCAAAGAAUUAUCACCGGACUUCUUGACUUCUUGACGUCGAGGUGGUACUCCAUCAACGAGUUGGAGAGGACGAACGCCACAUCGUACUCCUCCGUCAUCGCCACCCGCCUCGUACAUCCGGGCAGACGGCCUGGUCACUGCUCGGUCAAAAAAAAAAAUGACCCAGACGGGCGCCUCAAACGCCCGGGCUGACCGACAUCCCUCAUAUCCAAUCCAAAAUAUGGGGAGGCCUGGGCGCGUCCGCCACGUUGGCUCUGGCUCACGCUGGUCAUUGGACCCCACAUAUAUACGUCCCCAUCCGCUCUCCGAACCAAGCCCUAGCCACUUCACUCCACUCCACUCUGCCACCCAAGCUCUUGUCCGGCGAUCUUCGGCCUUCUCUGGCAUCGGGGGCAGCGGACCUGACUCCGACUAGUCCGGAUCCCUCGACUGGGCUGUCAUACCGUGCAGGUUGGAGGAGGCAAUGGUCGUCCGCAUCGCACUCCGCAGCUCCUAGGAGGACAGCGCCCGACCGAUGGCGGGAUCUGUUCGACGCGAGUCCAUUGCGUCGGCACAUCGGGCGCUCGGAUCCUUCGGGGUUGGAUUAUGCAGUCCUCCCAGGAGCCUUCCAAUCUUCCUUUUCCCAUCACCGGUCCGCCGGAGUUCGAGUGCUACCAGGACCGAUGUGUCCGCCAUGGGAAGGAGAGGAUGAGGGCGGCCGAUGCCCGCCUCGUUGUGGGGAGGGGCUUGGGGAGCAAGGGAGGGGCUGCACGUGGCAGAGGAGCCAGGAACGCGCAGUUGGGCUACGGCCACAUGGUCAGGGCACGAGCGCUGCAUAGAGCGUGUGAUGUGUGCAUGCCAACCUCGCGGUCACCACCUGGUGCUGACGCCUGGGUGGUUUUGGCCGCGUCUGGCUAUGUCCACUAGCUAGGGGGGCUAGAAUAGGCGUGUGUGUGGCUGCAGUUGGGGCGCAGGUGCAGUGAGGUGAGUACAAGUUCUUCUAGAAGGUUCUGGACAGAAGGUGUUUGUUGUUUGCAAAGUGCAAAUGAACUAGAGUUAGCAUGUGAGAUUUGGUGUGGUUGGUUUAGUCACUAGGGGGAGUGUGUAUGCAAAUUUGCAGAACAAAUGGGUCCCUCUAGCUAGUACUUGCUGUACAACUUGAAAGAGGGGGCCAAAAUGCAAAAGUGGAAGAGGGGCUCAAAUGCAAAAGUUCCUAGUGGGGUCAGGGACUUUUCUGAAGUAUAUUUGAUCCAAAGAAAUUAUGAUAAUUAUCUAGAAAUUUUCCUAAGCACUAAAGUGGUGGUUGCUUCAUAACUUAGGUGUUCUAGGGCAUAUAUAUUCUUUUGAUAAAAGAAUAUGAUCUUAGGGUUUUGGGGUAGGGGUGCAAGUGAGGCUGUCCUAUAGAGAGAUAUAGCUAGUGAGAGAGGUUUUUAUUUAGUUUUAUGUUGGUUAAGUCCAGAUGAGUUGACUGAGAAAAACCAGAGCAAACAACCAGCAAGAUCAACUGAAGUAGCAGAAAGAAAAAGCAGGGGCCAAAAACCAGGGUGUUACACAUAUAUAGAUAGAUAAUUUUUGAAUCUAUCAGGUUAUUCCUAUCACAAUUGAGAAAGGCUCUUCAAUUAAGUACAUACGGAGAAUGUAGAGAUGAACUGUGGAAGUGCAAUAUAUUUUGUUGCCUAUGUAAGCAAAGAGCAACCCAGAGGAGUGCCCAAUCCUAGAGCCUUUCAGGCCGACAAUCAUUUUGCAUGCAAAGUCCCAAACUCCCAAUCCAGCAAUGUGUAUCCUUUUCCUUUCGCUGCUUUCACCAUAUCUCCCUCACUUAGCACAAACCUGCAACCUUUUUCUUCCACAACACGCCUCCCUGAAGUGGCCUGGACAAGCAUAGGGUGAUGCACAAGAAGUUAUAUACAGUUGAUGUUUGUUUUAAUAUAUUCUACAUUUCAAAUAAAAUUUAGCGGUGCCAAGAAUGACUACUACUGAACUGCAGUAAUAAUAAUCCAGCGACGACAUCAAAAUGAAGAUACAUGAGCGGGCGUAAUUAAGUAACUAAGCUCCUUGGAACUAAAGUCUGAUGAGGAUGUCAGCAGCUUCGCUGCCCCUCUGCACUGACUUUGAGAUGUCGUUCCUGAGAGUGAGCGCCGACCUUCUUUUCUACUCCACAAUGCUCUGAUCAGUCUCGUUUGUAGUUAAUCAUUAAGGGAAUAGAGUGAAUAAUUGGAAAAUAUACGGCAAUAAGAAAUGCACACAUAUUAUCACCACACUAAUACACGCCUUCCCCGAUGCAAUAAUAAUAAUAGUAUGGUGAAUUAAGCUGCAGCAAUUUUGUGUGAAAUUCCUCUCACAAAUAUCUUGAAAUUCAACUUGGAACAACAACAUCCAUAUGUUAAAAUAAUCAUCGCAUACUCGCAUUGCAUUAGUUGAUGACCACAUCUCCAGCUAGUCUAACAACAACAGUGGCGCCUCGCUGAUCGAUCAUACAGUUUUUCUGAAGAACUGUUAUGCCUAGAUUACAAGGAGCAUGCAUAUGUCUGAAAGAAGUCAGUGACGAAUACAUACCUUGGUCAUGGACCAGUUGAUGACCAAGGAGCCAACCAUGAUGUGUGUCCUAUCUGCAAAUCCAACCUAGAAAGAAAAUAGAGCAAGGUCAGUCGUUUGUGUGCAGCAGCAAUAAGAACAGAGAGAGACACCGUGGGAAGCACCAGAGGAUGCCUGACAAAAAGGCGCGACCCACUCUGUAACUAGAUAUGCUGCAAACCAAUGCGAAGGCAUCACCAAUAUACAACUCUAUCUGGAACAACCUAUGUCUUUCAAUCUAUGAAAUAGAUUUACACCUCAAAUGUGUCAUGCGUCAUCCUUAUUUUUGUGUGUGCCCAAUAUAGCAACCCUGAACCAAGAGACAUCAAACAAUAUGUGCAUACCAUCAAACUAAGUAAGAGACAUAUAUACAAAACUUAGUAAAAGAAACCAUGGCCUAACGUAGGUACCUGGACACCCUAGCCUGGCAAAAAUGUGAUGCCUCAUUCCAUAGCAAGAUUAAGUACUUGCAAAACAAAUUCGGCAGCACAUGAAUAAUACAACAUCAAUCAGGUGAAGACAAAAGAAAGGAAAGGGAAAGAAGAAAAUAAAAUUUUAGGAACUAUCGUAGAAGAGCAGUCGUGCCAGCUCAUGAACUCCUGCAACCUGGAUAGAAGAAACAAAACCUAACAGUCCUUAUGGGCGUAUCAUCGAAUAGAUGGCAUGCGGAUCUCGGAAGUAGACGGGACGGAAGGGAACACUAUACGAAUUCGAGGAGGAGGGAUUUGGGGGAGCGGUCGAGGAGAGGCCCCGUACUCGACAAGCUUGUCGUCCUUGAAGACCUUGUCCUUGGUGAGGAUGCCGCAACGCCAUCCAGACCACGUCUCCCUCGAGCGGCUCCAGCUAACUCUGAUUUGGGAUGGUCGCCACCCCUCAGCCCUAAGGUUGAUAGCGUCCCUGCUAGCCACCUCCUUGGAUCCAGAUUGAGGGAAUGGGAGAGGAGGAGCUGAUGUGUCUAAGCGGAGGUGAUGGUAGGGGAGGCAUGGAUGAUGUAGGUGUGGGAUUCGAUGCGAAGUCGUCUUCGUAGGAAAGGAAAUGAAGUAGUGGGGGCUGGUGUAUGUGAGGAAGUUCACGCUCACCCAAUCUCUCCGCACAAGAAUUGCCAACAGCCAAUCGCGAACGAGCGGACGAAUAGUGCAUGCUGUCACCGGGAUAGCGCGAGGAGGCACCCUUCUCCCAAAGAUUAUUGUGUUGGACUGUGUGCAAUAAUAUCUAACAUGCAUGAAAGAUAACUAGUAGUGAGAUUACAUAAUGAGUGCCUGUAGGAGUCGAUUUAAAUAGUACAGGAGUCAUCUUAAAUAGUAGCACCAGGUUGAUAACUCAAAAACUAAUGAGAGAUCACACAUGAUAGCUACAAAAUAUAUAUUGUUUGUAGUCAAGUUAACUAGAUGGCACACAAAAGUACUAUGGAACACCGGCAUAGGUAAUACUAGAAGGGUGAUACGUUUCCGUCGUAUCUAUAAUUUUUCAUUGUUUCAUGACAAUAUUCUACAACUUUCUUAUACUUUUGGCAACUUUUUAUAUUAUUUUUGGGACUAGCAUAUUGAUUCAGUGCCCAGUGUCAGUUCAUGUUUGUUGCAUUUUUUUGUUUCGCAGAAGGAAAUCCAUAUCAAACGGAGUUCAAACGCGAUAAAAACUUCCGGAGAUUUUUUUGGAAUACAUGUGAUUUUUGGGAAAAAGAAUCAACGCGAGACGAUGCCCGAGGGGGGCACAAGGCAGGGGGCGCGCCCUGGGCCCUUGUGGUCACCCCGUAAGGCGGUUGGUGCCCUUCUUUCGCCACAAGAAAGCUAAUAUCCAGAUAAAAAUCAUGUUAAAAUUUCAGCCCCGGAGUUACUGAUCUCCGGAAAUUUAAGAAACGGUGAAAGGCCAGAAUCUGAGAGCGCAGAAACAAAGGAAACAGAGAGAGAGAGAGAGAGAGAGAGAGAGAGAGAGAGAGAGAGAGAGAGAGAGAGAUCCAAUCUCGGAGGGGCUCCCGCCUGAGGGAAUCCUGGAUUAAGGGGUCCUCGGGUGUCCGGACUAUUUGUUAUGGGCCGGACUGAUGGGCCGUGAAGACAAAAGCAGAAGACUUUCCCCCCGUGUCCGGGUAGGACUCCUGUAUGCGUGAAAGGCAAGUUUGGUGUCCGGGUAUGAUGUUUCCUUCCUUUACAAACCGACUCUGUACAACCCUAGGCCUCUCCGGUGUGUAUAUAAACUGGAGGGGUUAGUCCAUAGAGAUAAUCAGAAUUCUCAUAGGCUAGACAGCUAGGGUUUAGCCAUUAUGAUCUCGAGGUAGAUCAACUCUUGUAACCCCUAUACUCAUUGAAUACAAUCAAGCAGGACGUAGGGUUUUACCUCCUUUAAGAGGGCCCGAACCCGGGUAAACAUCGUGUCUCCAUCGUCCCUUGUUACCAUUGAUCCUCAGACGCACAGAUCGGGACCCCCUACCCGAGAUCUGCGGUUUUGACACCGACAUUGGUGCUAUCAUUGAGAGUUUCACUGUGUCGUCGACAGAAGGAUCGAUGGCUCAACCUGUCAUCAGCGACGAUGCUGUUUUUGGGGAGAUUUUUCUCCCUGGUGAAAGGACCGAUAUGGUUGACUAGGGGGGGGGGGGUGAAUAGGCAACUAACAAUUUUUAGCUUUUCUUUACCAAAGUAAACUUAGCAUCAAAAUAGGUUGUCUAGAUAUGCAACUAGGUGAGCAACCUAUAUGAUGCAACAACAACAAGCACACGAGCAAGCAAGGGAUACAACACAAUAUAAGCUUACACAAGUAAAGGUAAGAGAUAACCAAGAGUGGAGCCGGUGGAGACGAGGGUGUGUUAACAAAGUUCCUUUCCUUUGAGAGGAAGUACGUCUCCGUUGGAGCGGUGUGGAGGCACGAUACUCCCCAAGAAGCCACUAGGGCCACCGUAUUCUCCUCACGCCCUCACACAAUGCGAGAUGCCGUGAUUUCACUAUUGGUGCCCUUGGAGGCGGCGACCGAACCUUUACAAACAAGGUUGGGGCUAUCUCCACAACUUAAUUGGAGGCUCCCAACGACACCACGAAGCUUCACCACAAAGGAAUAUGGCUCCGCGGUGACCUCAAUCGUCUAGGGUGCUCAAACACCCAAGAGUAACAAGAUCCGCAAGGGAUUAGGGGGGAAUCAAAUUUCUCUUGGUGGAAGUGUAGAUCGGGGCCUUCUCAACCAAUCCCUAGAAAAUCAACAAGUUUGAUUGGCUAGGGAGAGAGGUCGGGCGAAAAUGGAGGUUUGAGCAACAAUGGAGCUUGGGAAGGGAAGAGGUGGUCUUCUUGGGGAAGAAGACCCCCUUUAUAUAGUGGGGGAAAAGAUCCAACCGUUACCCCCCUCACUCAGCCCGCGCGGUGCGGUACUACCGUACAGAUCCGCGAUACUACCGCAAAGGUCGCGGUACUACCGCUGGACGGUGCGGUACUACCGCUUGCGUGGUAGUGACCAGACGAGGCCCUGUUGCACAUGGCAACGAGCGGUAGAACCGCCGGAGCGGUACUACCGCGCGCCCCUGUGGUACCACCGCAAGGCAGGGCUCUAUUGGGCUGGAAAAGGGACGGACCUAAUAAAUUACGUCCGUGACUACUUCUACUGAGUUUAGAACUGUGUGAAACUCUGGCACGGUACUACCGCUCAUAGGGAGCGGUACUACCGCGUGGGGGCGGAAGUAAAAAAGUUACUUCCGCGCCUACUACCGCAUGCGCCAGUGUCUGGGCUGGAGGCGGCGGUACUACCGCUCGCUAAGAGCGGUACUACCGCGAACCCCUGCGGUACUACUACUCCCUUGAGCAGUAUUACCGCAUGCCACAAAGACUAUAGCACUUGGCAGCCUUCAUGUUGCAGAGACAAGAAUAAACGGAUGGUUCUCCAUCGAAGCGAAGGAAAGGUGGUGCAAAGGAAUAGAUGUGUACGUGUUGAUUCCACCCUAACCUUUCCAAAGCAGACCCCCUCUUAGUAGUACGGCUUUCCUACGACUCAAAUCCACCGAAAAGAAACGUAGAGAACCGCCGUCUUCGAUAAGCUCCGAGUGGCACCGAAUCGUCUUGUGCCUAGACAUGAGAUAUCUGAAAUGCUCAACGCACACGAUUAGUCCGCAAAUGCACUGUCAUCAAUCACCAAAACCACAUAGGGAGAAAUAUGCCCUUACAAUCUCCCCCUUUUUGGUGGAUUGAUGACAAUACGGGAUUUGCACACAAGGAUAUAAAAUGAACAUAAGCAAACCCAAAAUCUAUAAAAUAUAGACAGACUCCCCCUAGAUGUGUGCACUCUAUUGAUAUGCUUUGGACUGCACAACACACAUACUAGGAUCAACACUCCCCCUAUAUUUUAUAGACAAGGCAAUCCUUGCAACAAAAUAAGUGACACUAAGCAUGGAGGCAAGGUAUAGUAAGUGAGCAUGACGUAAAGGGCACAAGAUAAAGUAAGCUCACAAGCUACUAAACAUACUAGACAAUAAAUGAUAAGCUUGAGGGCAUAUGUCUCACACCAUAUGAUAGAAUAAGUCUCCUGGUAUCACAUGCAAACAAACACAAACCAACAAACCAAAGCAAUGAAGGUUCAACGAAACACGACGACAAAGAGACAACUCGCAAAUCCUACACUCUCUCCCCCUUUGGCAUUGAGACACCAAAAAGGCAGAGAGGACACCUAAGACACAGGUGAUAGCUCCCACUGAAGUGAUCACCCAACAAUCUCCUCAUUUGUCUCGGCAGCAGGAAUAGACUCCUCCUCUGACUCAGUCCACUGAUAGCCCUGCUUCAUCAUCCAGGAAGCCUCAGGAGUGAUGUUCUUUUCCGACCCACUCUAGACGUGCUCACCAAGCUUCCUCAAAAUCCGCUUGUCGUGCUGGCGACUCUCCUUCUGAGCAACAUGAGUCUGGUACCGCCCCUUCGCUUGCAUGCAGAACAGAGCCUUCAUCUUGGCCUUGAGCUUCUUAGCCCAAGAUGGCUUAGCAGAGGGAGGGGCGUACCCCUCAGAACCGUCCUCCGCCUCCUCCUCAAUCUCAUCAUCAUCAACAUCCAUGCGUGCAGCCUCGGCCUCAGCCCGGGUAGUGGUGUUAGCCCACUUGUUCUUCUGGCGCAGCUUGAUGGGCUCAUGGCGAAUCCAGUUGGGAGCAAGAAACUCUUCUCCCGGAAAGAGCUUCUCCCAAGUCUUUGAGAUCAAGAGGUGCAAAUAAGGUCCAUAGAUGGGCACCUUACGAUGGAACAAAGCAAACUGAAGCUCACACCACAUGAUAUGAGAGACAUCAAGUGGUUCAGGUUGUUGGAGAUGCGCUUCCUCACAAAUGAGCAUCAUGUCCACAAGAUAGGAAUGCACCUUGUCCUUGUCGCCUACGCGAGGAAAAAGUGAGUUACAGAAGAUCCGGUGCAUGAUGUCAAGUAACGGGUUCAGCACAAAAGUCUUCUUGUCAUUGGGUAACUUCUUCUCAACAAGGUAGGGUUGAAGCUUGUUCUUGGAGGCAGACUCGGGGUUGGCAUGUGGGCGGACACCAACCGACACAUCUAGCCCCUCAUCACGAACAUGCAACAGAUCCAUGAACUCCUUCCACUCAGCAGACAUCCUCUUCCCAUUUGUCAUCCAAGUCAUGGUCUGCUUCUCAUCUGUGUGGAAGUGGAAGAAGCAAAGAGCUGAGCUACAAUCUCCGGGUCAAAGUCAAGGUGGAACGUGAGGAUCCCCUCAAUGCCAAACUGCUCCACCAAAUCCAGAGGCUCACCAAAAUAUGCCCGGUUCUUCUUAAGAUGGUCCAUGUCAAUCCACUGAACUGGUACAUUGAUGUUCUGCUUGGCCUUGAUCACAUCUAGGAAGAUGAGAUUUUGUUGCUUGGUCCAAAACAAGUCAUUUCCCCUGCUGAGUUCCCUAGGCUUGACGUAGGGGUUGAGCUUUCUUCGAAUUAGAAACUCCACUUGAGGCAUUUCAUCCAUGCCGACAGUGGGCUCCUUGAUCUUGGUAGCUGUGCUCUUGACGUUGCGUUGAGGGGCAUUGGACCCCUCAGGAGCUUCUUGGUUGCGAAGGCGCUUCGAGCUUGUAUCACGGCUGGGAUUCGAGCGCCUAGCACUGGAACUGGAGCCACCACCUAUGACACACAACGCAAACACACGAGAAGAGCGAGAAGGAUUAUUGCAAAGACCAAGGCCAAAACUGAAGGAAACAAAGUAGACAGGAGAUUAGGUGAGACAAAACAACGCAAUAUAAAGUCAAGCGGUAGUACCGUACGAGGCCCACAACGGGCGGUAGUACCGUACGAGGCCCACAACGGGCGGUAGUACCGCUCCAAGCAGGGCGGUAGUACCGCACGGGGCGGAUCUGGCACAAAACGCAUCUGAGAACAUUCGUGAAGAUGAAUCGGUACUACCGUUGAUCAAAACUAUGUUGUUGUAUCACACCAAAUAGCAUAUCUACUCCACUAGCACUCUCCAACAAUCUCCUCUUGCAAAGAUUUAGCCAAAAAUCACAAGAACUACACAUGCAUCUCCCAAAACCUAGAAGCACAACAACGUUGCAAAGAGAGAG
rnacentral:lncRNA from 1 species